UUUUUUUUUUUUUUUUUUUUUUGAACAAACAAUCUUUACUUACGUUUUCUUUUUUUUUUGUUGGCUGAGUUCUUUAAUCAUAUUUUAUCAGAUUAUUAGUAUUAUAUUAAGGGGAAUUAAAUCAUGUAAGAGAAACCCAAUAAAGUAGGGGUGUGUUGGCAAACUAGUACGUUUUUGAAACAUAAUUAUAAAGAUAGUACAUUUACUAUUCACAAUUAGCAAAAUAGUACAAUUUUACUAUUUCAGAUAUUUGUACAGACAGACAACUGUACAGUAACAUAUUAUUGUACAUCAAAUAUUUGUACAAAGAGAAACAACUACAUAUAAACAUAUUUACACAUAAACAAAUAUACAUAUAUAAACCAGAAUAUAUAUGUACACAUACAAUUAUACGUAUAUAUAGACCGUUGUACGAAUGAUUUUCCGUACAUCGACACACAACUGUACAUAAGGUUAGCUGGACGUAUCAAAUUUGUUUGAAAAAUAUAUGAAAUUAUUUUUUAAAAAAUGCAUAUCAAAUUAUAGAGAAAAAAAUACAGAUUUUUGUGUAAUUGAAAUUUUAUAGAAAACAAAUAUAUUUUGAUAAAUUUUUUUAGUUAUUAUAUUUAAGAGGAUUUUUAAUAGUGUCCAAAUAGUAAAAAUGUAUUAAUUUGCUAAUAAUAAAUAGUAAAUGUACUAAUUAUAUAAUUAUGUUUCAAAAAUGUACUAAAAGCCCAAUUAAUCCAUAAAGUAGUUUGAAGAACAAAAAGACAACCUUUUUUGCCCUUUUAUAAUUUACACUUAUACCCAGAAAGAAAUAAAAUAACAUUCUGAUCUCUCUCUCUCUCUUUCUGUCUCUCGUUGAGUGUGUCCAUGAAAUAAUAAUAAUAAUACCAGAGAGAGAGGGAGAGAGAGAGGGAGAGAGAGACUGUAAUGUGGUGGCGAAGUUCGUGGCCACACUAAUACUCUGCUUUGAUGAUGAUGAGGAACCACAACAAUGGCGAGCGAACCACUGAUCUUGAUUCUCGUCUCCUGCAGCAAGAACAGGAUAAGCUCUUGUUCCAUGACUUCUUAGGCUCCAAGACUCCUGCUUUACCCUCCCCUUCCAUGGCUGACCACAGGCUACCUCCGGAUUAUAAGGCGGCUAAACCGGCCAUGACUCCCUCUAUGGCUUCGGCUUCCUCCGCCGGUGGACGCGGUGGUCUCUCCUCGACCUCCGAUCUCGGUUCUGCUCUCCUCCCUUUCUCUCUCUCUCACUCUCUUUCUCUUGAUGUGGUUUUGAGCUGAUUCCUCUGUACACUUGUCGUUUCCAUCUACAGAAAGUUCAAAAUUUUUGUUACAUAGAUUCGAUUUUAAAGUUCGAUUCUUUCGUUUUCCAAGCCUGAAUUAACAAUCGAGUUUUGAUCAACCAUGAUUUGGAAAUGUAGAAGAUCAUGUGUCAGUGCUAGUUUCAACUUUUUAGCUCAAUUCAUUUAUGACUCCAUCUUUUAAGUAGGAAAUGGAACAUCUUUUGGGUGAAGUUAAACAAGAUAUGAGUGUACAUUGUCUAGUUUUCUUCUCUUGCCUUUGUUUUAGUUUGAAAAUUUUAUAAACUUGAACAUGGAUUUUGGGUGAGCAUGUGGUUGAUUGAACUAUAAUAGUGAAGGACUCUGUCUCUCUGUCUGUCCAACCAUAAUGUCUCUGGUGGAUUAGUUGGGACAGUGGGAGUGAAUUUGACUGAUGAGUUUGGUGGGUCAUAGCCAUUGGAGGUUGUACUGCUCUUUUGUAUGAAUUAGCCUUCUUUUUUUUUUUUUACUUCUCUUUCCCACUCUCUCCUUGAGUUCCUCCUACUGCAGUCUGAUAGAUUUUAACUUUUGUUUAGUGGAAAGACACAGCGGCGGGGGGAAUCAUCUUGAUGGGAUACAAUUGUUUGGACCAAGAAGUGAGGUUUCUGGCUCGAUUAUGAGCAAUCGAUUUUCGGGAAACAAGAGAAGUACCUCGGAUUCACACUUCUCAACGCAAGAGCACCCAGAGACUCUGCAUUGGUCCAAGGUAAAAAAGAAAAAAAAAACACAACUUCACCAUGUUCGUAGCUUCCAUAUAAGUUAUAAUUCAGUUUCUGUAAUUUGUCAUUGUAAUAACCUAGUUGCUUAGAAACGGACCUGGAAGCUUCUCCAUGAAUGUGAAUCCCUUGGCAAACCAGCCUCCACGUGGAGGAGGACAGAUCAGUCAUUUGCUUCAUCAGCUGUCUUCAAGCAGGUUCAAAGAUGAAAACGUAGGUCCAUCAGCUAUCGCUCAGACAGCUGCUGAUGAAGGUUCACGAACAGGGAUGAAAGGUCCCGGUAUCUUGAGUUCUUUUACAAUGCCAAACCCGACCAAGCUCGAAAGUUUUCCCCCUUCAAGGUCAGUUAGCUUCUACUGUUCUGUCUCUGGUCUUUUUGAUACUAUCUUCCGAGGCAUUUCAAUACAUUUUGUAUUUAGCACCGGAAUUCGGAAAGACGUGAAGUCAAGUACUAAGCAAAUGACCAUCUUCUAUGGCGGUCAAGCUCAUGUCUUUGAUGAUGUUCUACCAAACAAGGUGAUUCUCCUUAACACUUACAUUCUUGAAAUUCAAGUUAUUUGACUACAUAUUGAAAUCUAAUAAAGUAGAGAAACUGGGAAGUCCAUUAUAUAUAAACGUUUUUUCUCUUUUGCAGGCGGAUGUGAUAAUGGCCUUGGCAGGAUCAAGCGGGGGCUCAUGGUCUACCGGUUUGUCGCAUAAACCAAAGUCAAAGAACAACACAAGUGACUGUCCAUAUAAAAUAGACCAAAUGUAUGAAGGAGGCAGCUCUAGAGAAACACCGCUUUUGGUUACGGAUUUUCGUGCAAGGCCAAGUCAUCAAGCUACAUCCAGGGCCUGUCAGCGGAUCUUUUCACAACAAGGUGACUAAUUUUUAAACAAAAUCAUAUUUCAGCAGAAAUUUUGGUUAGCGUCUUACAAAUACACAAUGGAGUGGAGCAAUCAGGUCUUGUUCUGCAUUGUGAGACAUAACAAAUAAAGAGUUAUCAACAGUUCUGGGUUUUGUCAGCUUUGAAUCUUUUUGUCAGGCCAUUAAAACAUGUGCAUAUAUGAUUUGCAGGUAGAGAACAUCAAGGAAGUAUCAUCUCAAGGGGACGAGAUACCAGAGAUCCGGUUCACAUAUCAGAUCCUGAAAAAGAAGCCACAUGAUUUAGUCUGGAUAUGAGAGACGUGCUUAGUUGUCUUUUUUUGGCAAAUUAUCUAAGUUGUUAUUUGUUCGAGUUAAAAGCUUUGUACAAUGCUCUGUACCUUUCUAGGUUUAUAUUCCGAAUUUAUUACCCUUAAUGAUUUAAAGUAUAAUUUCCCCAUAGCUAGUAUAUAAACAAUUGGUCAAACAAACCUGCUUUUUCUAGGCCAACAGAUUUUCAUAUAUGUGUAAGGUUGAGCAUAUGGAUACAGUAUCACAAGAGAAUCAUGUCUAAACCAACUCUGGAAGUCUGUAACUCGAAAGGAGAGUCACCUCAUAUCACCUUAUUCAACCCCUUCUUUCGAGUCAGAGGUGGUUACAACAGAUAUUUGACUCCUCAGCCUCUCAUUCUCAGUACAUUCCUCCUGCAAUUGAAAAAAUUAGCACUAUAUAAGUAGAUGACUCUCGGGAGUUGAAUCGUUAUAUCAGUAUAACCACUUGUUUCCUCUUUUGUGCUUACCUGGAAUGCUCUUAGUACAGUGUAGCAUUUCCUUUGCUCUGCAGCUGCAGCAAGAUACUUUUCUUUUGAAGCAUCACGAAGCCUCUGCUCUUCUAGAAGCCCAAGUUGUACUUUUCCUAUCUUCUGCACUUCAAACAAUUUGUCACGACAAGUCAUACAGCUAAAGUUAUGUAAGAUGGGCGAGAUUCAUUCUUUGUGCCCCAAAUACCUAAAUGAAUAUAACUCUCUUACCUGUUGGAUUCCUUUCAUUACUCCUUCCAUAGAAUCAAUAAGCUUCACACGGCCAGCAGGACGGCCAAUCACGUCUUGAAACUACAUUGGAGUCAACGGCUAAUGAGGAAGAAUUGUGAAACUUUGACUCACCAAGAGAUAUACUAAAAGGGGAAAGCAAAACGUAAAUCAACUUAAUAUGAACCUAGCCUUUUCUCAACGAUAAGUACAUAAUAACUAAAGGUAUAAAACUGAGAGCAGUAAAAACUAAAAAGCAGAUGACGCCAGUUACAGAAAAUCUACAAAACAAUAACGCCUGUAAUGUACCUGUGAACCUAUUGAAUUUAAUAAUGAUGUCUCCUUUAGCAUCAAAUCUUUGAUUUCUAAAAGAGCAUUGUAUGUUGCAUAGAGCUUCCUAGUUUGCUGAAGUUUCUCCUGUUUUUUAGUCAGAAAUUGAACAAAUGUUCAAGCUUGUAAGUUCAUUUUCAACUACAGAACAAACCUGCAAAGCAACACGGCAAAUAUUAAUUUGACCAUUCAAACCUGGAUACAGACAUUCAACUCUGAGAAUCUUCUUUCAUAUCUGCACGGAAUGUAAUGUAGAACUUUAGCAUGAGACAAAUACAAAGCAAGGGGGAAAUUAACCAUAAUGAAACUGGAUUCCCUUUGAACAAAAAAAAAAGAAACUGGAUUCCUAAAAGCAAGACGCAAAGGAACUUGACUUCUGAAAUAAUGAUUCCACACCUUUACAACAGAAUUAAAGAUAUAUGCUCAUCAAACUAGAGGGAGUGGGGUUAAAACAGAUACAUUGUUGAGAUGGACGAGUUUCAAUGCUAACUAAUACACAAAUACAAGUGCCAAAUCCAAGGCAUCGCCUUUGAAGAAAGCAAGAAAUAGAUAAAGAAGGGCAUACUGGAGGAGUUCUGAUUGGCAUGGCACAUCAUCAAUCUGUCGUUUCAGUGACACUAUUUCUCUAAGCGUUGCUGCAAGCUCCUACAGUAAAACAAAAGAAAUGCAGUAAUAACCUUUUAGAAAGACAUUUAAAAAACCUGAACUUUACUCCAUGAUGCUCAAGAUGCAUAGAGGCUUGUCUAUAGCUUAGAUAGAGUACCUUCUUUGCUGAAGUCAGAUUAUCUAAAGAUUCAACCAACAAACCAUCUAAAUAUUCCUCUUGAAUCUCACCAUCAUGCCCCUUAGCGACACUCUCUUUCAAAUCAUGAACCGCACCUUCUAAAGCAGAACGCCUAGCAUUGCAAUUAGACCGGACUUCAGAUUCCUCUUUUUCUAAAUCCUGAAAAAACCUACAACUAUUGAGUUCCACACAGGGCCAGUUACAAAAUAGUAAUGAAAACAGAAACUUUUGGUAACCCUCAACACUUAUUAACCUUGAGUGAUCUCAAAAGCUGUAUCAACUCCUGGACUGAAACAUCAACACCUUCAGCACUUAUUCUUUCUUGCAGCUGCUGCAGUGUAUCCUUAACAUCACAUUUUCUCUGAUUCUAAGUUACAAAUGGCGACAGAUUAAAACCUAUCAGUGUAAUUUGAUCAAAAACACCAGUGUAUAAGAUAGACUAGGAAAUAAGAGACGUGAAAGGGUUGCACCUGUUCAUUCAGUGUCACACUCAAUUCUCUAAUAGACGCCUUUAGAUUUGUCACCAUUACCUCAGGCUGCCCUGAAGCACAUUCCUCCUUCCCAGAAAUACAAACCUGUGGUUCUAGAGUAUAUCAGAACUUCUUCCGAAUCUAAUAGAUCAAUUGAGCAUCGAACAUUUCAUUCUUCGAGUACAAAACUUCAGGGAUCAAAACCAUAGCACAAGAACAAACAAAAUCAAGCAAAAAGCUCCUUCUAACCUCGUCACUGUUAUAUUCCUUCUCCAUCACCCGAUCACGCAAAACCGGGAAUUCUUCCUUCGCUGCCGGAGAAUCCGAGUUCAGCGACUCGGAAGAUCGACCUCAGAGACGCCGGAGCCUUCACGAUUGAAAGAAGACGACUUUUCACCGGCGUAAGCCAAAUCUAAAGGGCCACACUCUAUAAGUUUGCGACUGGAAUUUCGUAAUGGCGUUAAUAGCUUUCGCGUUUGCGUUUGCGUUUGAUGUAUGACUCACAAUUUCAGUUUUGAUUGUUUUUUUAACGCGUAAAUAUACUCAUAUAUGCAUUAAAAAAAUUCAAGCAGCAACUACCAAAAAAAAAAAAAAAAUCAAGCAGCUGAACCGAACCAAUACCGAAGCGAAGAGUGUCAGUAAUGAUUAAAGCUGAGCCAAAAGGACUAGUAAGAUUACAACAAGAGUUUUUCACAAUUCCUCAAGAUCCCAAUUUCGUCAGAUCAUACAACAACAUUUGUUUUUCAACAUCUGAAAAACUAUCUUGAGAUCGAGAUAAUGGCCGAGAGAGAGGAGAGGAGAGAACUACAAGUUAAAAAAAAACCCCGAGAUUAAUAAUAAUACCUAAACACAAACUUCUGUUUUCCUCUCAUUGAUAUCACUUCCACAGCUUCACUAGCUUGUCGUGACUUGCUGAUGCAACCAAUCCAGUUGCGGUUGACACCGCCAAUGAAGCUAUUAGCCCUUCGUGAGCUGGUAAUGUCAUCGUCUUGUUCUCUGACAUGUUCCAUAGUUCUAAAGACUGCAUACAUACACAAAACACAGUUCACAAGUUUAGAAGUAAACUUAUGAUUUCUUGAUUAGUUUUCAUUCCAACUUUUUAAACAGUCGUUGUUAUCAUUUCAACUUUACCUGGUAGCAGCCAAUUACGAGCAGCGAGGGGUAAGCGGGAUGGAAAACACAAGACUGGAACUUGUUACCGUUGCAGCUCAGCUCAUGAACACAUUCUCCUUCACUACCUGUACCAAGCGUCCAAACUUUCACCAUAUCUUCGCUAACCGAAGCCAAGAAGUCACCAGAAGGAUCCCAGCAAACCGAGUUUAUCGGAUUAGCAUGCCCCUAUCACAGAAGAAUUAGUAAACCUUCUUUUGAGAUGCAAAAUAUUUCACAAAUCCGAAACCGAAUAAGAAAAGUUAGACACUAAACCUGCAAAGAGUGUCGAAUAGCUUGUGUUUCGACAUCUAGUACAUUGACAAGAUUUGCUGAUGAAGCCGCGAGAUACUUUCCAACACGGGGUUGGAACCUCAUCUGGGUGGAACCACCCUGUGGAAAGACAAAUGUAUAAUUAAUUGUAUUGAUUGCUAACUAAAGUAAAUAAUGUUGAAUCAUUGGUUUCAAGAGAGGAAGAAACGUACCUUGUACACUCUUGUGCAACUUCCAUUGUUGAUGCUCCAGUACCUUAUUUCGUUGUCAUUGUCACAGGAACAUAUGAGAUCAUCCUUGAUGGGAUGGAAGUCAAGUGACGUAACCAUAGAAGAAUGUCCCAUGAAAGUACGAAGGGAAUAACCUUUCUGCAAAGUUGAUUCACACACACUUAAGAUCACAACGUCCGAAACCAAUAUAUUCACGUAGAAAUAAAAAAAAAACAUAGUGAAAACGAUCAACUUUCACUUUACAUUAUCAGCAUCCCACACCCUGACAGUUUUGUCAAAUGAAGAAGUCGCAAGGCGAGACAGGCUUGGACUAAAACGGAUAUCUGUUAUCAUAGCUGUGUGCUCCUCAAGGGUUGUCUUUGGCUUCAUACUGUCUGUGUGCCACAGUACAGCCUGCAGGAUGAACCAUGCCACGAGGCUUAAUUUUUAGAACGCCAAUAGACCUAAUGAUGAUUUCUAGCUUACCUUUUUGUCAUGUCCGGCACUAGCAAGCAUUUUUCCAUCCGAUGAGAAGUGGCAACAGGUAACUUUGCUUGUGCUCGCGCGUACUGAAUUCACUUCAGUAAACGUGAAACCUAGUGCAGAGCCAUAGUUGUAGAAAUUUAGAAAUACUGUUGGAUUACAGAAGCAGAGUUCACUGUGUUCUUGUCGAAUGAUAUUGAGUGAGACUAAAACACGCACCUUUACUGACAUCCAUACACCGAGUAACAGCAUCUCGUUGAUCACCAUCCUCCUGGGAUAAAAAAGACUCAACAUUGUCGUCGAGCGACCCAUCUUCCACAAAUCGAUCCAUAUCAGCCUGCAAAAUAGUCAAUUAUUGAUGCUGCUAAUUAUUCAUUACGAAAACAACUACACACUCCCAUCAACAGUUUAAGGAAACCCACCAACUGAUUGGAUGGAGAUGUAAGAGUCCCAGUUCCUUCAGUGCCAAACAUCAUCAUUGAUUUGGACGAACCACCACUGUGCGGCAGAUUAGGCAUAGAAAUCACAUCUCCAGGAGUAUGAGUUGAAGGUGUUGAAGGUGCUGAGCUUGGUGAUGGUCCCGCAGUGUUAGCUGUUCCUGAACUAUUAGCUGGUCCAGAAGACGAAACUGGUUGCUUUCUUUUCCUCCCAGUCUGAUUCUUCAAUACCUUCAGUUAAUUGCAAAAGAGUUUAGGAACUAACCUCAGCCUCACCAGAGACUAAAAACUUAUGUAAAAGAUAUUAUUGAAACAAGAAGUAGGAAAUGAUACAAGAAUAUAAGAGGAGACCUGUUCGUUUCCUCGAAAAGAAUUUGACAUGCUACCAUCCAUCGUAAUACUACCACCACCUCCCAGUUUAUCUUGUUGAUGAAUGUUGUGAUUUGAACUUUGUGGUUGCGGAUUUGAAAGGGCAAGCUGAUUAAGCGGCUGCGGCGGUGGCUGUGGCUGCGGCUGUGGUGUAUUCCCACCACUCUGCUGUUGAUGCUGCUGCUGCUGUAACAGAGCCAUCUUUAACUACAAAGCACAAUAAGUUGUUAAAACUUUAGAGCGUCAAGGCCAUUGAAAACGAUCAGAGAUUAUUAUAUCUUCCUCCAAUUAUAACACACAAUACUGUUAGAGUUUAUUCGAAGUUGUGUACUAUUGAAAAAACAUUAAAGCCAGCCACUUAAGAUUCGUAAAAAACGACGAGGCAUACCUUAAGUAGCAUGUCGGUGUCUCCACGUGGCAAAAGAGGGCCACCAGGUUGUAAAGACGAUCCAACAUUAGGUAAAACAUCCCCAACAGAACUCCCAAGGCCAUCCUUUCCAAGGCUCAUGCUCCUGUUGCUCAAUAGCAUUUUAAGUCUUCUGUUCUCUUCACUGACGGACUGUGAAUUCAGAUUCUGUUGAGCCAGCAUGAGCUGUUGCUGAUGUUGCGGAGUCAACAUGUUCAGUUGGUGAAAAGACUGAGGAGACUGCAUAAAUGGUUUUUGCUGCUGAAGAAGACCAGAACGAAGCUGAUCAAAUCCCUAAAUCAGGUAAGAAAGCAGCAGUCAGAAACAAUACUAUUUCGAGAGAAAGUAGUGAGUUUAAGCCAGAGAGAGAUGCAUGGGUAAAGCUUACAGUGAGAGGCCACCCUUUAAGUGUAAGGUUGUUGUUGCCUUGAUUUGAACCUAAAACAGGAAAACCAGCAUUAAUCAUCUUGUUAGCUGAGUGCUUUACAUUUGAUAUGCUUAACCUACUGAAAUAAUACAAGCAGGAAAGCAAACCUACCAGGAAUCCCAAUCAACGACCCUUCUGGAACAGCAGUUCUGGGAGUGAGAACGGGAUUGAUCUCACUUUUUAUAUCCUAAACCCAAAUAAUCCCAGCAAGAAUCAACUAACAGUAAACCUCUACAAGGGACUAGACACAACAAAGAUUUAAUAUUACGUACCACUGCAGACCCAGAGAGUUGCUGAUUUCGAGCUUGAACCUGUGGAGACAUACCACCACUUGUACUAUGUAAUACUUGCCUGUGAUUCACCAGUAAAUGGCAUUAGAAAAAGAGAGAUCGAAUUUGGUUGCAACAUAUUUAUCGACUAGGCAAGGUAGCAGAAGAUAUAAAGGAAACAAUGAAGGAAGUACGAGAACAGUACCCUGCAGGUUGUCCGGAAGCUGCAGCAGAUUUCAUUAUUGAUGCAUGAUUUGGAUCCAACAAUUGCCCAACAUUGUCCCCAAAUCGCUGUAGUCAUAGAAGUUUUGAAUUAUAGCAUCUGAUAAAACUUAGGUGUGACAAAAAGAAUAAAUGGAAUUUCAAGAUGCCUAGCCUACACUAACCUUCAUAGCAGCUUCAUCUAAGGAUUCCCUCUGAGAUGGCAUUUUGACCCUGUCCUCGUAUGCCUUACUUGCUAUGGAACUACCAGACCCAGGAUUUUGCCUCAUAACUGGAUCACUGUUAUUACCAGCAAGUCCAUUUGCUGAUCCAUUUGCAAGGUGGGACCCAUCUCUUCUCUGUGGCGGCUGCUGUGAUGUUGACUGCUGUUGGUGUUGAGACGCCGGCUGCUGCUGUUGCUGCUGCUGCUGCUGUUGAGAAGGUGGUUGGUUUUGAUGUUGUUGUUGUUGCUGCUGCUGCUGCUGUUGCUGUUGCUGUUGCUGAUGAUGAUGUUGUUGUUGCUGCUGUUGCUGUUGUUGUGCACGUUGUUGUAACAAGAGUUGCUGCAUUUGUAUUUGCUGCUGUUGUUGCUGCUGCUGCUGUGAAACCUGUGGGUGGUGAGAUUGUUGCAAUUGCUGUUCUCGCGCUUUGAUCAUUUGCGUCUGUAAACACACACACACACAAGUUUAAAUCUUAUCAACUUAACAUACCAAUACUAAUACUUAACCAAACAUUUCUGACUAUACAUAUACAACUUCUAAAUCUUCUCUUUAAACAGAAAAGACAAGAGAGAACAGCACUCAAUUGUAAGCAAUCAAGGUGAGCAACUCCAUAUCAUUAACAAAAAAGACUAUCGUAGCUUUGCACAGAUAUAGAAUCACUAAUAGUCUGGGUAACAAAGAAAGAGACCUCGAUGUAAGAUGCGGCAACCUCGGAAUGCUUCUCAUUGGUCCUGGCAAUAAAUAUAUCCCAGAAGACAGACCACCACUCAAACAGAAAUCCGCCAGGUGCGUCAAUAGCUACAAAACAAUGCAAGAAGAAUGUGAAGUUGAUUAGUAAAUAGAAACAGUUACAGCAUGAAAGAUCUUUAUCUGUAGUCAAAAAGGUCAAAGAGGAUUGUAAUUUCGUACCGACUGGAUCUGAUGACACUUUUCCUUCAGCUUGGAAAGCCUGAGCUGUGGCUUUUAAAUCUCUUUUAACCAGAUAAUCGUGGAUAUAGACAUCCAACCUGUUACACUCAACAACUUUUAAUCUUAAGCAGCAACACCCACAAGAUAAUAGUAUAUAACACAUCAAGAUCGGAAUAAGAAUUGUCUUAGAAAUCUCUCGACAAAGGGAACUCGCCAACGAGGAGCACAAAACUUAACAAUGUCCAAGAAACAAACCAUCCAGUUCGUAACAAAAACACCAAAAUCAGGAAACUUUGAUGAUGGAGCUUAUAGAAGUCACACACUUUGCAUACUGAAAAGAAAAGGAAAUUUGGGGCAGUAACAAAAUAAAUCUGAUGGCACAAGAGUCAACCAGAAUUGGAUAAACCAAAUAUCCAGAAAUUAUCAAGCUCUUUGACAGUGACUGACAACACAAAGAACUAAACUUUUGGCCAAAACAUGCAAAACUUCCCAAACCAAAAGUUCUCAACAACCACCAAAAUCUAGCAAGGAUGCUUUCUGAUAAUAGAAACUAGAGAACCCCGCAAAGUAACACAACCCCUCUAACGGAAAAACAAACCAAGAAUGUCAAAAAAGAGAAGAAAGCUACUAAAAAUGAGACAGCUUGAAAAAAAAAUGAUAUAAUAAGCUAACCCACAAAAUCAGCUGAAUCCAGAUAAAGUGUAAGCAAUAAGAUUUCGAAACCCUAGAAUCAAACUGUAGCUGGGGACGGGAAAAGGAAGAAGAAAAAAACAAUGCAUUUAAACAAUCUGAACCCUAGAAAUCACUUCAAAAGACCCAACAUAAAAAAAAAUGAACACUUUUAAAGUAGAAAGCAGUAAGGAAGUAAGUGAGUAAAAUCAAAACCCAUCAAAACGAAGAGAAGAAGAAAAAAGAGAAAGACUCACAUUUUAUCAGCUUCCCAGUUGGUCUGAGACAUCUCUUUUGUUCGAAGACAAAGACAAACCCCACAGACAGUUGUUUACAAUGUCAGAUUCCCAUGUAAUAACUAAUAAUGAUAUCCCUCCUUACAAAAUAAAGAGCUUCUUCCUCCCAAUCCUCUGAGAAAAAUUAUUGCACAGCAGAAACCAAAUUCAAUGAUUCUUUUCACCUCCCCACCUAAUUUCCCCUAGAAACUGACGAGAUUUAACACUUCAAAAUAAGCCAAACCAAAAGCCCCUCAAAAAAAAAAAAAAAAAAAUUGAGAAAUAAAGUAGAAGAAGGAAGAGGGAGAGAGAGGGAGAUGGAUACAAGUUUUUUUAGAGAGAGAAAGUUCGAGAGAAAGGAGAAAGCAUCUCUGUAAAAAAGCAUUAGAAGUAGCUCAGCUCUGUUAUUAAUAAUAGUAGCAACUAGCGAAUAUUAAUUAUUAAAUCCUUUUAUUUAUUACAGUCUAAAAUGAACCCAAAAAAAAAGUACAGAUUUUUUUUUUUUCACUUGAGCAAAAAGACAGAUUUUUCUCAGAUGAAUUUCUGUAUCAAUUCUUUUUUUUGUUUUUGUAUAAUUUGGAGAAAACGUGUUUUGCGGUAUAUUAUAAAUGAGUUUAUUUUAGUUAUAUUUCUUUCCUGGGUCAAGCUUUUUAAUUUAAGUUCAUAAAAAUAAAAUCUUGACCAUAACUAAGAAUUGUUUUUAAUAAUAUGAUUUUAGAACAAAAGUAGUUUCCACUUUCCAUGUCAGUUGUUUUGGGUGGACGGGAAUUGCAGAAGAGAUAUACACAACACACAUAUGAAAGUUUUAGCUUUAUCACUGUUAAUUUCCUAAACAGCCCUCGUAGAGAUGUGGUAUUUACGUGACGUAGCACGCCUUUCGCCAAAGUACUUUUGCUUUUAAUGACAAAAAUAACCUUUUUAUAAUCAAUUAUACUGAUUUGACCUGACCCCCAAAUCUCUCUUUCGUUGUAAAAACUUCUUCUCAAUUUAUUUAUUAUUACUCGAAUUCGUAUGUUUGUGUAUUAUAAAAAAAAAUUCCUAUAAGUUCAUUCUCUUUUGUUAAAUCUUUCUAUCAAUACAAAGGAAUUUUUUUCUAUUUUUUUGUUAAACCUUUCUAUCUAUGUGAAGUAAAUUCUUGUGAAUACAAGUCUUCUUAGACUACUUUUGGAAAACAAUUGAGGUUUUCUAAAUUAAAGUUUUAAAGCAAAGCAAACUAUGUGCUUCUCUUUUUUACUAAUACAAGACAUAAAAAGAUUACCAUUAAUUAUUAUUAUUAGAAUAGAAUUUUAUGAGAUAGUGAUGCGAGAUCCUUCUUUGAAAUAUUUAAAACUUAUAAAUUAGUCUACUAGAAAAAGAAAAGAAAAAAAAACUUCAACUGCGUCCGACAUUUAAAAACGAAUGAUCAAUUCAUCAGUAGUCAUCACCGAACAACUCACAUCACAACGGCGACUUUUUAAAUGUAUCAAAGAUUCAUUCACUAAAGGGCUUGCUACCUUAUGUGUAAGCGGGUGAGUACCACCAUAUAAAACCAUACUUGUCAAAUUAAGGAUCACGCUGAAUCUUUUUUUCUUUUUUUUUGUUGAAGAAAGGAGAAAGUCGCUUAAAUUAUUAAAUUAAUAUUAUUUGUCACAAAGAAAGUCGCACUUAAACAUGUUUUUAUCGACAUAUACACACAUACAAACACUUUAAAAUAAAAAUAAAAACAAAUUUGACCGAAAAUUUUGAGAAUAGUUUGAUGUUAGGCCCAACAUUGAAUCUCAAGUCCAUAGGAAGAAGGCCUUGCAUAACGCAAAUAGCAGAAUAAGGUAAUCUUUUAGAGGUUGCAAUUGCAUGCUUCUUUUAAGAAAAUGUUUUGAAAGUACGAAGAAAUAAUAGCAAGAGUUCAAGAAGUCAAAUUAUAUUCUCAUGACAACUCUACAAUUUAAGAGAUGACCCCCUACAACUACAAGGCUACAAAACAAACAAAGAAAGCUGUCAGUCUUGGACUAGCGGUCAACCAAUAUUUCUCAAAAUUUGCGGUCGUCAAGAUCUUUGUGCAUGUAAUCACAGGUUUUUAUUACUGUAUUUUAAAACAAUUCAUAUUUAUUAUAUAUCCAACAGAUAUUUUGUGUGGGGAAUCCUAUUAUAUAAUUUGUGAUUGCUAUACAAGUUUGCGAUGAAAAUACUUGUGUAGACUAAUUAACUUGAUGAUAUGCAAGAAAGCUUCUACCAAAGUUGUGAUGACAAAUUACUAGUAUAUUUUAAAAAAAAUUAAACUACAAGACAUGACUUAUACUGUAUUUGAAAUAUUGAAUACACUCAUUAUUGAGUAGAGUCUUGAAUCAGAUAUACAGUCAUAUGUGUUGUUGAUAAUGCCAUUCAAUAACCAUAUGAAUAUUAUAUGCAAUUGGAUGUAAUGUUGCUGACAUUACAAAAACGUCGAUGGCAGAGCUCUUUAUUGCUGAUAGAUGCAUUCAAAUAAGAAUAUGCUUGGGUCUCACACACUAACUAUCCAUAAUACUAUUCAUAUGUAUUGAAUUUUCUUUUCUGUAUUUUUCUUUUUGGUCAGCAUAAAUGGAAAUGAGACGUCACGUACGCAAGUGUUAAAUUCUCAUCCAAGUUUUUCUUUUGGAUUUUAAAUUAUAUUCCCAAGUUCAGAAGUUGAUCAUGUAACACCUCCAAGGACUCGCAAAGUUCAGACAAGAAAAAGUCAGCGUAGAGACUCGCUCACAGGCACAUCACGUGUAACUGAAUGAGCAAUAAGGUAAUUGGGCCAUAAAGACAAUCAAGCCCAAUUUAGAUAUGGGUUUCCGCGGAAAGUUGAAAGGAGACAAAUUUAAAGAUGAUACAUUAGAGGGCUAUAUAUAGCUUAAUCAAUCAAAAGUAAGACCACUCAUUUUUGUUUUCUCUUCGGCCACUUAAAGUUCUUUUAGUUUUUAAGGGUUGGCCACCCUAUCUUUAAGACCCACCAAACUUGUUGUUUUAAUGUUUACAAAUUAUUUCUAUACCGCUUUACAUAUUAUCAAGGUAACCACACUGUGGGAGGAACUAUUUUUUUUUUUUUUUUUUAAUUAGAACCACAAUUACCCAGCGAAUCAAAUGAUCUAAAAAUUUAUGAUAACAUGAUGAAACCUUGUAACCAGAAAUAGCGCUAUAUAUAUAUAUAUAUAUAUAUAUAUAUGUCAGCUGGGAAGUACAAAUUAAAACAUCAUAGGCAAGAGUGAGUUGUGUUAUAACUUUUAAGCAACCAAGCUUUGAGUUUUACCAGCUAGUGCAGUCAACACAAGUGUUUAGAAGGAUUAAUAUGAUCUCGUUAAUUUACUAAAAUUUAAAACCUUGUAUGUAAUCUCUCUAUGCUAGCACUAGGUGUUGUUGAAUAUAAUUACUAGAAAUACUUAAUAUUGAAUCCUUGUAAUUUCAAAAAGUGCAUACAAGUUAAAUAUAAAUGAUCAUUCGAAACUUCAAAAAUGGAAAUGAAGCUAGUAAUUGGCCAUUAGAAUGGGUAUGGUGGAAGAUACUAAGGAAAAAAAAGGGCAUAUAGCAAUCUUAAGAGUAAGUUUGGACGGAGCAUGCUGAACAGCAGAGGACACGACAAGUCUAUUCUGAUGAAAGCUUUGCUUUUGUCAUCAUAUAUGUACAUAUAAUGACAUAAAUACAAAUUUCAAAUUUUGACUCGCACGUUUUCUCAAGUUUCACAUAUAUGGCUACAUAUGAUACGUGAGUAAGAGAAGUGCUAUUUGUUUCUUUGCAUGGCUAAUCCCCAUGCAUCUAUGCCAUAAUACAUACAUAUACAAAAUGCAGUACUGUGUAUUGAUUAGUACAAGUGCAUGCCAACUUAAGUAUACAAUAGGGAAGGUACGGUUCAUCGGAUCAUGAGUAUUUAUCUCGAUUCUAACUCCCCUCGUGGUCCAUACCUUAUUCUUACAUCACUGUUAUUAUAUCCUCUAUAGCAACACACAAAUCUAUACAUUUACAUAUAAUCAGUAUAUAUAUAUACGAAUUAUUGGAAAUUACUAAUGACCUAUAUAUACAAACGAUGCAAUUCAUAGUUGAUAUAUAUUGACUAGUCGAUGUAUAAGCCAAACGAAAGAACAUAAGAAGGAUAGCCAAUUGACACAUUGAAAAAUCAGGAAAAUGCAAUUCAUAUAUAUAUUAUUGACUAGGUCUGAAAACGAGUGUGUAUACUUGACUCACUGGUCUUUUAUGAAGAGCUACUUUAAUUUGCUUUAUUAUACUAGUAUUUUUCUGUUUAUUCUCUUACAGUAAUUAAUAUCAUUACUCCAUAUUAGUGAUUGAGACCAAUAGUAGUUAAUACUAAUUGGUCAAAGAAAACACAGAAAAGUUAAAAUAGGUAGAGAAUGUAUGUAAUUAAACGUAGUGAAGAGACGACUAAACUCAAAGAUGAAAAGACAAAUGUUAUUAUACAGAGAGGAUUAGAGUUUUAUUAAUUAAAGAGAAGGUAUGGGCAUCGGGGGAGAGAGCGGUGACAUACUUAACAUGCAAAAGAGAAAUGUCAAAUCUGAAAAAAUUGACAGUGUGCCUGCAAACUGGUCAGUACGUAGGACAAAGCCCCUAACCAUACGAAUUUUUAUUUUGUUUUAUUUUUCAAAAAUGCAAAGAGAAUACAUAAUAAUAAAAUCAAAAAAGGAUGACGUAAGUGACUGAGCAUAGUUAACGUAAGUGUGCAUGGAUGCGUGUCAUAACGUUUCUCGAAUUCAAUGCCUUCAAAUAGCAUUCAUUUUUCGUAUUCUUUUCUUUAUUAUCCUCUCUCUUUUUUGGGCAAAGGAUCCCACUCAUAAUUAUCUUCAAUUCUUCAUACAUUUUUUGAAAAUUAUUAUGGUCUAAAUACAAAGGUAUAAAAGCGAUAUUAUAAUCCAAUCUCAAAGGGAUUCAAAUUAAAACAUAAUUUCAAUAAAGCUUAAUAAUUAAGUACAUAUACUGUAUGUGUCUUUUUCCACAUAUAUAUGGUUAUAUUCUUCUAGCAAGUACUUGUUUGCGCAAAGCCAUUAUAUAUUCGAAUCAAGAUGGUAUCUCAAAGGGCUGAGUGGAAUAUAAUUUAUACAUGCAUGUAACUAUGUAAGGAAAACGUCACUACUACUGCAAAUCUGCAAUGAUCGAUUCAGUCAGAAUGACAAUAACUUAGGUCACUUGAGUGAAUGAAGUUGUAUUUUGGGUAAAACAUUACCAAACAAAUUAAUAAUAUCCUAAAUUAAAGAAGUUAAUUACUUAUCCCUUAAUUAGUUAUGGGGAAUGUGCGCGCGUGUGUGUGUAUGAGUCUCAUCACAAGUCAUGGCGGCAGAGAAAGAGAGUGAUGGAUCAUUUAGGUAAGAAAGAGAUCCGUCCAUGCGGUGAUAUAAGCUAAGCUAGCAGCAGAAGAAGUGUGUCAGCUCUCUCUCUAUAUAUCGGUUCUCAUUUCAGUGACAAAUCAGUGCCACACCUUCCUUCCCUUCCUUACGUCUGCAUCUCUAUGUACACUACACACUUACAUAUUCAUUUGUCUCUCUUACAUUCACAUUCUAAUACACGACAUACGUCGUCUGAGUUUUCUAUCAUUCGCUUAUAUAUUAAUUAAUGCUUAGUAUAUAUAUACCAUGGGGAUAUGAUAUAGUAUAUAAUCUUCCGAGGUCGACUUGUAUUUCGACAAAUAGUCACUGACUAGUAUUAGUAAUCUCAUACAGAAAUUGAUAUUCACACAAUUAAUCACCCUUAACCAAAAAUAAAUGGUUUAACCAAAUUAAAAAGGUAAAGGGUGCUAAUUAAUUGAAUUCGAUGGUAGGUAACAAAUCUUUUAAGACGUGUUUAGUGAAUUUUGACAAUCUAGUAAUCUGUACAAGUUUAUUUCUUCGAUUUACAACAUGCCAAAACUAAGGUGGUAGUGUAAAUGACGAAACCAAAGAAAGAUACAAAUGUAAUAGAAAAUGAAAAAAGAAAAAAAAAAAAAAAAAAGAAAGGAAAAUUAGGAGUUAGAGAAAAAGACAAAAGGAGAAGUGCACAUAUUCUUGAUGGGGCCCAUGAUAUCGUCGCACCACUGGUCAGCAAUAUCGCCAGCGAUCUUAACGGCGUCAGACGCCGUCCCAAGGAGUCCUCUCCUCGUAAACCCAACUGUGUACAAUCCUUUCCCUCCUCUCCAGCCGUUUGGAUACGGCGUUCUCGGCAUCCCUUCUUCCGUGAAAUAUUCACUUCCCUGUCCAAAUUAUUCAUGACUUGGAUUUUAGGAUGAGUUGAGUUGGGAAGAGUCAUAUAUAAGUCUCGUAUUAAGAUUACAUGUGAAGGAAGAAUGCAUUACCUGAAGCCAAGUAGGCACGUUGCUUUUGUAACCUGUGGCAAAUAUGAUAGAGUCAAAGUCCUUUUCUUGACCAUCCAUAAACUUUGCUCCUUUUUUUGUUAUUUCCUUUACACCUUCCAUUAUCUUCAUUUAAGAAUCAAUAACAAAAGACACACACAAAAUAUAUUAUUAGGUAUAUCUUUACAUGAUAACCAUAUAUUAAUUAAUAAGAAGCUCGGUAACAUUGUUUAUUAAAUCACGACGACGAAAAUACAAUUGGUUUACGGAAGCAUAACAUCAACAGAAUAUACUACAAACAAAUAUUAACUUUUUCCUAUCAUCAAGAAAAAGUGGAAACAAUUUUAAAUACUGCUUGUACUAGUAAUUUUUUUUCUGAAAAGCUAAGAAUUUAAAACAAAUUCUUUCGUAGUUUCCACAUUAACACGGUUCUUUUAGAAAGUUGGCUAAUACAAGUAUUUAUUUCGUGGGCACAAUUAAAAAUAACAAGUUGCUUUAGGCCACGCAUAAAUAAUAAAUUUGUCACUCAAUUCAUAAAAGAUAAAAACAUCAAAUCUAAAACAGAGAUAUUUUUGGAAACCUUAAUUACACUCACCUGAAUCUUGCCGGUUCUGAUGAGAGACAUAGCUCCGACGUCGAGAACAGGACUUUUUCCGGUUACGUUUUUCAGCUCAAGCGGACCCGUUUUGGGUCGACGAAGACCUAACCGGUCUGUAUUUCCAAGCGAAAGGUUAGCCAUCAAUAGCAAGAACUUGUCAACGAGCCUUAAGGGUAAGCAUUUGAGAAGUCCCAUCCCAAUUCCAAAUGUUGAUAGCCCAAGUAUCUCCCUUGGCAACACAUGAACCUACCUCAAAACAAUUGUAUUGUUUCAUUCAUAUAGACAAAAAAAGAACCGACGGAUAGUAGGAAAUCUUUAAAAGUAGACAUGUUUUCACUUACGGUGUUCCGGACAACAAGAUGAGGAGAGGCGUUAUGUCGGACUAGGUCUAAACUAAUUUCCAUACCGGAAUUUCCACAUCCGACGACCAGAACUUUCUUUCGCCGGAACUCUUCGCCGCUUUUGUACUCACUUGCGUGGACGAUUUUCCCGCCGGAAAACUUCUUUAUCCCUGGAAUCUCCGGGAAGCAUGGAUCUGCGUUCUCACCGGUGGCAACGACAAGCCAUUUGGAGAGAUACUCCGUGUUGUCAAGAGUCUUUACUCUCCAGAAACCGGAGGAGGAAUCGAAUGACGCGUUUUGGACGUUCGCGUUGAACCUCGGGACGAUGCGGAAGUGGGAAGCGUAGGACUCAAGGUAGGCCAAGAACUCGUUUUUGGAAGGGUACUUCGGGAAAUCUUCAGGGAAAUCCAACAGGGGUAACCGGCAAAAGUGUUUAGGGAGAUGGAGUUUGAGCCGGUCGUAUGUUUUAGACUUCCACAGAGAUGCUAUCGAAUCGGAACGCUCUAGGAUCAAAGAAGGGACUCCACGGCUCGAGAGACAAGCUGACGUGGCGAGACCGGAAGGGCCGGCUCCGAUGAUGAUGGGACCGUGUACGAGGAUGAUCUGCUUGGACUGAUCUGUUUGGUUGCGAGCUUGAGACUCCAUUUUCUUUGGGUGAUAUGUAGAAAAUGUUUAUAAAGAGUGUGGAGAGACUAAUGAGUGAGAAAGAGAGAUAUGUUUUACUUUUGGAGAAAUGUUCUCUUGUGUGAGAGAAGGAAUUGGAAUUUAUAGAAGAAAUGGUUUCAUUUGGGGUUUGGCUUUGUGGGACAUUCUAAGAUUCUCUAUGACGUCUCUUUACAUUUGUAAACAUAGUACAUUUUUUAUUUUUUUGGUUAUAAUUAGACUGUAAAACUAAAGUGUAAUAUUUUUGCUUUCUUUAGGCAUUAUUAUGAAUAGCGACGGCAGAUUAAGUGGAAUAAUCAAAGAGUUAGACUAUGUGAUUCCAAAUCACAUAGCUAGAAACUAUGUGGCGGGACUAAAUAAUUACAGAAUGUUUUCCCAAAGAUAGUGGUCACAAGUUCGAAUUAAUAUCGAAGACAACAUUAAUCUAAUUUGCAACGAAAAUAAUUUAAGAAAAAAGGAGGUUUUAUGAACACCAUGAAUAAGCUUAAUAAUAAUGCUUGUAUCAAAGUAAAGUCUUAAAUAGAAGGUGUAGUUAUCUUAAGUUCGUAUGAUUGAUCUAUAGGAAGCCUAUAUAUAGUAUUUUACUACAGUAUUAUUAUUAACGUAAAACUUGAAAAAUGUUUUUUCUGAAAAGAAGAAAAACGAAUGGAUAAAAAGAAAGAGUAGCGAAAGAGGCAUUGGAAUAGUAAAAUGGCAGUUCAAAAAGCAGAGUGUAAUAAAUGGAAAGCGUGAAGGUUAAGUAAAUUAUUUGCUCUUCUUCCCAAUUGAUUUUGGGGGAAUGAAUCCUCAAAGAGAAGAAAAUAAAAACAAGAGAGUUAUCAUUCAUUUUAAUUAUUCAUAUAUGUCUCAAUGUCUCAUCCUAUUCCAACCUUUGAAUCCAUUAUUAUGAUCCCUAUUUCUUUUGAACACUUUAAAUAUUGUAGUCCUCUGAAACAUUAGCAUAUAAAGUAUAUUGUACAAGUAAAUGGAUUAGAAAUUUAUAUCAUUUUGAUGUUAAUAAUAUAAUAGACAACAUACUAUCAAACUACAAUUUGAUUACGAAUGGUAUGAACAUGCGCCGAAAUUAGCUAAAGGUUUGUUCAAGAAAGCAAACAUAAUUCAUUCACAUGCUCCCCAAAGAAACUUUAUAGCCUUAAGAGAAUUAUUAUACUAGAAAUUUAUCAAGAGUUUAUAGGAUGAUAAACUAGAUAAGACUUGAAAGUAUAAGGGUACACUUGGUAUAAACUUAUGACUUGUGUGAUGCAUUUGGCCAUUAUAGAAUACACUUUUAAUAACAUAAUUAAUUUCUUGAAUCCUGCAAUAUAAUAUUUUCAGAUUAGGAAACUAACUCGGAACACUACACGAUCAUCUAAUAUAACCUUAGAAAAUUUUAAAGGAACAUCGCUGAAUAAUUAGUUAAUACUCAAAUUUUAUAUAACAAACGUUUGGAUCGGAGCUAGCGGGACAAGAGAGUAAUACUCCAUGUAUAAACAAAUUUUAUAUAAGAAGUAUUAGAAAUUUAGAAUAGUUAAAAAGGUUAAAACAAAAAACAUAAAAAUGCUAUUUUUAAUCUCUCUAUUUGGUAACACGUUAAUAUCAUAUGUUGUAUCGCUGUAGUGCGAGUGACCAAUCAAAAUCAUAAUUCGAUGUUGUAUUUUAAAGAAAAGCUUUUAGAAGUGUAAAAUUUUAACAUUGUUUGAUUAUGGGUUUGAAUGGAAAGGCAGAUAUAAAGCAUAUAUAUAGUGGUACAGAUUAACUGCAUUUUGUUUACCAUUCAUAAAAAGUAAUAAUUAUCAUUUAUAAAAGCAGUUCUCCUGCUAAAAUUCUGUAGGUGGACAAAAAAAAAGAAAAUUUAUUUUAUGUUCAUGUUUUUUCAAAGCAGAUCAAACACUUCUAUUUUAAAGUGUUUAAUAUAUGAUCUGCACUUGAACUGCCAAAUCUGUUUGAUCUGCUUUUAUUUUGCUAGAUCUGCCUAAUAUAUUUGAUCUGCUCUGCUUUAUAUGUUUUCCCAUUCGAAGCCUAUAUAUGUAAUUCGAAGCCUAUAUAUGUAAAUAUGCAAUGUAACAUUUCGCAUCCAAACUUUAAAGGGGAGUCUAGGGGUUGAGACCAAAUGUAAUAAUGAUUAAAGAAGGGCUAUUAUUGACUAAUUAAUUAACUUGGUUAUGGGAAAACAAAAGCUCCUUGGUAGAUUGUAAUGAUGAAAGAUACUCAAGGGUAAAAGAAAAUAAUUGAAAGUACAAUUGUAAUCAUUUAUACGAUUUUUUCAUGCUUGAUCAUCAGAAGUGUCGUGCAUGUGGUUCCACUUUAAAUAUAUAGAUUCUCAUCUAAUUAAAUGGCAUGUACAUGUCGUAAAUUAUAAGUUCAUUGUAAGCUAGAAAUUCAAAUUUUAGUUGUUCAUUUUCUAAAACAUACAUAUUUAAUUAGACGAAAAAUGCGACCGAACUGAACCUUUUUUCUUCUUCUUCUUCUUGCAUGUAACGGUUUUAGCAACCAAGUUAAUUUCAGAAAGCAAAACAAAUUUUGAUACAACCACUUAAAACCGUUGCAUAAAAUGAUUAUUAUGGACAAUAUGAUAUAUAUUUCUUAAUUGACUAAAGGAUAAUAAUAUUGAUGCGUUUGUCUUUUUUUUUUUUGUUUUUUUUUGUUUUUUUGCUAAAUUUUGAUGCGUUUGGUUAGGAUUAGAUUAAUAAUGUGAACACGUACGUACGGUGGGUAAGUUUAAUUUGAUGCAGCUGUUUCUCAUCUUCUUUUCUUCUCAGUUCUCUCAACUUUUAACUAUCUUUUUAAUAUGAUGCACCUAAGUUGCGCAUGCAUGCUUUAAGAUUUUAGUAUUUGACAAUAAAUAAAUUUAACAAUUUAACUAUUUCAUACACCUUUCGAGCCAUCGCUAAAAGGGUCGGUCAUAAAAAAAACUGAAAAUCAUAAAUUAAAAUUAAACUCGACAGAAAAUAAUCAUAACCUUUCUAAACUCUUCUACGCACUAUAAAAAACUACUUAAGGCGCAUUAAUCAUUAUUCAUGUUCAAAAUAAUUUAGAUUCUUAAUUAACAUUUGAUGGCUACUUCAUAAGUUAACUAGAAUUAUAUACUCUGUACAUUGAAAAAUACUGGUGUGUUUUUGCCAUCUUUAACAGCAGUUAUUUUAAGUGUAUUUUUGAUUCAGGAUAAUAGUAUUCCGACCAAGCCCAUUCGAGAUAUGGAUAAACAUUUGUUAAGAUUUAUCACCCAAGAAGAUACGAACUUUUCUAUAAGGUGAUCUUUUUAAAAAUAUGGCGGUGAUAGAUUUGAUUAUUCUGCACGUAUAAUCGCUUUCACAAGCUUUUUUAAUGGUGAGAUGGGCAAACCAAUAAAGCUAUUUUCUUAUGCUCAAUACAAAUAUAAUACACGUAUUAGUUGUACUAAACUAUUGAUCUGACCAGUGAAAGUUGUCAAUGUAACAAUGACUUCUAAUUUCACCGCCUAAAUAUUGAUCACCAAUCAGACUCGAAAACGAAUACAAUAUGUCUGUUUGUUUGAAUAGAGUGGUGAAGCCAAACCUCUUUAGGUUAAAGUUUAAUUAAACUGUAAAAAAAACUACAAUACUUAUACAAGACAAGAAUUUGUUAUUUGAGGCCCGUAAACAAAGCUCACAAAGUGGAGAUGAUAAAGCCCAUUGGCCCCAUUCCGUUAUGAGUUUCAAUCAUUAGUGGGUGGUUUAAUGUGGUUUGCAUUUAAACCAACUUCUUUGGUUUAUCAUCAUAAAUCUGAAGCAAGACUGAGCUAUGUACUUUAGUCUCGAUUUGGUCACACAUCACUAGACUAAUGUUUUCCUCGAAGACUGGGCACAUAUUUGCGAGGGAAACUUUCGUCGGAAAAGCGUCGGUUUUUUUGGGUAUUUUUAAUCGCCGGUUAGAGAUGUGUCCGUCUUCCCUGAAUCCCCAUCUCUGUGAGCCGAAGCAAAAUGAUUCGCGGCGGAAGAAACAACAUUACUUCCGCUCCGGCGUUCUCGAACGACGCAAAGAAGCUGCUUCUAUGUACAGCAAACUCCGUCUCUGUUUACAGCGUCGCCACUGGCUUAAAGGUUUUGACCCUUGUAGGGUUUCUCUUUUCUCUCAUUCUUAGACAUCUCUUCUCAUUCUUGUAUGUAUGCGUUCUGUUUUCAAGGUUGCUUCACUCGAGGGUCAUGCAGCACCUGUGACGACUGUGAUUGUUGAUCUGAAGCACGACGAAACCUUCAGUUACUGUUGGACUUCCUCCCUCGAUGGGUUUUUCGUCUUUGGGAGUUCUCGGAGCCAAAGCUUUUGAAGACAUUUGAUACCCACCUUCCUAUUUACUCUCUGGUUUGUUCAAGUUUCUUACUUUUCAUGAGAAAGAUAUUCACAUUUCCCAGCUUUACCUUUCCAUAUAUAUGUUGGGAUACUUAGGUGACGAUUCCACUUCACGUGUCACGUUCUUUGAUUGCUUAUGUUUCGGUUGAGGACUACUCAAGUUUGUCCAGAGAUAUGUUUGGACAAAUCCGUAGAUUUAUUCUCACUGAAGAGCCUCUUCCUAGUGGAGACAUUUUGAAAGAGGUCAGAUUUGUGGAUUUAACCAUUUUCCUAUUAUCCUUAAUGCCCUAUGCUUCAUUGUAAAGUUUCAAUCAUUUUGUCUAUGAGCAGAUGGAAGAACCAAAACCUAUUGUUGUAAGUCCCUCAAGAGAGUUUUUUGGCGUCUGUCAUGGUUGCAAUAUACAUUUAUGGAAUGCCUCGUUGGGGGCAUCAGAGCAUCUCAUGCCAAAGGAGACGACAUUACGUCACACACAGUUGAUUACUGCUUUUGCUUUCCAUCCCAACCAUAAAAUAUUAGCAGCCGGCGAUGUAACAGGAAGAGUGUUAAUUUGGAAGGAUAUUGGUAAUGGGGAACUUACUUCAGUGAAAAGUGAAGAUGAUCAUGAAUCUUGCACUAUUUUCAAUUGGCACUCCGCCGAAGUAACCGUCCUUAAUUUCUCUUUAGAUGGAGCACUUUUGUAUUCUGGUGAGACUAAGUUAUUUUCUCUUCAUAGUGACUGUAUCUCUGUGUGUGGAUUAAAAAAUUAACGUUUCAGAACUUGUAUGUAUUGAGUUCUUAUGCUAUAUAUCCUUUGCUUGUGACCCUUUCAGGGGUAAAAGAAGGUGUUCUUGUUGUUUGGGAGCUUGAUACCAGGAAGAAGCAAGUUUUGCCAAAGAUAGGAUCUCCCUUGUUGCAUUUUAUCAUCUCUUCAGAUCCAACUAUUUCUUCUGUAAGUCAGAGUUUUUCAGCUUACAAUCUAGGUGGGCUGUAAUAUACAACCUGUGAAAAGCAAAGGAAAUGUUUCAUUAACUCUACUAAGAUCAAGAAAUUUCAGGUUACUUGUGCAGAUAAUCAGAUGUAUCUUCUUAAAAUGCCUUCCAUGGAGAUAUUGAGAACGAUAUCUGGAAUCAAGGUUUGUUCUUAUUAUCAUCCAAAUUUUUUUCUUUGUUAUGUUAGUUUAAGCACUCUCCUAUUGGAUUCCAUUUCUAUUGGAGUUAACUUCAGAUGCGUAUUUUGUUCUUACUAUGUAAUAGCCUCGAAGAUCAGACCCUAUAGGGUUUAUAAGCUACCUCAGAACUCUGGAUAUAUGCCUCAUCAGAACUGUGUUCAUUGAUCGUUCUUCCGGUAUAGCUGCUCUCUGCACAGCGAAUCAUCGUGUUCAGCUUUACAACCUCUUAAGUGACCAUGAAAUUUCAGAGGUUAGCAUCCUAAAAGGCUUAUUGAGUUUUGUAUUUGAUAGUUGUUUGGUUUUACUAUUUAAAAACCUUAACAUAUGCAUUAUGCAGGUUCAAGUUUGCGAGAGAAAUCACCAUCCUGAUGAUAAUGAAGUUCGGGUUCGUAAAUAUUUGUUUCUUCUCUGUAAGAUGACAUAGCUAUUACUAGUCAAAGGAUCUGCUCUCUUUCUGUUUUCUAAUAAUUUGAAGAUUUAUGGAAAAUAGGUUUCCUUGACAGCGGUUGCUCUCUCUCGGAAUGGCUCAGUGAUGAGUACAGCUGAGGCCAGAUUUGCUGCUAGUAAUCUCAGUGAAGGCUUAGUUUCUCUCAAGUUUUGGGUGUUUGUACCAGACAGCAAAACUUUUAGCUUAUCAACAGUCAUAAAUCAACCUCACAGGUUUUUACAUUAUGUUUUUGUUCUUACAAAAUUUCAGACUACUUGAGUCUCAUCGUGAGAGUAACUUUUUACCCUUCUGUAUUUUUUACAGUGAAGCUGCUAUCACAGUCAUUGCCCUUAACCCCACCCGUUCCAUGGCUGUUAGUAUAUCUUCUGCUGGGGACUUCAAGGUAGGAUUUUUAAUUUAAAGUGUCCUGAAUAAUGAAUCAUUUCCUUGGAAUUUCAUUUGGCCUUUUGUGUUACUGAUAUGACUUUAUGUCUUUCAAGAUUUGGGUUUGCAAUAGCGACAAGAAUCUGACACCUGAGGAUUCAAACUGGAUAUGUCAUGGAGCUGGCUCUUAUAAGUAAAAUAUUAGGAACCUUUGAACAUUUCUCAUUACUAGUCAUUGUGAUCUCAAUUGAAACUGAUGAAAAUAUUUUUCAGGAGAACACCAAUGACAGCUGCUGUUUUUUCCGGGGAUGGUUCUUGUCUGUUUCUUGCGGCUAAAACAGUUCUUCUGAUAUGGCAUCCGUUAAAGAACAAACUUUUGUUUGAAGUUGGAAAGGCUAAUGUGGUAAGAAAUCUUAAAAAAAAAAAACAAAUCCAUGUUCAUUAACUAAAUACAGCCAGUGUUGAAAUCUUAAAUGAUAUGUAAAUGUUUCAGCCAAUUAUGGAACUCUCAGUGACUGGAGGAGGCUUCCUUAUUGCUGCAUCUCAUGGCUUUAAACCGCACUUGUCCGUCUGGGACUUGAUGACGUUCAAUUUAUCAUGGUCAUACAGAUUACACGUACAAGGUUUAUCAAUUAUCUUUUCUUUCUUUCUUUUUUCCAUAAAAUCUAAGUUUUUGGUUGUCUAAGUAUAUUUCCUCGUCUUAUUUAUUUGCAGCCGUUGCCACUGAAGUGGACUCUCCAUGCUUUGCAGUUUUAACAUGGCUUCCAGAAUCUUAUAGGUCGGCAAAAUCUAAUGAACAGAUCUUCCGCGGGAAAGAUGGCGCUAUCCUCUUGUUUGAUGGGUCAAGCUCUAAACCGGUAGCUGUUUGGACUGUAAUGAAGGUAUAUUUGUCUACCUCUAAGGAUUUUAAUCAAAGUUUUCCCAUUACUUUUAAGAUUCUUGAUGAAAAUGUCUAUUGCAGGCCAGGGGAGGAACACUUUCAUUUGUGGCAGACAGUAAAAAGUCUCAGCCACUUCUCGGAUAUGUAAACAGGAGCCAUGAAUAUGUUCUUUUCGAUCCUUAUAGCGAUGAAAAGCUGGAGAGUAGCGCCAUAGAUUAUGAGGUUUUUCUUGCAGCAAUAAGCAAGAAGAAGAAGAAGAGAUCUAGGAAGGAAGCAAAGAUGUCAGAGAGACCAUGGGAAACAAUGUUUUGUGGAUCAAAGCUCGAUUUCCCGCCUUUUCCUGAUGUGUGCUCUGCUAUCUUUGGUUCCCAGAUGAUUAAAAAGGAGUGUGAAAGAGUAGAGUAGCUCUUAAGAGACCACAUGUUUUGAAACCCAUUUUAAUAACACCAUUUUGUUGGUAGCCUCUUUUUUUUUUGGUUAGAGAUCCGAUCUGAUUCCGUGCAGGCUGCAGCUACCGCCUACCAAUAUGGUAUGUAAGAAACGGGAACAGAGAUCAUGUAAGUGUCUUUUUUUUUUUUUUGGAACACGAGAUCAUGUAAGUGUCUAAGUUACAAAAAAGGGUUGUUUUUGAUAUUAGAUGGGAUUCAGUCAUCAUUUUGAACUCGCUGUUUUGAGGUGUAUUAUAUGAUUAAUAUUUGUUUUAACCAAAUAUCUCUAUAUAUAUAUAUAUCUUUAGCCAAAUAUCUCUUUAUAUAUAUAUAUAUAUAUAUUUGUCAUAACCAAAUAUCUCUUUAUAUACAAUUAGAAUCAGUACGUAAAAAGUAAGGUCAAUUGUAACAAUAGAAAAAAAACAAGACAACGUAAAUGCAUGCAUGGGGAAAAAUGUUCAAUAAAGAGCUUAAAACGCUUAGUCGGGGCCUAGACGAUUUUAGGUGAUUUAGGUGUUUACUACAUAAAAUUUUAGAUUAAAAGUUAUAUAAAACUAUAUGAUAUAGAAAUUUUAGUGAUAAAUCAUAAAAGAAUAUGAAAAAUAAACUUCUAUUCAAUUUGUAUCAAUAACAUAUGAAAAAUUAUAAUUAUAUAUACAGAUGUAAAACUUAAAUUUUAAAUAUAUUUAAUUAGAAAUUAUAAAAAUAUAAUUUAUGUAAUUUUGGACGGUUUAGACAGUCGUAUAAACGUCGAUUGAAUAUUUAGCGCCUAGUCGGAACCUAGACAACCGCCUAAACCGCUUUUUGGAACACUAACGAGGCUUUGUAUAAUUCUCACUGUAAUCGAAGCUGCACCAAAUUUGAUAUGGAAUAUUUGGAUGCAUGAUUUUUUGGUCGGUAGAAAUUGGAACGUAAGACUUGUAAGUCUGUGAGUUAGAUAAAAGGCUUUGUAUAAUGAUUGGGCUUCAUUCAUAGAAAGUGGGCCACAAAGGAAAACGGAAAGAGGCCCCUUUGGACCCAAUAACUGUGAUCUUUUCUUGUUUUCAACAUCACUAAAUAAACCUCUCUCUUUUUUUUUUUGUAUACGUAGUGUUCUUUAAUCUCUUUAAUUCAUUUAUUUCGAUUCCUUGUUUACGUUGAAGCGUACCGUAUCUUCCAUACAGUUACAUAUUGUUGUCUAUAUCUAACUAGGAGCUAAAAGCUGUUUUGAAGAGAAAACAUAUAUUGAUUUCUAGUCUAUAUACAUUAAGGUAUAUGUAUCAGAAUAGUCUAUGCAUUUAAGAAUAUAAAUUCAGAAUACCAAAAACGUCUCUAGGUGAUGCAUGCACACAAGGCAUUGGGUAGAUCGCAUGUAAGAAUUAUAAUUCAAUUACCAACAACUAUUGUUAGAUAAAAUCAAUUCGACGGCAAAGAAGAAAGAAGAAGUUACCAGCAAAAAAGAAUUAACUAAAAGACGUACAAAAGGAGAAUGAAAAAUGAAAACAUUCUUACAAACAAAAAUAAUAAAUUAAGAAAAAACAAAUGCAAGGAUAAACAGAAGAGAUGGAGUACAAUAUAGAGAUUCUUAACACGAAAGAUAAAACUAUGAGAUUCUCCAAACCCAUAUGUGAUGAUCAUCUACCUGCAGAUUAGCUAGCUAGCUAGCUAUAACCUCUUUUUAUAGUAUAUAUUACUGUGUGGUCCAAUACGUGUGAUAUAUACAUUAAUAUAUGCAUAUGCAUUUAUGAGUAGAUGAUGAUACAAAAAAAAAAAUUACCCUAAUUACGCUACUUCCAAUCAUAUACAUACUUAUGUAUUUUCCCCCUAUUUGUCUAAUGCAUAACAUAUAUAGUAAUGUAUUUUAUCGUAUUGAUUUAUUGUAACUAAAACACGGUUAGCUGAUUUCAGACAUAAAACUAGAAUAUUGACAUUUUGUUUUAUAUUUGCGACAUUAUCACUUUAUCAUGUGUGAUUUAUUUUAAUAUUCUUAAAAAAUAUAUACUUCUGAGUGUUGUGCAUAUAUAAUUAUAUAUAAUUGUGAAGUGGGAUCUGGGUCCACAGACCAUAAUUACACGUCACAACAGACUGAUAAGCUAAAGGUUUAAUAUGAGUCUUCAAUAUUCAUGAGUAUUGACCUUUCGUGCUAAUUCGUUGUUCCUUUGCUCACAGUUAUGCUCAAUUCAUAUUUUUGAUACCUGAUCGAUAUUUAGGAUUUAUGAUUGAUGCGCAUAAUGGUUACAUCAAAUGAACCUCACAUUACUAAUGAAAAUUAUUAGUACACUCUACAACUAUAUAUAUGCUUCAUAUCUUCCAAACUUCUCUGGUGAUAUCAGAAUAAGGUCUAUAUAUCGAUUUCAACAAUGUUAUAAAAUUGAAAACUUAUAUACUGAGAACUUUCAACUGUCUACGACCAAUGUAGCUUAGAUUUUGAUGAAUUCUGAGACCAGAUUAUACAAUAAUACCCAAACCAAUUUUGCUAAUUCAUGCAUGAAAGUAGUUAAAUUACGGAUUUGCCAUCGUAUGGAAGUUGGAACGAAUGAGGAUCAGGCUGCUGGGCUACAAGGUAGCACAGUGCCUAUCUUUGGUUAAAUAUAUAAAUGAUCGUUAUCCAUUAACAUUCAAUCACGUCAUCGCUCUUCCUUAUUAGUUUUUUUGUAUUUAUUUAUGAAUGAAUACUUGAUGUGCCUGUGAUGUGCCUGUUUAUGUGUAUAUACCGUACGUACCACACAAUGUUAUCUGAACUUUUAUUGAAUUUGACCAUUACUUAAUGUGAAAAUGAGAUCAAUAUAUAUAUAUAUAAAAGGAAAAAAGCACACGAAGGGAGAAAAAAAAAGCUUAAAUAAUAAGAAAAGGUACCACAAACAAAAAAUACGAAAAAGAAAAUAGUUUUUAAUGCAUAUAUAUAUACAAUGUGCAAGUUUCUAUAUAUGUAUUUCAUGUACAUAUAUAUGCUUCUCUAUAUAUAUACUAGACAUAGUCGUCUCAGAUAGAAACAUCACUUGUCUCAAAUUCAAUUUCGUAAACAAGCUUGUCUCCGUUUUUUCUUUACUCGCUCCUUCAUUGAUCUCUCUCAAAGCUCAAAGGUAAGCUUGUCUUCUUUUCUGCUGAUACUUUACCUCUCGUUCUUGUGUUGAGUCGUUGACAUUUUCAAAACCCCCAUUUCAAUUCAGGUGUGUAGUCGAAAACUGUUUGCCCUAGUCUUUUUUCUUUUUUCUUUUGCCUAUAGUCUUUAUAUACCACGUUAUAAAUAUAACAAAACAAGCGUCGUAUCUGUUUCGAGUCCCUUAACUCUUCCUUUCUUUUUUCUCCUUUGGUUAAAACUUAAACUCAACUUUGGAAGUAAGCUAGCUUGUCUCCGUGUUUUCCUCUCUACUUCAUCAAUCUUUCCCAAAGCUCGAACAUAAGAUCUGUGUGUUGAGUCUCUGUACGUAGUCGAAAUGUUAAUUUUCUUUAGUCUCUUCUAUACCAUGUUAUGGAUUCUUUGCAGUUUUUGCUGAGUUUCUAGGUGUUAAUUAGUUCUUAAAUAGGGUUUUCAUCUCGUCCUAAAAGUUGUUUUUGAUGUCUUCGUGAACUCCCAAUCACUAACGAGAGUUUCCAUAGUCGUGUGAGUCUAUAUAUUUUUAUAAAGUUGGCGGGUUCAUAUAUGUUCUUGCUUAAGAUUUAUCAACGUUUGGCUUUCUUUUUGUAGGACAACGAUGGAGGCUCUAACAUGGAUGGAUAAAAUUGAAAGAGAGCUGGGAAAAUUCAAAAGUUGGGUCUACAACCGCAGGGAAUUUCUCUUAGCUAUGGGAAUUUUAACUCUUGGUGGGAGUUACUUAAGUAUUUUGGUGAUGUUCCUUCCAGACAUCGAUAAAAGACCAACGUGGGUGAAUAACAUCUUCGCUGUCAUAUUUAUGAGUUUGCUCAUGUACGGCAUCAUCUAUUGCGGUCACACUUACAACGGUGACAGAAUCAUUUCACUUGCCAUGAAGCCUCGAAAGCACCCAAACAUUUUCUGCGUGGUAAAGGGAAACGGAAAGACCAUAGUGUUAGCCGUGUUCGUUUUUCUCGACUCAACUCUCAAACACCAAAACAAACUAUGGGUGAUAUUAUUCUGUGUCUUCUUUUUCCUACAUCUUGUACAUUUCAUGGUGCUGUUUGGGAUUACGGAAGAAUUCGACGUGGCAGGGGGGUUUAUACAAGCUUCAUUUGUGUUAAUUUAUGAAAUAACCACGAACAAAUGGCAGGUGGUGCUUCUGACAGUAGGUGCCAUAGUUUUAUCUUGUUACAAGACGUUGGUUAUCGAAGGUGUGGCUCCGAGAGAGGAAGAGCUGGCGGUCGUGUCGGGACAGACUGGAGAAGUGGAUAACGUUAAUGAAGGAUGAAGCUUGCUUGCUGCUGCCAGUACUAGUAAUUAAUAGAAAAGAAAACUUAUUAACCAUAUAUUACAAGGAUAUAUUCAUUCUAGUAGGUAUAUACAUAUAUAUAUAUAUAUAUAUAUGUUGUAUUAGAUAAUUAUAGCAUAUACCUGGAUACGGCUUAAUAUAAUUGUAUACAUCUCGAUAUGUCUAUUAACGUAAAUGGAAUACACUGAUAUCUAAUUAUUACUAUUAGAAACGUCUGAAAUUAUCAUACAAAUUAGCUAGUGGUUUUGCUAAAACUAUUCUACUAGCUUUCCCCGGCGGCAAGAUUAAUAAUGAUUUGAGGCGAAUCCUCAAUAAAUGUUGAGGCAGUCGAUAGCUGCGCUCGGUCGUGGUUCAGUAUGUCCAUUAUUUUUCUCUUUUAUCAGGUUAAAAUUAGCCACAGCUAUUAAUAAUUUCUAAUUGGGUUUUGGACUUUAAAAUAGUAGUAAUACAAGAAAUAUAUAGAAACAGCUUUUGUUGCAAACAAAUCUGAAAACAAAUAACUCAUUAAAAAUGGGAUCCUCUAUCGUAUUUAGAAAAAUACAAAAAACUCUCAAGUCUCAAGAUCUAAAUAUUCUAAUUUUAGGAAAUUAUUUUUUUACCAUAAUCUUGUUUACUAAAUGAAUUAUGAAAAAUUCGGAAAACUAAACGGAUCUUGAAAAAACCAAAAACUAUGCGAAAGGCUUUUUAAUUACCAAUCAUGGCCUAAUAUAUGUUGUAAUAGCAUCUCUCUCGUUGAUUCGGGGAAAAAAUUUGUCAGAAACAGAAUGUUGGUUUGUUUCUGGUUAUCGUUGGUUAUUGCAUUCUGGUUUAGUUUCAUUGUACACAAUAAAUUAUAGAAAUUCUUAUUUUUUAUCCAUUCAAAAUCUUAUUCGUAUUCCUUUGGUUAUCUAUCUCUCUCUCUCUCUUUCACAAGUCACAACUAAGCAUGUUCCCUCGGCUCCCUCAAUUUCUCGAUAAAACAAAGCUGAUCUGAUCAAUUGAAUUCUCUAGUAUAUAUAUAUCCAUCAUCAAAUCCUUAAUACGCCGUGUUUUCUUCGACAAUUUAGUUGAUUUACUUAAGGUAUUUUAUGGAACAACAAAUUAGUGCAGGUACCCAUUACAUAUCAUAUCUAACCGUGUCACAAAACGACCCCCUUAAUCAACAUCGUCUUAUUCCUAUAUUGUGUUUGCACAUGCACCCAAUAACAAAUACUUAGAAAACUAUAUAUAUAUAUAUAUAUAUAUAUAAUAUUUAUUAUUUUAUUUUUUUAGUUAAUCUUAGUAAAGCAUGUAUUGACAUCUGAAAUUUUGUUAACUUUUGGAUCAUGCUUCUGACCAAGAUUCAAAAGUAAUCCUUUCCAAGUAUUCACAUAGAGACACUGGAAUGAUUGGUCCACGUAUUUUCUGCCAGAGUCUUUCCAUUAAUUUCGUCAGAAUCAGAGACCUACGUGCAAAAAUGACUUCAAAUUCGAAAUCAAACAAACAAGAGAGAACAAAAAGAUUUUGGUUUUGUUGAAGAAAACAGGUAAAAGAGAUUUGAUUGCAACUCACAAGUGUAAACGUCCUAGGAAAGUCAUCAAUCUUGUGCUCUUCUUUAACAUCGAUGUCAUAACAAUUACACAUACUAGUGCUCCUCCACCAAGUAAAGGAUCCAUAGAGCUCUAAAAACAACAUGUUUAUUUUUUAUAAGAUGCCAUGCAAUCAGCUAUAAGUAAAUAAUGUAGAGUUUGAAGGAGACUGAAAAGUCAGAAAGGACCUGAAGAAUCAAAACAGCAGCUAAAAUCCAGAUGGACCAAGAUACAAAGAGUGAUGUCUUAACAUCAAUGGAGCCACCUCUAGUCAGGACAAAUCUCUUGACUGCGAAGAGUCCAAAAAAUAUUCCACUAAAAUAAAGAUGUAAUUUUAGAUUGAGUACCAUCUACAAAACAAAAAUGCGGACAAUUUCUUUAGAAUGAGCUUGUUAAUUAACUUGCAAGUACUCACUCAUGCAUACAAGAUCCACUUGUAAACCAAAACAGAGACAAAGUACUGAAACUAUUAAACUUACGUACAGAUUCGGAAAUUCCCAUCAAUAUUAGCAUACUUUGAAACAAACCAGGUAUGUAGAGGAAAAAGACACCACCCAAACCAACCUGGCGAAAAAUGAAGAACAUGUAUUGUCACUAGUAUUGGAUAAAAAGAGGUCGGCGAUAAUGAUGAGUUAGAGAAAGGACAAAAACUCAACCACCACAGAUGAAUAUAGGAACAAUGCCGAAGAACUCAGUCCAGUUGGUAGGCGCUUCAGUCCCUGUAGUGCAUCCAUUAUAAAGUAAUUUCAUGCAACAAGUAUAUAUAUAUAUAUAUAUAUAUAUAUAUAUAUAUAUAUAUAUAUAUAUAUAUUGAAAACCAUCAUGCAACAAGUAUAUAAAAUCUAUCUUUUAUAGGUUAAGACUCAAAAGAAAAAGUUGAGAAUACCUGAAAGAGAAAAACCAACACAGCAAGGAUAAUACCGAUAGACAUCACACAAGUGUAAUAAAAUGUUAUUGAUCUGCUCAGUGUAGAAGCCGAACUCAGCAAAACGGUACCAAUGAUUAAGAACACUAUGUGAAUCAUACACCAUUCUACAAAAUCAGAAAUGGAGUUGAUAAAACUCUAGAAAGUUCAACCAAUGGGAAAGAAACAGUGUAGUUAAAAGUAGCGAGCAACCACCAAUCACCUUCUACAGUAGACACUUCCAGAGUGACCUUGGAUGAGCCGAUUGUUCUUACACUAAGGAUUUUUUUGUCAAAUGGUGACAUUGUCUGAGUCCAUGAACCAUUGGAGACUUUCUCCCAUUGAUUAUAAGGACACAUUCCAAUUGCAAGCGACAAAUCCCUAAAAAGAUAUCACGGAAAUAUUAGCUAUAUUGGAAGAGCGAUAUGAUCAUAUUUUUGGGCUGCCUCUACGAAUCCCCUUGUAAUAUAAUGUUUCAAUUAGGUUCACCCUAUACUUUUAGCCUUUGUCCAAUUCCACGACAUACAUUCUAUCCAAUUCCACCCAAAUUAUAUAAUUCUACCUAAUUAACUAAAAUCAAUUAAACUUCUCAAUAGCAUUAUAAUGAAAGCUAAACAUAAGGAUUCAUCUCAAAUUGUGUUUGGUUUUGAUGAAAGCUAAACAUAAGGAUUCGUCUUGCGUUAAAAAGAUGAGGCUGAGUCUCAUAUUUCAAAUAAGACUUAAUCAAAUCGUAGUAGUGUACGCGAAUUAUCGAUUUUAAAACGCUAUUAAAAAAUUUAAUUGAUUUGGGUUAUUGUGUUGAAUUAUAUAGUUUGAAUGGAACUGGAUAAAAUAUAAGACAUAAAUUGAAAGUAUCAGGGAAACCUAGUUGAGACGCUAUAUUACAUAAUGACUGGUAGAGACAACCAUCGUAUCUAUGAUUCUAAGAAUGUUACAGAAUAUAGGCUGGACUGCAAAGAUUGGCUCACAUAUGGAACAAAAUUAAGCUCAUAGAGCUAAAGAGAAUUGACUCACCUGUGGAAGCAAACGUGUGUGGUACUUGUUUUGGCACCGGGUGACAUGUUAACAAUCAACUUGAGUGAAUGUGCAUAUUUCUCUAUAUGUUUUAACCUUUGACGUCCAGAGAUAUGUAUCCUCUCAUAUAGAGUUGGUAAGUCUUGAUUCUGUCUAGGAGAACCCGUAACCUUAACCACAAAAUUAGUAGUGACCAGAAGCUUUUCGGUUUCUCCCACAACUGUUGAUAGGGUAUACAAGAAAUUAGCCACGACAAAACAGAUAAACCAAAAAAAUAAAAAAUUGAACUCUUCUAACAUGCAAUAUCACCCGAGGAACAACUUACCCAACAGUUCAUCGGAUGAAACGAGAGACGAGAAAGCAAAGAUAACUCCGAUGAUAACGCGGAUAAGAAGAUAAUCACCCAUCGAUCGAUAUAUGAUAUGAUUUCUACUAUUUUCUAUAUUUCGAGAGAAACGUCCAGAAAAUGGAAAAAAAAAAUAUAUGAACUCGAAAUACCAAUAAAAAAAAAUACUAGAAAUAAAGUUUGGUCGACUCUGCAUAUGAUAAAUGGAACCAACAGAUAGCCAAUGAAUGUUCAUUUAUUGCUUCAAGGGUUCUAAUUAAUUUGGAAUAUCCUCACCAAAUUUCAUGUUAAUUAGAUUUUAAUCAAAAGCAUGUGUCAUUGGUUUAAUACUUUUAUGCUUUCGAGAUGUGUUGUUUAAAAUGAAGUGUUAUUCAAUACUAAUAAAGAUUUACAUUAGCAUUUUAUUUUUACAGUAUAUAUUUUUGAGGGUUUUGAAAUUUUUUUUAAAAACAGAUUCUUUAGAAUUAAAUCCAUUUAUGUUGUAUAGAUUCAUGAAAUAAUAACAGGGCAAUGAUUAAGAGUUGGCAUCAUUUUCUAUGUAACUUGGGUUAUGAGUUAUGAGUUAUGAGCAUGUGUCUUUUCUUGAAUAUUGUUGGUCUGUGUUAUCUUAGAGCAACUCGAACGGGAGUUCUCUUAGUGAGUUCUCAGCAUUUAAUUGAGAAAAAAUAAAUCAAAAAUAGGUAAUUAAACACAGAACCAGUUCUGUAAACGGAAAUUGAAGAGCUCGUAAGAGACUCAGGCGUGUUCGUUUUUGAUUGGUCAGCAAAAAUUAAUGAAAAAAUAAAUCUCAUUUAUUGUUUUCUUUCUCGUCUGUUUCUUUAUUUUUUUUUCUGGGGAAACAUCACAAUUCUUCUUCUUCUUCCCUUUCUCUCGAUUUCUGGGCAAACAUCAAACCUCUUCUUCUUCUUUCUUUCUUUCUCUCUCUCUUGCGAAUUUAGCAAAAAUCAGAAGCUAUUGAAUCACAAGUAGUGAAUUUUGUACUUCUUAUUUCUCUUCUAUGACUAUGUAUUGUAACCCAAACAAAAAUAUAAAUGUAUUGUUUUAUAAAAUUUGCUUUUUUCUUAAGAAUCCCUAAUGGAGUUCUCUAACCAUUGGAGGAUACAAAACUUAAAAUCUCUUAUUCAAAUUUUCAAGUUUGAAAAAAGCAAAAAAAUUACUUAAAUAUUGGAGAGAACCUCAUGACCAUUGGAGAUGGUCUUAUAUAUUAUCUACUGUGAGUCUGUGAUGGUUGAUUAUGCAGAAUAAUUAGACAAUAAACGAGGUUAGAUUGGUAAUCCGCAGGAUAUCAUAAUGGUUUACCAACUCUCAUAGAUGUUACACUCAAAAAUCAACAAAAUAGAGGCGGUACAGGUUACGUGUUGCGAGAGUUAACGUGCUGCAAACUCUAUUCGCAAUUACUAUUUUGCCAAAGUGGCCUAUAAUAUAUUCUUACUGGGCUAAUCAUUUUUCAAAUUAUCUUAUGCGGCCCAAACUAAGAACGAGGAUACGAACGCCGUCGUUUGGUUUCAUAUAUUGUACAACCAACGUACUGACGCCCAUUUUGAGCGCGUGGUUGUCAAUUCCCUUAAUAUCUUCAGAUCACAAGGCCCUGAUUAUUUUCUCUUGGAAGCAGAUCGUCUCAUCACAAAUCACGACCUUAACAUUAUUGUGCCCACUCUUCUGGACUGUAACAUUUCGAUCCGACCUUGCUCUUAAUGUAGGUUCAAAAUGAAUCUUUCGCAACAUUUCACAAAUAGAUACCGGAACCAUUGGCCCUGCAACAUCACGAAUUUUCUCCCAGAUUCCUUGCAGUAACUUCGUCAUAAUCCUGAGUAAAAAAAAAAAUACAACUUCAAAUUCGUAAUCAAGAUGACAAGAAGAAGAAAAAGAUUCUGGUAUUGUUGAAGAAAAAAAACAGGUAAAAGAGAUUGGGUUGCAACUCACUCGUGUACGCGUCCUAAGAAAGUCAUCAAUCUUGUGCUCUUCUUCAGCAUCGAUGACAUAAAAAUUACAGAUAUCAGUGCUCCUCCACCAAGCAGAGGAUCCAUGGUGCUCUGGAAACAACAUGUAAAAAAAAAAGGAUGGAUUGAAAUUGGUUAUAAGGAAAAAUGUAGGGGUUGAAUGGAAAACUGGAAAAUCAUGAGAAAGGACCUGAAGAAUCAAAACAGCAGCUGAAAUCCAAAUGGACCAAGAUACAAAGACUGAUGUGGUUAAGUCAAUGGAGCCAUCUUUAGUCAGAGCAAGUCUCUUGACAGCGUGAAGUCCAAAAAUUAGUCCACUAAGAUAUAGAUGCAACCACAAACAGAGUGCCAUCUGCAAGGCAAAAAUGCGGACAAUUUUAAACUAAAAAAAUACUCCCUCAUACAACAGAGGCAAUGUCCUGACACUAUUAAAAUUACUUACAAGUUCGGGAUUUCCUUCAUCGAAUCCCACCAAUAUUUCCAUACUUUGAAACAACUCGGUUAUGCAGCGGAAAAAGACACCAACCAAACCAACCUGACCAAAAAUGUAUUUUUGUCAGUGUGUUGGAUAAGAUGAAAAGAGGUCGGAGAUAAUGACCAGUACGAGAAAGGACAAAAACACAACCACCACAAAUGAAUAUAGGAACAAUGCUGAAGAAUUCCUUCCAGUUGGUAGGCGCUUCAGUCCCUGUAAUACAUCCAAAAUCAACAAAUAUAUAUAUAUAUAAGCUCUCUUUGAUAGGUUAAACCAAAGAAGAAGAAGAACAUAUUGGAGAAAAAGUUGAAAAAUACCUGAAAGAAAAGAAGCAACACAGCAAGGACUAUACCGAUAGACAUCACACAAGUGUAGUAAAAUGCUACUGAUCUGCUCAGUGUAGAAGCCGAACUCAGCAAAAUGGAACCAAGGAUUAAGAACACUAUGUUCAUCAUACACAGUUCUGUAAAAUUGGAGUUGAUAAAACAUUAGAAAGUCAAACCAAAGCGCAAGACAGUUUAAUAGUGUAGUUAAAAAGUAGCCAGCAAGCAACAAUCACCUUCUACAAUAGACACUUUCAGAGUAGCCUUGGAUGAGCCGGUUGUUCUUACACUAAGUAUUUUUUGGUCAAAUGGUGACAUUGUCUGAGUCCAUGAACCAUUAGAGACUUUCUCCCAUUGAUUAUGAGGGCACAUUCCAAUUGCAAGCGACAAAUUCCUUAAAACAAAUAUCAAGGAAACACAUUAGCGACAUUAUUGGAAGAGCGCUAUACAGAAUCUGCUUUUUAGACUGCAAAGAUAAUAUAUGUCAUUGACAAAUUACCUGUGGAAGCAAACGUGUGUGGUACUUGUGUUGUCACCGGUUGACACGUUAACAAUCACAUUGAGUGAAUGGGCAUACUUGUCUAUAUGUUUUAACCUUUGACGUCCAUAGAUAUGUAUCCUCUCACAUAGAGUUGGUAAGUCUUGAUUCUGUCUAGGAGAACCCUUAACCUUAACCACAAAAUUAGUAUUGACCAGAAGCUCUUCGGUUUCUCCCACAACUGUCGAUAAGGUACGUUUACAAGAAAUUAACCACGACAAAACAUAUACUACAAAAAAAAAAGCACUCUUAUAACAGUCACCCGAGGAAAAACUUACCCAACAGUUCAUCGGAUGAAACGAGAGACGAAAAAGCAAAGAUAAUUCCGAUGAUAACGGGAAUAAGAAGGUAAUCACCCAUUGAUCGAUAUAUGAUAUGAUUUCUACUAUUUUCUAUGUUUCGAGAGGAACGUCCAGAAAAUGAAAAAAUUCGGAAUCGAAAAACCAAUAAAUAAAAAUACUAGAAAUAAAGUUUGGUCGACGACUCUGCAUAUGAUAAAUGGAACCAACAGAUAGCCAAUGAAUGCUCAUUUAUAUAUAUAUGUAUAAUUUGACUUUAUUGCUUCAUGCAUGGGUAAUGGGUUCUAAUUAAUUUUGAAUAUCCUAAGCAAAUUUCAUGUUUAACUAGAUUUUAAUCAGAAGCAUGCAUGUGUCAUUGGUUUAAUACUUUUAUGCUUUCGAGAUGUUUGUUUAAAAAUUAAGUUGUUAUUCAAUACUAGUAAAGAUUUACAUUGGCAUUUUAUUUUACAUUUAGCAAAUUAAAGUGUUAUUUUUGAGGGUUUUGAAACUAAAAACGUACAAAUUAUUUAGAAUCAAAUCCGUUUACGUUGUAUAGAUUCAUGAAAUAAUAACAAGGCAAAUUUUCAAGAGUUGGCAUCAUUUUCUAUUUAACUUGGGUUAUGACUUAUUAUGAGCAUGUGUCCUUUCUUGAAUAUUGUUGGUCUGUGUUUGGCUAAUCAUCAUUGCUAUCUUAUUUAUCUACUGUGAGUUGAUUAUGCAGAAUAUCAGGCAAUAAACGAGGGUAGAUUGGUAAUCCGCCGGAUAUUAUAAGGAAUGGUUUACCAACUCUAUUAAUGGUCUCUUAACUAAGGUUUGUAUCGAUCAUUAUUGAUGGUCUCGUAGAUGUUACACUCAAAAUACUCAAAAUAGAGGCGGUACUAGUUAAGGUAACGUGUUGCGAUAGUUAACGUGCUGCAAACUCUAUUUCGCAAUUACUAUUCACCAAAGUGGCUUUACAUAUAUUCUUACUGGGCUUAUCAUUUUUGAAAUUAUCUUAUGAAGCCCAAACUAACAACAAAAGAUACUGAAACGCCGUCGUCGUUGUAAGGUUUUCAUAUACUAACACUCACGCACAUUUAGAGCGCGUGAUUUUCACUUCCCUUAAUAUCUUCAGAUCACAGGCCCUGAUUAUUUCGCUUGGAAGCAGAUCGUAUCAUCAUCACGAAUCACGAAUCACGACCAUCUCGAUAACAGAGAGAGAUAAUUAUACAGAGAUGUCUGGUGUGGUUGUUGGUCUUGGUCAUGCGAGCUCGUGGGGUGCAGCGCUGGUAAGGAUUUCGCCCUACACUUUCUCCGCAAUCGGAAUCGCCAUCUCGAUCGGCGUCUCAGUGCUCGGUGCCGCCUGGUAUUUUCAAUAUUCUUCCCCGUAGAUAAAAUCAUUGACCUAUUUGAUAUGCGAAGCAUUGUGUUUCACUAUUUUUUUUUUUUUUGGCUUUGUGUUGUUAUUCAGGGGAAUUUACAUUACGGGAAGUAGUUUGAUCGGUGCGGCUAUAGAAGCUCCCCGUAUCACUUCGAAGAAUCUCAUCAGGUUUGUUAAAGGCUCACGCUUUUAAUUCUAGCUUUUGUUCCUUUGGUUUCCAUCUUUCUGAAAGCCAAAUUAGUUGCCAUUUUUAAGGAACUUGUGUAGAUUCAAUGUCUUGUUCUGAAUAGCAAUGAGAAGUCAUCUCUCAGUAGCGUAAUUUAUAUUCGUUCCUGGAUAUUUACAUCUCUGCAAGAGUAUUGUCAGAAGAUGAUAGAAGAAGUUGUUGACCUGGGAUUUAGUUGGUACCGCUAGUAACUUUGGUGUAUGAUGAAACACAAUGGCUCUGGCGUUGGGUAUUCAGGCACGGGAUGCGAUGAUAAGCAAGGUCUUUUGUCUUUUCACGUGUAUUUCAGCAGAAACAUUUAUACCAUCAAGGUAGCUAAAUGUCAAAUGAUGGGAUGAAGAUAAAAUUCUCUUGUAAAAGUCAGUGUUAACUUAGUUUUUGGUGCCCUUUAUAUUCUGCUAAAUAUCAAACUGUGUUUGCAGUUUUAUUUGUUGUUGUUACUGAGCUACACGCUUGUAGUUUGAUGCUCAGUAACAUCGAUGUCAACUACCACACCCCAUUUCCAAACCAUAUUGAGUGGGUAAAGGGUAGUACUUAGGAAUGCUUAAGCAGGAAUAGUUGUGUUUGCAUUUUAAUUUGAUUUUGACUAAGCUUAAGGCUUGGGCUUCAAUGAUAUAACAUUGCAGUGUUCUUUUGAAUUUUCUCAGUGUAAUCUUUUGCGAAGCUGUAGCUAUAUAUGGCGUUAUUGUUGCAAUCAUACUCCAAACAAAGUUGGAGAGCGUCCCAUCUUCAAAGAUGUAUGACGCUGAGUCUCUUAGAGCUGGAUACGCAAUCUUCGCAUCUGGAAUCAUAGUUGGAUUCGCCAACCUUGUAUGCGGGUCUGUAUCUUACCCUUUCUCUUUUCUUACAGUUUUGGUUUUUGAAUUUCAUUGUCAGAUAUGCAAACCGAGCUCACAUUUCUUUUGCAGGUUAUGUGUAGGAAUCAUUGGGAGCAGUUGUGCAUUAUCUGAUGCCCAAAACUCAACACUCUUUGUAAAGAUUCUUGUGAUCGAGAUCUUCGGGAGUGCUCUUGGGUUGUUUGGAGUUAUUGUGGGGAUCAUUAUGUCUGCACAAGCAACAUGGCCAACCAAAUAGAUAUAUCCGGUCUAUAUGCGUUGUGGUCUAUUUGCAAAGCUGGAAAGGACAUUUGUUGUAUGGAUACUGAUGUCGAGAAGAGAAAAUCUGUGUGAAAACUGAAAACCACUUCUGGAUCCCAAUUUUUUUUGUGUUUGUUUAAAACUUUGGAAUAAGUUACUUUGGAGAACAGCUUCUUGUUUGUAUUCAUUCUCUUUGGUUUCUCUUAUAAUCAAAGACAAGAGUUUGUAUAUUGAUUUGUUUAUCAAUCUGUUUCUCCAUAUGGUUUACGUUUAUAAGAUCUAUGGCAAGUAUGUACAAUAUGUUAUUGAUCUAAAGUCUAAACCACUGAAAAAAUUCAAUCAAAACCAAUUGCUUGCUUUAUUAAGAAGAACCGGUUUAGCAUAAACCAAACAUCGCACUUGACGUCGUCGUUUGGUAUAUGAUUUAUUCGGUGGCUGUCCCGUUCUUGGAGCUUUUAUAUGUUGUGUGUGGUGUGGCCCGUAAAACCCUAAACACAGUCACUAAUUCUUCUCCUCCACCAUAUCCUACAAUCUCUGUCUUCCUUCUCCCUCGCAUCUUCAUCCUUUUAGUGACCUCGUCUCUCGCAAGCUCACAAAGUUUGUACCUUUCCGGUGAGUGUUGGCUGUUUUCGUUUUCUCGCUUGUCUUUUCUUUUCUGGGUGUUUAGCUUUCGGAAGAUUUUAUAUUUGAAUUAAAAAUUCCCUCUGCUGUGUCCAAUAUUUGGUAAUUGAGUAUGGUCUCGGUGGUACGGAGCUGGUAAUAUGCUCCACUGUUUCUCUGUCUCGGAUUUUGCUGAUAAGUUUUAGUCGUUGGUUGUUUCAGAAUCCAAACAACCUGUUUUGUGAGAUUCUAGUUUUCCUUUUCUCUGUCGUACUCAUAUUUACUUUGGAGUUAUUUGUUUGCAAGUUCCUUCAUUUUUGGGAAUGUUGGCGACGCAUAAAACAAGGAUUUUUACAUUUUUGGAUAUAUGUAUAUAUCUGAGUCGUUGCUUUUCAACUAGCUGGGUACAAUUACUGGUUUCUUUGUUUAUUGUUUUCCUGUGACAAUUUUUUUUUUUUUUUAAGUGUAGGAGCCAGAAAGAAUGCAAGCUUGUUGUAGUGGUACUUCGAUGGGUUCUCUUCAGCAACCUGGACGGGUUCAGGGAUCUGUCUUUCCCUCGUUAAUGCCUCCAGUGACCAAAUUUUCUCAGCAAUUGAAGUUCAAUUUUUCAAAACCUUUCCGUUCUUCAUUUCUGGAAAGAAACUUGGUCUCUGAAAGGAGAGCAUCUUCAGUCUCGCUACCUAAUAUCGAGAUGAGCAGUAAGAUAGUCUAAUUUUCACUUUCUUGGUUAUGUUAAUAAUGUGGAAGACAUUUGCACUCAUUUCAUGCGUGGUUUUGAUCCCGUUUACUUAAUUAUGACUGAUAUUUAGGCAAUGAAAUCCCGUUUGCGGACUAUGGUCUUGGUGAAGUUGAUCCAGAGGUCCGUACGAUCAUCACAAAGGAGAAAGAUAGACAAUUUAGAAGCUUGGAGCUUAUUGCGUCUGAGAAUUUCACGUCUCGAGCAGUUAUGGAGGCCGUUGGAUCAUGCCUUACCAACAAGUAUUCUGAGGGACUGCCUGGUAAAAGGUAAUGAAGUAUGUGAUAUUAAUUUUUGUUCCCCACUUUUGUUCUUCUUGUUACUCAUCUGCUAGAUUUUAUAUUUUUUCUGUUGUCCAUGUCACACAGAUAUUAUGGUGGCAAUGAGUACAUCGAUCAGUUGGAGACACUUUGCCAGAAUCGGGCUUUAGCCACCUUCCGCUUAGAUUCUACGAAAUGGGGGGUUAAUGUUCAGCCGUUAUCUGGUUCACCUGCAAACUUUGCUGUUUACACUGCGAUACUUAGCCCUCAUGAUCGGAUCAUGGUGAAGAUCUUUUGCACUUUUCACCUUUAUCUUUUCUUUUGUGCUUGAGAUAUGAAUCUAAUGGCUUGUUUGAUGCAUUUAGGGUUUGGACUUACCUCAUGGUGGUCAUCUGUCGCAUGGGUUCAUGACUGCUAAAAGGCGUGUAUCUGGAACUUCAAUAUACUUUGAGUCCAUGCCUUAUCGACUUGAUGAAUCCACAGGUGCUGCAUUUCUUAUGACAGGGUCUUGCAACUACUUUUGUGUGUGGCUAUUUCCUGAUGUCUGAAUAUUUGAAUAGGCAUUGUUGACUAUGAUAUGCUCGAGAAAACUGCUGCACUCUUCAGACCGAAGCUUAUUAUCGCUGGUGCUAGUGCGUACAGCCGAGACUUUGACUAUCCUCGCAUGAGGAAGGUAGAAACUCAACCGGAUCCUUGACUAUUCCUUUCAUGUGUCUGUCUGGUUUUGGCUUUCAGUAGCAUCUGAUAUUAAAUUUUCCUCACAAUUUGUAUGAAUUUCUGAAGAUCGCAGACUCCGUUGGGGCUUUUCUGAUGAUGGAUAUGGCUCACAUCAGCGGGCUUGUGGCUGCUUCUGUGGUAGCUGACCCUUUUGAAUAUUGUGAUAUUGUUACAACAACUACUCACAAGGUAUGCGUGUUCCAAAAUCUGAAACAGAAAUUUGAUUUGUAUCUAGCAAAAAUAAUGUAGCUGAUAGUUUUAUAAUUUUCCUUCUAGUCUUUGAGAGGUCCAAGAGGUGGCAUGAUCUUCUUCAGGAAGGAUCCAAUCAAUGGUGUUGAUCUUGAAUCUGCCAUAAACAAUGCUGUCUUCCCUGGUUUGCAGGUUGAGAUAUUAACCAUUACUUCUAGCUCUCGUAGAUAAUACUUCUUUCAAGGUGAUUAAAAUUUGUCUGAGUUAUAUAUAUUUGUAGGGUGGCCCUCAUAACCACACAAUUGGAGGACUAGCAGUCUGCUUGAAACAUGCACAAUCACCGGAAUUCAAGGCUUACCAGAAAAGAGUACUCUCCCUUUUUUACUUGAUCCUUACCUUAAGCUCUUCUGUAGUGGAGAAAGUUUGUGAUUAACUAGUAGCAAUCUUCUUUUGCUGGUUUAGGUUGUAUCUAACUGUAGAGCGCUAGCUAACCGGUUAGUGGAACUCGGGUUUAAGCUGGUUUCUGGUGGCAGCGACAAUCACCUUGUUCUUGUUGAUCUUAGACCAUUGGUAAGUUCUUACAAAACCCCAUUAAUCUCCCAAGCAAAUGGACUAGAACAAAGAAUCUCUUAUUAUCUCGAUCGGUAUUUUUUUGCUGUGGUUAGGGCAUGGAUGGUGCUAGGGUUGAGAAAAUAUUAGACAUGGCAUCUAUUACUCUCAACAAGAACUCUGUCCCUGGUUCGUUUCUGCCUUUAUUCUUGUUCCCAUUGAAAAAGAUGUUAGUCAAUUCCCUAGAGAGUAAGUGACAUUGAGACUGUGAAACAGGGGAUAAAAGUGCGUUGGUUCCAGGGGGAAUAAGGAUAGGAUCGCCAGCGAUGACAACAAGAGGACUGUCAGAGAAAGACUUUGUAGCAGUGGCUGACUUGAUCAAGGAAGGUGUGGAGAUAGCGAUAGAAGCCAAGAAGAUAGUGACGGGAUCAAAGCUUCAAGAAUUCACCAAAUUGGUGACUUCACCUGAGUUUCCAUUGAAAGAGAGGGUGGAGAGUCUAAAGAAGAGAGUAGAAUCAUUCACAUCUCGUUUUCCCAUUCCUGGAGUUUAAAGCUUUACAUAAACAGAUAUACUCUCUCAUCUCUACUCUGGUGUUGUUGUACCUUAUUAUUAUUCACCCUUUUUUUUUUUAUCUGUCUUUUAGGGCUUCUCCUACGCUUGUGUCACAAGUUUGAAAGAAAAUAUUGGUCCAUGCUGUUUUCGAAAUAAAUUUAUUUUUAUCAUUGAUCAGAGUGACUUUACACCUUUUAAUUUCAACGAUUCUUCUAUAUUCUCGUAAACGAAAAUAAAAAAUAUAGAGAAUCGAUUUUGAUAGAUGUAUAUAAGAAAGAGUAAAUAGAUUUUGAAAUAUGGGAUUUUAACGAAGAGAGCAACUAUUUCGCGGGAUUUGGCGAAUUUAUCUCACACCCAAUCUCGCACACUCCCUCUCUCUCUCUCUUUAUUUUGUUUCUGAGUCUCUCAAAUGCGUUUUGUGUUUUGUUUUUGAUUUUGGCCCUUUUCUAAAAUAUUUCAUAUUUCUCCUCCUCUGCCUUCUUCAGGCGUGCGGACUCUCUCUCUCUCUCUCUCUAAAACAGAAAGAGAGAGAUCCAAAUUACGAUAAAGAGAUUUUAUCUGCUUUACUUCUCCCUCCUCCUCCCUCACCGGAAUCGAAUCUCUCAACGUUGGUCGGCGGCGGCCAUCGCUUUCUUCUUCUCCUCCAGGUGCGAUUCUACUUUCAUCCUUCUAUGCACCUUUUGUGUGUACGUACAUAUGUCUGAUUUGGAGGAAAUGUUAUGAUUUUCAAUUCCUCUUUUUUUUGGUUUGUACGAUGAGAAAAUAAAGAAAGGUUUCUAGGUUAGAAAAACGUACGACGAGAUGUUGAUGAAGGCAUCAUCCCUGCAGUUGCUUUUAUUAGACAUUGCCCAUGCCUUUGGUUGAUUUGCAAACUCUCAAGUCUAGGAGAACGCUUGGCUUCAAUUUCAUAUGGUUGGCUCAUGAUGAUUUAGAGAAUCAUUUGUUGAUUUGUUUUGUAGGCCUUCAUUGGUAUUGCUGAUUCCUCAAGAGGUCAGCUAUGGAGGGAGUUAAUUUCCCAUUUGGUGGAAUUAUUAACGAUUUCAAAGGAAGAAGAAAGUGCUACAAACAAGACUGGCUUGCUGCCUUCAAUUCUGGUGUCAGGUUUGUUCAUAAUUCUCUACUUCACGUUUGGUUGCCCCCCACAAAUAAAAUGACUUUAUAGUGUUUCAUUAACAAUGCUAGGAUACUAGCUCCAACCCUGUAUAUUUUCAUUGCCUCUGCACUACCUGUGAUUGCUUUCGGCGAGCAGCUUAGCAGAGAGACAGGUUGAGCUACCGUAAAAUGUCUCACAUACAUAGAGUUGUGUUGCUUUCCAGAGAACUUUUCUGAUGGUUUUAUCACUCUUUUCCUUCAGAUCGAAGUCUUGGCAUAUCGGAAUCACUAGCUUCCACUGCUAUUUGUGGAAUUAUCCAUUCAAUUUUUGGUGGACAACCCCUCUUGAUUGUAGGGGUUGCAGAACCCACUAUUAUAAUGUACACAUAUCUUCACAGUUUCAGCAAAGGCAGGCCUGAACUGGGUCAGAAACUCUACUUAGCUUGGGCAGGAUGGUUUGUAGAUUUCUCAUUUUACUUUCUCUUUGUUUUCGGUAAUUCUUCUUUCCUUAUUUACAUUGGAACUCUUUGCUUGUUUCCUUUUCUUUUUUAACAGGGUCUGCGUCUGGACAUCAAUUUUGCUUAUCCUUCUUGCAAUGCUAAACGCAUGCAACAUCAUUUCUAGGUUUACAAGAAUUGCAGGAGAGCUCUUUGGAAUGCUCAUAACCGUUCUUUUUAUCCAAGAGGCUGUUAAGGUUCUGAUGGGUAAUUUAAAUAUGGUAAAAGUCAUCCAAAAGUCAUUCAACAUUUUGAAACUCACGAGGAGAUGUUUUGUUUCAUAAUGCAGGGACUUGUCGGCGAGUUUUUUGUACCAAAAUCUGACGAUCCAAGUUUGGAAGUGUAUCAGUUCCAAUGGCUGUAUACUAAUGGUCUUCUUGCGGUUAUAUUCUCGUUCGGUCUUCUUUACACUGCUCUGAAAAGCAGGAGGGCAAGAUCAUGGAGAUAUGGCUUCAGUAUGUCGAAUAUUUGAGUUGGCUAUAUAGGUAAACACUUGAUCGGAUCAUUGAACAAUAACUAGCUUCACUUUUUCAGGGUGGAUGCGAGGUUUUAUAGGGGAUUACGGAAUUCUCCUCAUGCUUGUGUUGUGGAGCGCAUGUUCAUACACAGUCCCUAGAAACCUUCCUGAAGGAGUUCCAAGGAGGCUGGAAUUGCCACUUCCUUGGGAAUCCGAGUCCUUGUAUCACUGGACAGUCGUCAAGGUACUACUACCCCUUACCUUGUGAUUUGUGAAUGUGACACUUUCCAACAGAGAAAAACCAAUCAUUGCUUUUUUGGACUAAAAUUGCAGGAUAUGGGGAAGGUCCCGCCUCUGUACAUCCUUGCUGCAUUUAUACCAGCAAUCAUGAUCGCAGGUCUAUACUUCUUUGAUCACUGUGUUUCUGCACAAAUGGCUCAGCAGAAGGAGUUUAAUCUCAAAAAUCCGCCGGCUUAUCACUAUGACAUCUUUAUUCUAGGAAUCAUGGUAUGGUUAUGGUGAUUUCUUUCAUUUUUUUAGUUUAAAUGAAUCAAGGAGUGAAUCAUCACUAACUCAUCUCUAAGUUGUUGUAGACAUUAAUCUGUGGCCUACUUGGACUUCCUCCUUCAAAUGGGGUCAUUCCACAAUCCCCUAUGCACACAAAGAGUCUUGCAGUUCUUAAGAAGCAGGUUAGAAAAAAAAACGGAACACUCUGUUCCGAUUGAAUUUAGUUUUCCCUUGGUUUGAAAUCUGAAACGUUUUGAGUAUCAAUUGCAGCAAAUGCGAAAGAAAAUGGUACAGAAAGCAAAAGAAUGCAUGAAGGCAAAAGCUAGCAACUCAGAGAUCUACGGGAGGAUGCAAGAUGUGUUUAUAGAAAUGGAAAAAUCCCCUAAGGCACCUAACCAUAUUUGUCUCCUGAAUUUACUGCCUCUAUUUCUUUUAGAUUCCAGGAAGAUAAAUUCUCAUCAAUCUUAUCGUAAUGAAAACUUGUCAGGCAAAUUCAGUGGUGAAAGAGUUAGAAAACCUGAAAGAAGCAGUGAUGAAAGCAGACGAUGGAGGAGGAGACGCAAAGGGGAAGAAAUUUGAUCCAGAGGUACAUAUCGAAGACCAUUUGCCCGUCAGAGUAAACGAGCAGAGAGUGAGCAACCUAUUGCAAUCAAUCCUUGUUGGAUUGUUGAUACUAGUAGUACCAGUUCUCAGAAUGAUACCAACUUCAGUUCUAUGGGGUUACUUCACUUACAUGGCUGUUGAUAGUCUCCCUGGGAAUCAAUUCUGGGAGAGACUUCAGUUACUAUUCAUCACUCCUGGUCGUCGAUACAAGUACUGCAAGAUCUCUUCUUUUACAUCACAAACUCUUCUUAAAAUUUUAUAAAAUCUUUGAUUUAUUUAUAUUUUUUUUCUUGUGUGUGAACAGAGUUCUUGAAGGAUUACAUGCAUCGUUUGUGGAGAUAGUACCUUACAAGUCGAUUGUUAUGUUUACACUCUUCCAGCUUCUAUAUUUUCUGAUAUGUUAUGGAGUAACAUGGAUACCUGUCGGAGGAAUAUUGUUUCCAUUGCCAUUCUUCAUCCUCAUUGCUUUAAGACAAUACAUCCUCCCAAAGCUUUUCGAUCCAUCUCAUCUCCAAGUUUUAGAUUCUUCAGAGUAUGAAGAAAUGGUUGGUGCACCACAACGAAACUCCAGCUUCGGUUUCAAUAGGGAGUUAGGAGAGGCACAUAAUAUUCCAAUCAGUGUUGUUGAGAACAGUGAAGACGAGUUCUAUGAUGCAGAGAUCCUGGAUGAGAUUACUACCAGCAGAGGUGAACUCAAGCAUAGAACAUUAAGUGUCAAAGAAGACAGAUCCCAGAUGGUAAAAAUCUAUAUUAACAUUCUUGAAUUCGAUUUGUUAAAAAACACUUAUUUGAUCUGCAUUUUUUACAAUUUAACUAUCCUCAGGUAUAUCCAGAAAACAGUGGACACUCCUAACUAAGUUUUGUUUGGAAAAAGGAACAAAUUUGAUUGCUUGAAAGAAACCGCAGAUUAAAAUGGUACGAGGAAGAUGCGUAGAGGCAAAUAGAAGAAGCAAGCAGAUAAAGAUGGGGCAAAGAGAGGAUACAAGUGCAAACUUGCUGAUCGUUUCUUCUAUGAAACAGUAUUUGGGUUUCCUCACUUUGUGAUAGAUCUGUUUGCUCUUUUACUUUUUAUCUACCAGACAACAAAAAGAAACAGGCUAGAUCAUGCUACUUAGACAAUUCUCUCAUUUCUGCCUUUAGGGCUAAAAGAGGAAGUUUUGUUACUCCUUUUUGUUUUGUAAGAAAUGAAAUAUAAGCAGGAUGAGUGUGAAACUCUAGUGUGAUUUAAAGUUUCACUGCCAUAAUGAAUCAUCACUGAUUGAGAUAAUUCCUUCUUACUUAUUCUUUACGCAGAUUUUUGUGUGUUUUGUAAGUUUAUGUAUGUUAGAUGUUAAUUGUAGGUCAUGUAUUUAAAACUGUUUAUAUCUGCAGGUAAGCGAGUUGCAUUUUCUUGAUCAAAAACUGGAUUCGACAUAGAUGAUGUUAUGAAUCCGAAUUGUAAUGGCUAAAGAGUAAUAAAAUAUAUCAAUCUCUUUACAUGUACUCGCGUGCGUAUCAAGAAACCUUCAGAAGAAGGAGAAAGUCCCCGUCUCUUAUAAUCCUGAUGUCGUCGAUUUCAGCUCCUUCUCUGUUCAGAAUCUUUGUAGCUACGAAUCCCAGCUUCUUCUCACCGAUUUCAAUUAACUCUUCAAGAGAAUCCGGUAGCUUCACUACUUUACCGCAUGAGGAAGCCUCACCACUGAUCGUCACUCUCGCCGGAUAAACCACACCUGCUCCUUCACUUACUGCACUUCUCGUAGAUCCGCCACCUUCAUCACCUGAAUCAAUUGAAAAGUAGUUCUUUUCAUAAACGCAAACGCAGAAGAAGUGGUGUUUGAUGCUUGAAACAAUAGCAACCAAAGUUCAUUUUAGGAUGGAGAAAGUAAGCGUCUUACCACUGUUGGCAGCAGACAUGAUGCCAAACAGCGAGUUCUUGAAAUUACUGAGCUUCCGUCUCUGAGAAACGGCUCCGACCAGAGGGGGCAUUGCUUCCCUUGAACGGUGGUGGAUCAUUACAGGCUCGCUGCAAUGUUUCAUCAAUGGUUUAAUCUCUGGUGUGCCAGAAACAAAUUUCUGUUUCUUCUCCACUGGUCUCUGAUUAUGAAACAAAGCUUUGAUAUCUUCAUGUCCUUGAUGCUCAGCAAGACCUCGAGCCGUCCAACCGUAAACAUCUGGCUUGUCCAUAUCCGCUCCUUGCUCUAACAGAAACUUCACAAUCUCCAUAUUUCCUUCUGAGACUGCUCUGUGCAAAGCUGUGUUUCCGUUGACAUCUGGGAGUGAUAUAUCUCCACCGUAUUUAAGAAUGUCUUUGAGUGUAUCUAGGCUGUUUUGUUCAACAGCUAGGCAAGAGAACUGCCCUACUGUGUCAAAGCUCAGCGUUGCGCCAUUUUCUGAUAAGAGUUUAGCAAUUUCUUCAUGUCUCCCGAUGAUUGCUUCCCAUAAUGGUACAUUACCUUCUGAGUCUGAAAAAUUAGUUAAACAAUUACUAGACGAUCACCAGAUUGUUAUAUAUACAAAAUGGACUCAUAAAACCUUCGUUAUAUCAUACCUCUAAUAUUAGGAUCUGCUCCAUGCUCGAGAAGUAAUACAACACAAUAUUGCUUUCCUUUUGAUGCUGCUAUAUGCUGAGAUGAAUACACACACACAAAACAUAUAAAAUAGUGAGAAAUUUGAUUGUUCUUAGAGUGAAAAAGGAUGCCAUAGCUUGUUUAAACAGAGGAAUUUGGAGCUGACCAAAGCAGUUCGGCCAUUCGUAUCUGUUUCGUUUGGGUUUGAGCCUCGUUUCAAUAACUGAUGCAGCAGUAAAUCGUCUCCUCUGGCUGCUGCAAAACAUAAGCUAAGAGGUAAAUCCAUUUUCCCUUGAGCCAACAUGAGUUCUGUAUCAGCCAAAAUGCCUUUCAUCACUGGAUCUUCAGAGUCUUUCAGAUGCUGUAUUAGACGAUAACAUAUUCGUAUGAGACAAUAUAGUAAACUCAAUAUUAGUCACUAUAGAUUAUAAUAAAUAGCUUUGGGACCAACCUGAAGAAGAUUAUUCAUGAUUAUUGCUCCAUCGCCAACGUUGGCUUGAACAAGAUUUAAGAAUGAUGUACGGUUCAGGCGAAGCAAUUGACUCAGUCGCUUGGUACGAACUGUGAACAACUGUGGCCUGUAACAUAGAACCCCUACUUCACCAAAAACAUGACCUUUUUGUGCUUCGCCAACUACCUGAUCCACUCCAUUCACACGUGCAAUAAUGUCCUGUCAUAUAGUAGAAUUGUCAACUAAUUUGAAAGUAAAAGUAAAGAACAGUUUCGAAGAUAUAACCGAAAACAACUUACAACAGCCCCUGUGAUCAUUAUGUAAAAGUCUGUUGGUGCUUCAUUCCGCAAAAUCACAUCUUCUUUGGGAGGAAAAUACUCAGCCUUCAUCUCAGUGACCUACAUAAUGUCAGAAGGUUGAAUGAGUGAUUAAUCACAAGAAAGUAGACAAGUCUGAAUCUUUGUCAAUGGGAAAACAUACCAAUUGGAAUAGUAGAUCAUUGGAUAUUCCAUGGAACAAGUAGAUCUUGUCAACAAUUUCGUAGAACAGAUAAUGUGAUAUGCUGGAACGAAUAGCCUUGGGGAGGGAAUCGAUAAUCUCUUUCUGCUGUAGGCCUUCUGAAUCGGUUCUGUACCUCAAAGAUAAAUGAGCUACCAUCUGUUCUUGCAAUCCCACUGGAAGAUUGUUCCUUUGAGCAAAUGCUGAGGCGGCUUGGAUAGUAUCUCUCUAAAAUCAUUAAAAUCAACAAGAUAAAUUAAAACAAAAUAGAAAGACUCUUGCAGGAGGAUAAGACAAAACUUAGGUGACUUAGUUCAAAACGAAAUUGCAUUGAACAUUUCGUGUGUUCUUGGAAUAGUGUGCCUGAAUUGUACCAUAGGAAAGAAGAAAUGAGCAAUUAAUCAAACCAUGAACAGAACUUACAAAUUUUAUGGUGCGACUGGUCACAUGAACCACCAAAUUGGUCAUAUUACCAAUUAUAUAAGCUAGCAAUCCAAGAUUAAAAAUCAUGUAGAAGAGAAUGAAGGCCCUCUCUCUUGCAUUAUUACCAUGUAUAUCACCAUAACCCGUUGUUGAGAAAGUUGUUAUGGACCAAUACAUUGCUGUGAUAUACCGGAUAAGCAAAGAUUUCUUUGUCCAAUUUUCCUCCGCAAGUGCCAUAAAAGUCAUCGAAGGUUCUGGGUAAUGUGCAGCAAUAGAAUAGUUGAAGCAAGCGCCACAGUGAACAACAAAGAGAGCAACCUACAAUACGACCAUCAAAAUGUCUUAAAGUGACAGCAGCAAACUAUAGUUGGUUAAUGUAAGAUGGUGUACAGAUACUAACAAGGAGAAGUUUCGUGCAUCGAAUCCAGAAGUAGUUGUAUUUCCGAUCUUUCUCCAAUCUGAAAAUUCAAAACAGGGCAACUAUGAAAUACAACAGUUACAAAGAAUUGAAUAGCUUGAUGAUCAGUCUUAUCAAAAUUAUAGAACUUUUCUAGUAACCACAUUCCAGAAUCUGUACACAUGUAUAAUAACAGAUGAUAAUACACAUUCAAAUCUCACCUGGCAAAACAAUUACUGACCCUGCGGAGACGCCAGAGACGCAGCAUACUGAAAAUUCCAUAUCCUUGAAUAGUCUUAUGCAAUAAGCUGGCAAAAAUUUCAUAGGGAACAGUAGAUACCACAUCAAAAAUAAGCCAAGUGGAGGUAUAUCUCCAAGCUAUUUUCUUGGGAUCAUCGACUAGGAGAUAAGUUGCCUUGUUUAAGAAGGCAACAAAGAAUGUCAGAACAAUAUCGACAGCGAAAAACCCAUUGACGAUGUUAUCAAGAAUACUGAGUGGUGCUCUUGGUGUUUGUAGGAACCCAAACUCAAAAGGUGAAGCCCAUGCUGUGUAAAGCACCAAAACCACUAGAAACCAAUCCCAAGCUCUGAAACAAAAUUCAACAUUGUGCAACUCAUUAUCAGCCACACAACAAGUACAUAUAAUGUAACUGAUAAAUGAGGGGAAAGUGAGAAAAUGCAUAAGAACUCUUUGCAGAAUUUACAAUAAAGAUUAAUGCAGCAAACCUACACGAUUCAACUAGAUAGCUUAAAAAACUAUGAGGUCACGGAAUUAUAAUGUCCCUUCAACACAAGUAAUUCAUCGAACAGUUUAGAUUCAUCAAAAUUCGGAAACAGUUUCACAGUUAUGGAGAGAAUUGAGAUCAUUUUUUUCUUCAAUGGUGUAUAAAUUACAAAUCCUACAGAAAUUCUAAGAAGAAGAAGAGAAGCUGAAACACUCCCACGCGACAUGCAUCAACGAUUUAUCAGUCAUAAAAUCUCAAUUACACAGAAGACGAAAGGUACAGAAUCAGCUAGCGAAGAAAAAUCGUCGUACCUGUAGCGAGGAUCGAAGGGAGAGAUGAUGAAGCAGCGGAGCUUAAUGUGACGGCUAGAACGACCGGUGGCUCCGACUCCAAGCGGCGGAAGAAGACCUUUGCUAAAGCUGUAAUGGCUCAUUGUCCCUUCUCUGGAUAAAUGUUCGGCCGCCACAUCCUCCGCCUCCUUAACUACUCCACCGUCGUGCUUCUCCGGCCAAAACCACACCAUCUUCUUCUUCUUCUCCCUCUCCAUACGAAUCGAAGAAGGAUUCAACUCUCUCUCUCUCUCUGUAUCUCUGAUCUCGUGAUGAUGAUUAAAGUGAAAAAAUCCGUUCACGUUCCGUUGUCGAAGUGAUUUAUUGUUGAGGGAAGAAGCGUGUACACAUGGGCUGGUCUCUAUACUCUCCUCCUCACCAAUUCGGUUUCUCCUAAACUUGGUGUAUGACCUCUCUGGUUUUAUUGUGUGUAAUUCACCUUUUUACCCCUCUCCAACUAAUUUCCCUCUUUAUUAAAAAAAAAGGGUAAAAACAAAAAUCUUAUUCGCCAUUACCUUAAUAAAAAUUCACACAAAUCUAUUCUCCUAUAAAUAGAUUUAUGUUUGACGAAUACAUUAAAUGCAUGGAGUCAUCAAGAAGUUAAAAACUCAGAUUUUCAACAAAAAUAAAUUUCCCUAAAAUUUUUGUAGUGUUUCCAAAAAAUCACAAUAAAGUCGAUAAUUUUUGUGGAAAAAAAAAUUACUUUCCCAAAUCACUUACGAUUCUUCCCUUUUACAUAUAAAAAAAAUCUUUAAGUACAGAUUCCUUACUAAACUAAUACAAAUGUGAUUAUGAGAAUUCAACAUUUUUGUAAUAACUUUAUUCGUAUCCAUAAAAGUAAAUUAAAAUAUCUAAAAAAGGGAGAUAAAUAUAAUAAGACCCAUGUACGUGUCGAUACAUUAUUACUACUUUAUACAUAAUUCAAAUUUCAGAAGGUUAUAUAACUUCACAUUCUAUUGACAGUCAAAAGAGAGAUAUGAAUUUCUUCUUCCAGCCGAAAAAUUACUAGAAUAGUCCAGUCAAACAAGUUUGAACGAGACCAUACGUUAUAUAAGUUUGAAUUGAGAAACUGGAUUUUAAUUUUCUACUUAAAGAUCUGACGAAAAAUAUGGUUGUCUCUUUGUCCGUAUUGGUUGGAAGAGAGUUGAAAGAAGAUAUAUAUAGCCGUUAAGUCUAUCGCAUGUCGAAACGUGUAAUAAAAGAAAAGAGAUGAGCCAGAAAGCAAGAAACGCUUCUAGCUACUUUAAUGGCAUUUUCUAUCUUAGAUAUCGAUGCACAGCCAAACGCUCUUACCAACGGCUAUCUCUUGUCCACUGCUUUCACCAUAAAUACUCAUACACCAAAUACCCAGUCACACACACCUAAUUAACAAGUUUUAGCUAUAAGCGAGUAAGAAGUUGGUAAUUAAAGUUUUGGAGUCAAAAUGUUUGAUGUUUACUUCUUGAUUGUGAUGUUGAUGGAUUUGGGUAGGUUUACAAUAGGGUUAUCAAGUGGGCACAAGUUCUAUGUUGGUGAGAGUGAUGGAUGGGUCCUUACUCCCUCCGAGGAUUAUUCUCAUUGGUCUCACAGGAACCGGUUUCAAGUCAACGACACUCUUUGUAAGUCUCUCUCUCUCUCUUCUACUCGAUCUAUAAGGGCUAAUGGACACAAUGCUUCAAUUUGUCACUGAUGCAUGAUAAUAUUAAUUCUUGAUUUUGCAAGAUUUUAAGUACGUGAAAGGAAAAGAUUCAGUGUUGGUGGUGAGUGAGAAAGAGUACAACACAUGCAACACGACGCACCCCUUGACUUCCCUCUCAGACGGUGACUCUAUCUUCCUACUUAGCCGCUCAGGGCCAUUCUUUUUCGUCAGUGGCGACUCUGGAAACUGUCUCAAAGGUCAGAAGCUAGCCGUAAAGGUUAUGUCCAUGGUCCACCACAGUCACACUCAUCGUCAUCCUCCCUCUCCUUCCCCAUCACCCACAGUGUCUCCGGUCCAUCCGGCUUUGUCUUCGCCGGCACCUUCCCCGAGAGUAGAUCCAUCUGAUUCAGGAGUUCUUUCUCCAGCAUCAGGCCCCUCGGCCGCAGUUCGCAGUUCGGCCGGUUCCGUUGGUCCGGGGGUGGUUUCUCUAGGCUUGAUUCUCGUGAUUAUGAUGAGUUCCAUGGUUUAGCUUUUAUGCAUUGUCUCUGGUUAAUUGCGAGGGUGACUUGAGUUUUGCUAAUAAUGUGUUUUAUAUUAUGUUUCAUGUAAGUUUUUGUAUUUCUCCCGUAUCGUAUUUGUCCUUGUUUUCGUUUUGUGUAUCUUGAUUUCAGAUUACUAAUGCUUCUCCCGGAAAAAAAAAAGGCGAUACUUGCACGUCUACUCACUUUUAUAUCUUACGCAAUUUACGCUACAUAGAAUGAUAGAAAUAACAGAUUAAUUUAUUUCAUAAACUCUGUGUGAACUCUAUAUUAAGUGUCAAGGAUCACCUGACUAAUUUUAGAAAACCUAUUAAUACCGAGCCAAACAAAAAAGCGCGUACAAGGAUAAGUCAAUAAGAUGAUGACUGUAAAGUGUAAACGUUAUGCGAUUUUAUAUAUUCACGUUUUGUUCAUUUGCCAAAUAGAAAAGGGUAAACUGAUUCUUGCAAAACCGUGUUGACUGAAAACAAUAAUCACACAUUCUACUUUUUUCUCUACCUAGGGUAACAAUCUGAAUUAAAAAAUACCGCUUCGUAUAGUUAUAAUUUAUUCAUCAAAAACACACAUAAAAAAGACAAAAAAGUUGCCCUGUUUUGGGCACACACAAAAUCAUCGAUGAGACCGUUUCACUCAAAACCUCAAAGCGAAACUCAUUUCACUUUUAUUUCCCACCGCCUAACUUACUUAUCGUAUUCGAACGUCUAUAUUAUAUAUAUACACACAAUCAUACGACCGCUACGGCGGCUGGACAGCCCAUUCCGUCACCAAGAAGACCAUAGUACAACAUAGAAACCCUCUGUUUUGCCUCCGGGAACCUAUCCUCCUCCGUCUCCGAGACCGGCGACACAGAUUUUCUCUCGCACGUUCCGAGCCACUUGGCUUGCAUGUACUUGUGCUUUCUCCAAGGACCCAAGUGCAUCUUCUUGUCUUUCAUACAUUUCUUCGCUGCCGUGCACAAUAUCUUUAUCAAUGACUUGAGCCUCUCCGUUUUCCCGACGUACACUUCCGGUAACAUUCCGGUGAGUCGUUUGUACUCUUCGCUGCCUCUCGCCAUCUCAAACUCCGCCCUAAAACAUAGCUCGAUCACCACCCGGAUCUCGCCUUUCUUCGAUUUGUCCACGAUCUCCAAAUAUUCAUGCUCACCUAAUGUUUUAGAUAAAUAAACAUCAUGGUUAGUCCAAAGUAUUAUAAUUCACAACGCGAAAAAUGUUCAAUACAUAUAUAUUUUUUUAGAAUAUCUAGAUAAUUCCGUUGACUUGGUUUAUAAAUUAAUGGUGUGAUAAAGAUGCGUUAAAGUUUCAAAAAACAAGUCCAAAACGAAAUCCCCUAAAACAAUCUAAAAAAAUCAAAAUUCUUUAAUUAGGAAAACAGAAUACUGAGAAAUUAAUUUUGACUAAAAACAAAAUAUUACCGGCAGGGAUCUCAUGAGAGCUUCUCCACUUGGAUUUGGAAAUGACGCAAUCAUAGCCGGCGUCUCGGAGACGGCGAGAUACUUCGCUGCGUAAACAGCUACGGCAACCGUCGGUCACGGGUCUCCGACAGACACACACCACACCCUUUGAUCUUACAGAUUUUAACGCUUCCUUGGUUGCUUGUCUUAUCUUUGUCUCAAUUGAACUUGUCCUAUACAGUGUCGCCUACACAUUUCAGAUUUGGUCCAAAGAAACAAAAUAAAUUAAUGAGAUAUAAAAAAAUACACAAUUGGAAUCCUUUAAACAAUUAAAGAAAGAGAUAUAUUCAUAUUAAAAAAGAAAGCUACCUGGAGAAGCUGUUCUUGUUCUUGCCAAAAUUUUAUGUUCUCUUGGGAAUUACAAUCGGUGGUGUCGUUGUCAACUUCGGAUUCGUCGCAGGCGGCGAAGUUAUAAUCCUCGGGUGAGUGGUUACCUUCGUCGAGGAAACCAAAUAAAACAUCGUCGGAGCUAGCCAUGCCGUCGAGAAAUUUCAUGAUGUCAUCGGAGUUUUGCCGAUCCAUUUUUUUCUUGAGAAAGAGGAGAGAGAGAGAGAUGGGAACUGUUUCUUUCUUGUUUUUCUUUUUUGUUCCUUUUGUUUUGUUUGUGUUGGAAUAAAUAAACGAGGAGGGUAUAUAUAUAUAUAUAUAGUCAGAGAAAAGUAAGACCCGGAUAAGUGGAUUGGGGACCCGCGCUAUGAGGUGGGAGAAAAAAAAACACAGAUACAAGGCGCCGCGAACAAGUGCUUUGAUGCUCUGUUUUGGAAGAAGAUGACGUGUGAGUACAUGAUUGGGAUCUGAUGGCUUUACAGACAGCUAGUUCUUAUGUCAGCACGGCCCCAAUCACGACAACUACUUCAGACCACAGAUUCGGAUAUACUCGUUUCGAGUUAUUUAUUCGUUAUACUAAUUAUUUUUAGGCUAAUUUAGAUUAGUACACUAGCUAUCUAAUCCAUUUUUAACAAUUAGGUUUUAUCCAUAUACUACUAUUUUUUCUUCUUAAUUCUUAAUUUAAAUUCUUUAAAAUAUAUCUGAAAACUUAAUAAAAAGCUUGUGGAGUUAGAUUAACGGAAACAAAUUAUUUGUUUAUCCAGGAAAUCAAUUGUCAUUAUCAUUUAUCACAAGGCAAUCUUUUUUGGAGCUUUAAUUUUCAUUUUAAUGGUUUUCAAACUACAUAAAGCUCCUUAACUACUGUACGUUACUCAUUUUUUUUUUCUGAUGAGUACACGCCUACACGGUGACUUUCAAAGAAAUGAAAAAAAGGUUUAUGUACCUUGACAUAAACGUUAUUAUUGUGUGAUUAUAUUAUAUAUUGUAUCCAUAUCAUCGUCCACAGUAUUUGAAACUUUAUGCGUUAAACUAGUGUACAUGUAUCCCAAAUUAUUUAUUUCAUGCGAUUCAGAUGAAACUAAAAAAAAAACGAAAACGUAUGAUAAUAGUAAAUAGACAAUAAUUAAUAAUCAACAAAAAAAAAAAAAAAAAAAAAACGGAUGCAAGUCGCUAGAAGACUCGUCCUGAUCUAGGAGAAGAGGACCCACGUGCCAAUAAUCAGACGAAGACAAAGACAUCUUACGUGGAAGAUAGCCAUACACGUGUCUUUUUGUCCUACACGCACUUAUCCACACCCCCCGACUAAAGUACUACUUACACUAAUUACAUGGGGGUGAUCAUCUCCUUGAUUGUCAUAUGCAUCUGCAUGCCACCAAACUAAUAAUUUUAGUGGUCUUAAUUAGCUCAAAGUUUCAACUUACAUUACUAAUAAUCCUCAGCUCCUAUCAUCAUUUUCUGAUUUUUUUUUUAUUGCAAAUCAUAUGCUACUAACUUCGUCAUAUCACUUGCAAAUCAUGUACGCAUUCAAUACUUUAGUUUGGUAACAAGGAUUGGCAAAUGUGGCAAUAGUAUUAGAUCACAUUUUCGAUUUAUCUAUUUUCAACAUGUCUAUUAAACCACAUAUUUAUAUAUAUAGUACACAUGCAUGGUCUAAUUAAUAUAUAAAUCACUUUCGGUUUUAUUUAGACAGAUGCUUCUCUUGAUCGCCCACAUGAAAUGUUUUGGAACGGAUCAUAAUUUUCUUUUUAAUAAGUUGAAAUAUGAAAACUAGAAAAGUGAAAAAUGAUUCGGUUUUGUAGAAUAUUCCGCAUUUAUCUCCAAGAGGGAUUUUGAGAGGCUGGGAAUAUUCUUGAACAAGGGUCACAUGGUGGCAGCAUGUGGACCAGAUCCUUGAGAUGAGGUGAACAACAACACUAAACAGUUAUUCUUUGUUGUUAGUACCCUGACUGAUGACGAAAAGACAUUGCAAAAUUUGCAAGUUUACGCAAUCAUGCAUUGAUGUAUGCACAUAUUGUUGUUUUUUAGUAGAGAUACUUUAUAUAGGUUGGUACAACUUUCUGAAUUUUUCCGAUUACUGAUUAAUUAGGUCACUAGCUCUAAGUAAAGCUGAAACUUUUUUAUACCGGUAACUACAUAAAAAAGAGGCUUUAAAAAUUCUGAUGGUUAUAUUUUCAGAAAUUGAGCUUUGACGUUUAUAAUACAAGACGACGCCCAUAAUACGACUAUCCCAAAACUGUACACAGUCAUACAUAAUGUUGGAAGAAUGUCGUCAUUUGUUUUCAAGUCGAUGGAUUCUUUUACUCCAGUGGUUACGUCUCCCAUUGGUGGAUUUUUUUUUGUUUUCUUUUCUUUUUAUAGCUGUAUUUUUUUUUAAUUAUUUACGAUUUUACUGGAACCAUUCAUAAAAUCCGUUUUGAUACCGUACUUAAAAAAAAAACUUAAGAUUUGUAUGUGUGCGUAUCUGAAUCGUGCCGGCUAUAUAUAUUUCUAAUAUACAACAUGAACAAAAUAUUGAACAAAACUCUUAUAAUUAAUAUUUGAAUCGUUUUGCAAACAUGUCAUUAAAAAUAGUAGAACCGACGCAGAGUUCUGCAUGUUUUUGUAGUGAUAUAUAAUUAAUAUGCUGUGAAAAGCUGUCACGUAUAUGUUUGCGCAAAAGAUAUGUUUUAAUAAUGUUCUUAGCUUGUAUAUCAAUUACGACUUAAAUUAGUGCACAUUCGACUCGUUGAAUAAUCAAUCUGAGAUCUUAUGCUCAUACUUCGCGUUAGUAGACAUAUAUACUUAAAUAUAUCUGAUGUCAAAGGAAAUAUAUACUACACGCAUAGUGACGCAUGCAGAAUUCUGCUAAUUAAUGAAACUAUUGAAAUAUUUUGUUUUUCUUAAACCUGUUUACAAAAUUAAUAUUAGUAUAAAUUAUUUUGCACUGGAAACAGAUUAGUAGUAUAGCUUAAAACGAAAAUAUAUACAAAAAAAGAAGAAGAAGAUAAUUUAGAAUUCUAACUGAGGACCAUUUGUGUGUGUACUAUAUAGAUGUACGUUAAACUCCCAUAUCUAAUUUUUCUUUUAACUAUCAUCAGUAUGCAACAUAUGAAUUUGGUAAUAUAGUAACAUAACAUUGGUAUAUUAACCACUAAGCUAUAAGUUAUGGUCUUUUGAAACGUUCUAUCUUGCGACAGUUUUUGAGUGGCUAUAUACACUAGUUUUACAAUUUUGAAAAUAGUUUAGAAUUCUAAUGAGGACCAAUAUAUUCCUCAAAAUUCUAGAAGGAGAAAAAAAAGACUGAGCCAAGAUCUUAUUAUUUUACUACUAUAGUACUAUAUUUUAUUGAUUUGUUACAAACAUUAAUUAUAUAAUAGAAUGAAUUAUUUUGGCUAGGAGUGAAACCGAAGAGCCAAAAGAAAGUAAGGUUACCGCCUACCGGCAGGAUUAAUUUAACCAUUUAAAAAGAAAAAAAAAAGUAACGUAUGUGUUCCAAAUUGAAUAAUAUUUAAACGUUGAUUUAUCAAAGCUUUUGAGAAGGAUCAUUUCUGAUAUCGAAUCAUUUUGAAACUUACAGAAAUGUUAACAACACUUGUCAAAAGAAAAGGUACUCCAGGACUCUUGUGUAUCAUUCAACAUUUGUGAAUUUGACAAGAAAACUGUAAUGGUAAUUGCUAAAAAAAACAUACUAUAUAAUAUAUAAUAUGUGUACGUAUACGAUUAGGUCUGGUUAUAUCACGAAAGUUCUAAAAUUAUGUCAAUUAUUAUAAAUUUUUUUUGAUAAUUAAAAUUAUGUCAAUUGUUAUAUAUACGAUACCUUUUCUUACACGGCUACUUUUGUGUGUUUCGUCCUUUUAACGAUUGCCUAUGGGAUUAUGUGUCUUAUCUUUAUAAAAAAAACGAUUAUGUGUGUAUUUAUGCGACUAAGCCAGCCAUUGGUUUUCAAGGGAAAAUUAUAGUUCCUUGUAAACAAACACCAAAUUUUGCCUUAGCAAUAACAAACUAGUUCCAAACUUAGUGUUCCUUGUUCUUCAGUAACCAGUAGAUUAGUAUUCAUUGUCUACAAAAUUUCCCCAUUCUAUGUCACAAGUUCACAUAACUUUACCAUGCACACAGCGCAUCAACAUGUUAUAGUUAUACACACUAAACUCAAGUAUUGUUUUCUUCUUAAACUUUUUUUUUUUUGGUCAACGUUUUCUUCUUAUACUUAAAACAAACUAAAUACCUCUUGAAAUCUCAAAAUUAUUUGUGUGGGAAAGUAGUACCAUAAAUUAUGGCAUAGUUUGUAAAAAUACAAUCACCAUCUGUAUAUAUUGUUUUUAAAUACUAAGAUAACAUAUUGCUAUCUUUCAUUAACUUUGUCUGAAGGGAAUAACGAUUAUCUUCAUUGGUCUUCUUUAUAGCUUUCAUUAUUAGUAGUGAUAUUUUUAGUUUUAUUUUGAUGGUGUUUUUGAACAGUGGCCCAUAUCAACAAUGGUAUAAAUUAUAUUAAUUUGUAGCUUUUAAUUAAGGAAUAAGAGUGGGAUAAGAAGGAAUCAAAGUUCGAAUAUUUUUCACAAAUUAGUUUGUCUCCCAGCAUUUAGACUGAUGGGAUAUUCCCAUCUUAAAUUUAAGAAUCUAAAACAUUGUAUCCAAAAUAUCUGAAGACACUUUUUUUGUGUGCUUUUGUGUUUUUGUAAAGAACUAAUAAUCAAAUCAAAGUCCAUAAUCAAUCUCAUAUCCAACCAAAAACAAGUUAAGUGUUGAUAUAGUUCCAUUUUUUAACUAAUGAUCUAUUAAGUGUUGUUUAUAACUGUAGAUAAAUAAAUUAUGGCAAUUUGCAUCAGCAUACAUAUUUUUUAAUAUACUUUUUCAAUGUAAUAUUUAUAUGAACCUCACUAUCAAACACUUAGGAAUUGGAAUAUUGUGUAAAAGCAUAAGAAUCAAAUCUUAAAUAAAUAUAACUUCUAUCUAUAUCAAUAGAAUAAGACAACAAUUUGUCUGAUAUCGUACAAAGUUUAAAUUAAAAUAAAAAUUCUCUUUUAACAAAGAAAAUUUAGACGGCCGAAAAGAACCAAUGAAGAAAAAGGCAAAUGUGACAUUAAUUAAGAAAAAAUAUUAUCAUACAAUCACUGAAUUAUUAACUUCUUUUAUGAUACCAAAACCAUGUGCUAUGAAUUAUGAAAGCAGUUUAGGAUAAUUAGCUAAUUUAUUAAUGUAAAAAGUAAAAUAACAAUCCUAAGGACGUUUUAAUUUUUUCAAUCCAACAAGUUAGUUACAAGUACUGUAAGUUCUAAUUUGAGAGUGUUCAAUAAUACCACCAUGAAACCAUAAUCUUAUGUAAUCUAGUAAGUAAUAGUGAAUUCAAAUAACUGGUAUUCUACUAGAGACGGUGCUAUGUGCUUAAUUUGUCAAUUAAUUAAGCUAAAACUGUUUUAUAUACACAAUUUUUAGAACAGCUCAUAUAGUCCCUUAUACAUACCGGCAUUAUCACCGGAUGCUCUAGAUGAACUUAUUGUUUUCUCAAGAAACAAAAAAUAAAAUACAUAUAAGUUUUUAAAUUUUGUAGUUGCGCGUUAUUAAAUAUUGUAGGAAUUAUUUGGAAGAUAAAGAUUAGGAACUCAUCAAGAAGCAGCUGCUAAACUUUUGACCUACUUCAUAUUUUACGAUACGAUAAUGAAUGAUGUAAGCUGGAAAUAAAAAAAGUAAUACAUUUGUGUUAUCUACUUCGUAUUUUUCAUUGUACGACGACGACUUCAUUGUAACAGAAAUUAACAAUGAGGAUAUGGGUCGUGAUCUAAAAUCCCACCAAACAAAAUAAAGAUAUCAAACUAAAUCGAGUACCUACAUCCAUGAUAAAUCUCUUCAACCUAACCUCAAUUAAAAAUUGUUUAGAGAAAGACCAGAGACGGUUUGAACUUUUGAAAUGCUUUGUCAAGAAAGUGGGAACAUAGGAUUAGCUAGAGAUAUUUGUUUAAAUCACCACAUUUUAACCUUAUAUAUAUAAUAUUUGCAAGUUGAGAUGAUAUACUAUAUAACUUUUGAGAGUUCUUAAUUAAUUUAAAUCAUAAGGAGACAAAAACAUGCCUUUCAACACUCAAUGGUAUUUUAAAGUUAUAACUUAAAAUGCUCCCAUUCGCUUAGAGUAAAGAUGUUAGCCGGAAUCCAAUUCGUCUAGAGUAAAGAUCAUACAAUCAUAUAUAUACUUGUUUAACUUAGCGUACCUAUAUAACUAUAUUAUCGUUUCACAGUACACUUGAUUCCAAUGUAUUAAAUUAAACUCUCUUUUUCACAACUAGCUAUCAUUUUUUUAGGGUUUAUUUAACUACACCAUUUAUACAUGCAACUAGCUUUAUCAAUCAAUCAUACAUACAUACACAUACAAAUUGAGUUCCAAGGAUUUUGAUGGCAUUUGCCCCCUAAGAGUGUCCAAGCAUACCAUAUAUUUCAGCUGUAGCGUCUCCACUUAUUGCAAAGACUUUGUAAGCCAACUUGGAAUUAAAAAAAAAAGGUUUAAAAGACCUUAAAAAUGCACCAGCCGGGAAUUGAACCCGGGUCUGUACCGUGGCAGGGUACUAUUCUACCACUAAACCACUGGUGCUUCGCUGCUGAAUUCGAGAAAUAAAUGAAAAUAAUCGAAUUUGUAGUUGAAAUACGCAGCCACAGAAAUAAACAGUUUUAAGAAGUAAGAGCUUUCUCUCUCUUAUCACUUUCAUAUCUUUUAGAGAGAGAAAUCUAGUUAUCUUUUUGAUAUUCCGAUUAAAAUCGGUUCUUUUCUGGCUAAGUCCAGAUUUGUAUCUUCUCGUCUUAGUGCGAGUGUUUUGUUUAGCUAUUUUAGCUAUUUUGUUGUUUGUUUUUACUAGUUUUCUCCCCUUUUGCAGCAGCAAAUUCUCUUCUAUUCUAGAGGAGAUAAACGCCGGAGUUUUGUUCAGAGAUUCAAAAUUCAUCGUUUGCUUGAUUCUCUUGCAAAAUGAGAUAAACCCUCAUACCCUUAUGAAACCGUAUAAUCGGUUAUGGAUGCAGGUUCUCUUUUUGUCUGGGAAUCUUGAUGAGUGGAAUUCAGUGAUUGGUAUAUAACUUAUCAGGAGAGCGUGUUUUGCGACUGAUUUGAUCUCUUGCCAAGCUAUGUUUUCCGGUGAUCCAUAAAUUAGAUGAAUCAUGAAUCUCUUUUCUAAACCUUCGGAAAUUUUAGCAAAAGGUGGUGUUAUGGUGAAUCGGAGAAAGCAGCUGGAAUAGGUGAUAACUCUCGUCGGCAAAAAAUUCAGCCACCGCUUCAGCUUCUGUGGAUGAGUCAAUCGACGUCUUCCACUUUCAAUUUGCAAAACAAGUAAACAACACGUGUCUUAAUACGUGUCUUUUAUGAGGCUAGCUUAUCUUGCUUUGUAAUGUUUUAUAUUGGGCCUAUUUUGAACUUUGCAUGUUUUGUAUUAUUGGACUCUGAUCACCAUGUAAUUUUCCAAUUUGGAAAUCAAUACAAUCGACGACGACAAAAAAAAAAAAACAGUUUUAAGAAGUUAGAUGGGCCAUUCAAGGCCCAAUAAAAGCGCGAUUCACGUCGUCGUUUCAACAGCGUUGUAAAUUUACCCCUUUCUCUCCCAGGGCCAGCAGCUUCGUUUCUUUCUCACUCAUUGGCACAACAAGAGAAACCUGAAAUUGCGCAAUCGUUGAAAUUGAAAGAUAGAGAAAAAUGGCGUCGCUUUUGAAAUCGUUCAUCGAUCCGAAGAAGAACUUCCUCGCUCGUAUGCAUAUGAAAGCCAUAUCUACUCGCCUCCGCAGAUACGGUCAGAUCUCUCUCGAUCGAUAACCCUAAUUUCUGAAUCUGGAUUUGUUGUUGUUGUCAAUGAGGUUGCUGGUUCAGGAUUGAAUCUGAAUCUGCUCUGUUCGUUUUUUGUUUUUUUUUUUGGUUGAAAUGAUUAGGUCUGAGGUACGAUGAUCUGUACGAUCAAUAUUACAGCAUGGACAUCAAAGAGGCUAUGAACAGAUUGCCCAGGGAGGUUGUUGAUGCUCGUAACCAGCGUCUCAAGCGUGCCAUGGACCUCUCCAUGAAGCACGAGUAUCUCCCCAAGGAUCUUCAGGUAUUGUUACUAUUCUUCAUUGUCAAUUUUUUUUGGUUCUCCAACGAAAUUGAUCUAGGAUAUGGAUUGUAUGUUUGGCAAACUCAUAUAAUUGAGCUUAAGUAUUGGUUGAAUGUUAGAUUCUUUAUUGUCUUCUGGUAGAAAUAGAUUUAAGAAACUGAAGUGUUUAGAUUUCAAUUUUAAAAGUUUUUUGAACCUACAUCAUCUGAAUACCUUACAAAAAUAUCGGAGCUUAGAUAUAUAUAAACUAGCUUAUGUAUUAUGCUCGUCUCUUGCGUUACUGUGUUAACUCUUCCCUUGCUACUUGCUGGGAGCUUAUUUGAAAUUUGGGAUUUUGUUUCCUUGUUACAUUUUUUUACUUUCUGAAGUGGUGUUUGCAUUUAUACUACUGUAUAACUAUGUGAUUUAGGCGGUGGCUAUGGUUUACGAUAUUAAGCUAUAAAAAAUUGCAUCUGUUUGGCAUUCUUUUGGAUUUUUUAACAUUCUUAUUUGAUGUAUUUAUAUGAUAUACAGGCGGUGCAGACCCCAUUCCGUGGCUAUCUUCAGGAGAUGCUGGCUCUUGUAAGUCUCUUUUUGAUGAAAUUAUCCAUAAAGCAUAAUCUGCCUCUCGGUUAGGAAGAAUCACACUGCAAUUUAGUCUCUCUUUUUUUUUGUCUUUCUGCUUUCAUGCAUUGACAUGAAUGCUCUCGUUUGACAUCAGCUUGUUGCAUACUGACAGAAGCAAUGACUAAAAGUUUGAGAUGCAUAACUUUUCGUUCCUUGAAUGAAGCAAGAUGUUUUACAGAUCUUCUGCGUCCCUAUUUCAUUUAGUGUUGUGUUGUAAAUAAACUGUUUGCAAUGCUUUAAUAGUACCCAGUGUAACUUUUCUGUAAGGAAAGACCAUUAUCGUCUUCAUUAUCAUCAUCAUCACUGUUUUCAUGUUGUUCAUUGCAGGUUGAGAGGGAAAGCAAGGAACGAGAGGCCUUGGGAGCUCUACCACUAUACCAGCGCACGCUCCCAUAAGCAUUAUAUUUCCUCCUAAAGUUGUGGUCAACACAGCUUCUCUCCAUAAAUCUCCAAAUGGAUUACAUUUAUAUUCAGUUUCUGGAAUGAGCUAUUUUUACUUGAGAAAAGCAUAAAUCUGUGAUAGUUUUCCUAAAUGGAUUAUGUUGCCAAGUUACAUUUUUCACGUUUGCUGGCUUGAAUAAAAUGGACGACGCAACUUAAGUCUGUCUCAAUUAUUAUUAUAUUCGAUGUUUGCUUAGAUGUUAUAUGAUUGGCUCAAGUGCCAUGAUUCCAUAUACUCUUUUGCAUUGACAAUUACAUGUGAAAUAUUAAUGGGAGAGUUAUGGUUUUAUUAGGCACCGAUAAAACCAGUCGUUGAAUGGUCCAAGUCUAUGGUAUGGGGGUGGUGUGUUUUCUUUUUUUGUCUAAUGUUAGUGUUAUGCACCAGAAAGUGAGAAAUUUGGUAAAAGUUGGUAUUCUACCGAGAUAAUCUAAAACCAAGGGGGUCAUGGUGAAUUCUGUAGAAUUCAUUACCAAAGGAUUAAUUUUGACCAAAACAAACCCUUUUGUUUAACUAAAGAAAAUAACAGAUGAGAAGUCAUCUUGUGAGGACCGGCGGGUGUGAGAAGGGGGAAAGAGAUCCAGCUGAGUUUGGGCAUAUCGGAAAUUGGGAAAUGAAAAUUGGGAUUUCAUAUACAAUCUUGUUAUACAUAUUAUCGACAGGAUGUAAAAUCAUUCAUAUGAUAGAGAGACCCAUGUUACAUGUAUUUUUCAUAUAAAAAAAUAUCCAGAAAAGAACACAUGCAUGUGAUUUGUGAGUGCGUAGACUGGGACACAAGUCUUUAAAAGAUUCAGGUCAGAUCUCUUCUUUAGUUACCCAUCUCCCUCUCUGUCCCCUCUUUCCUUCCUUUUCUUUUUGCAUCACUUUCGUUUAGCCACAAUUGUUACAGUUAAAUGAGGAAUAACAAGAAGAUUAGAUAUGCUGUUCAGACUCGAUCUUAUUCCCUUAAUUAAACGAGGCUUUUUUCUGGUUCGAAUUCUAAGCUAAUUUGAGGGGUUUACAGCCAUCACAUGAAGUUAUGAACAUUAUGGCAACCCACCCAAAUGCAUGAUUGAUUGAGAAUCAAUCUACAUAAACUAAAAACCAAUCAUGAUGUUACGUGACUGAGACUCGCACUAUACAGAGUUGGGUCGAUUGCGUUUCAUUUAUCAUCGGAUUCUGUGGAUCCCGAAAUAAGUUCGGGAUUUACUAUUUAGCUUAUCCAAUACUUGAUGUUGUGAGACAGAACAUUCGAGUAAAUCAUGGAUGGUCCGUGGAAGUGAAAAUUAAGGUUGUACACAAGGUGUAUGUAGUACUGACACUGACAGAUGUGAUGUAUGAAAAUGGGUCAGUUACACAUAUUGGUUUUAGAGAUUGGUUUAUGUGCUUCCUUAAUAACUUUGGAUUUUUAUAGGCUCUUCCAUUAAUUUGUUUAAACUUGGAUGUUUCUUUGAAGAGACAAACAAAUAAAAAUAUAUAUACUCCGCUGUACUUUACAUGAGGGUCGACCAUUAAAAGUCGGUUGCAUGUGACUCAUUGACACAGACUGACUUGUCUUUAGUUAGCUUGAUUCCAUAACUCAAGUAGUAUUGUGUUAUAUAUAUAUCAAGUAUUCUCUAAUACAUAACACACAAGUACUCGAAAUAUAACCAAAAUAAGAUAAAACCAUAUAUACUCAUAAUUAACAAAUGUAAUAGCGUUUUAUAUUAUUCCCUCGUUUUACACUAUUGAUUUGAUCAUGCUUUCAUACUCAUCACAUAAUCUAACACUAUUAGAAAACACUCUCGUCGAUGAAACAUUAGAUAAUUUUUCUGACGCCAUAACUAAGGAACAUAUAUAGAUGCACUUCGUUUUUGUAAAUACACAAGGAUAACGAUUCAGCGUGAGACAGGCUCAUUAAGUGUCUUCCACGAGGGUAGUCCAGUUUUCUGUAAUUUUAUAUUGAUAACUAUGAAUCCUUUUGACGGCUGUCUUGUCCUUUUCUUUUACUAUGUCUUCUCCGUUAUUUCGCUCCAUUCUAACAAUUUGUUUUUUUUUUUUCAUUCUUUUUCUGUUAACAUCUUAUGACAUUGUAUAUGCAAGUGAAUUAAUUCUGAGCUAAAAGAAGUGACAUUGUAUAUUUACUUAUAACAAUUGGCUCUAAACCUAGAUAGGUAUAUAUAUAUAUAUAUUAAAUGGUAGCUUAGCAACAAAAUAUUGCUAAAAAAUAGUUGAUGCUUUAAACACGUAAAAAAAAUCUAAAACGGGGAUGGAUGAUGUAUAUGACAUUGCCGUUGUCCGUUAGUUAGCACUUAGCACCACAAGUCAAAACUGUGAUUUCAUCUGUCGGAUUAAAUCGUCUGGCUAGAGAUUUGAAUUCUACUAAGUACUAAGCUAGAGAUAAUAGUUUUGCAAAUCAAGAAAGAGGAUGCAUAGUCAAAUGUCGUGUUGUAAAAGUUGGUCCACUUUCCCAUGCAUGCAUGUCUACAUCUUUUUCAGUAAUUUCUUAUAUAUUUCUAUUAUCAUUUGAUUUGGAUCCACGAGUAACAUCAAGCCAAAGUUACAUAGCUACGUGGCCCCUGUUUUAUGGCCGAAAAAAUCAUAAGUUUAGGUUUAACCACCAACACAGAGUUUUUUUUUUUUUUAUAUAACAAAAAGAUUGUACAGAUAAAGUCUAAUGGAACCUAACUUUACUUAAAGACUCCUUGACUCAUACAUACACAUUGUUCGUGCAUACAAUUUUUCAGUCUAGAUAUACGAGUAGUGGUGACAUUGGAGAAUUGACCGCCCACUAGGCCAUCAACUCCGAUCGUAAAUUGUAGACAUGGAUGUUGCUAAUAAGUAGAACAUGUGAGCAUCACUUUUUAUCCAAAAAUAUAAAACAUAAUUAGAAACAAAUGCAUGUUAGAGAUAUAUUUAUAAUAUGAUACACACAGUUUAUGCUUAUGCAGUGCAUGUGUAUGUAUUUAUAAACAUGCACGCAAUAUGUUUUUGAGUACAAUAAUUUGUGCAAUAAAAGCACCGCUAACAGAGAGAGUCGGUGGCCUUUCUUUGCAGUGAUCUAUUAAUUCUGACGCCGCAGAGACAAAAUUCGAUUAUUCUUCCAUUUUUAAUAUCAUGAUUCAUUUCACUCUAAUUAUUUUUAUGGUUGCUUAAUUAUUCGAUUAUAUAUAUAUAGCAAAUGGUUGCUUAGUUAUUCUUUUGGUAUUUUGACUAUUUUCCAAACUAUCCAAUACCGCUUAGAGAUAUUUGUGAUAAUGUUGAUCAUGUUCAUGUACUUUUUUUUUGUUUUAGUUUGGUUCAAGAAUAUCGAUGAUUAUUGACGACAAAUGUGCAGACUAAAUCUAAGAAACCACAUGAUAUAUAAAAAUAAAAAAGUUGGAAAAAGACUACUCAAAAUUUUAGAUCGAAGAUGACCAUUAUAUGGUUAAAUUAUUUAUGUUGAAAAGAAAAAAAAAGGAGUCCGCAUGGUUUACACUUUACACUUGCGAUAUUUGGCGCUCGUGUGUGAUGCGUUUCAACGACACUAACUUUUGAUGAUAUGAUUUUUUUUGGUAAAUCACUACAACGCUCAUACAUUUUCAUAUUAAUACAGAAUAGUAUAAAAGCCUCCUACGAAUAAACAUUGUUUGUCUGAUUAGUCUACUUUACACAACAAUUAAAUUCUAGCUGCGGUUGAAAGUUACCGACCAAACCCAUGAAAAAAAACCUGAGCCAUAGAUAUCUUAACCUUGCUACAGAUUUGGCACACGGAUCAAGCUAUUGAAGCAACUGCUUCCUUUGAUUCGGAAUUGUUAUAUAAAAUAAUACUCUCUAUUAUUCGUUAUGUGUAUGCGAUAGGAUAACUCAGAACAUUAAGCGACUUUUAACUUGUGGCGAUGCGAGAACCAAUGUGAAUAAGGCAUGUGAGAGAGACCACAUUAUACUGUCCCACAGCUUUUGUCCUCUUCAUUCCCGCAAUUAUAUUACCAUUACUACUAGCUCACAUAACUAUCAUUUCCCAAAUCGCAGUUAAUUAAUUAGAUCUGUACGUAUAGCCUCGUAGUUGUUCCUCUUUAAUAUCUUUUUGUGUUAUGUAACAGAUAAGAAGGUAGUUAAUAUUUCCAUGAUGGAAUCACGAUGUUUGAAAAAGUUAUGAUGUUAACGAUAUACCCUUCGCAAGACUAGAAUUACCCCGGGAGAUCUUGUUCAUCUGGCGAUAACUGUUCAUCAAACCAAUACUAAGUUUGUUUUGAUAGUACGUAUCUUUUUAGUCAAACCUUCUAAGAAAAAAAGUAACCCAUUUCCAAGGAACGAUGAAUAUAAAAUAAAGGCACGACCAAUGUUUGUCCGACACAAGUCCCCAGUGGCAAAGCCGUAGUUUAAAAAUAGGCAAGGGGCUUCUUGUUAGACAACUCUUUGCAUAUAAAGAGAUCUCUCCACCCUCGUUCUCUUCCACUCCCACUCCUAAACAUUCCUUCUUCUCUCGUUCACUCUUCUUCAAACUUUACUGUUCGAAAGUUUACAGUUUAUAUAUAUUUAACAUUAUUGGGGUAGAGAAAAAUAAAUCGAAAGAAAUGAAAGAGAUGGGAGUGAUAGUGCUUCUUCUACUUCACUCAUUCUUCUACGUUGCCUUUUGCUUCAAAGAUGGUAAGUCCUUCAUUUUCUAAUCUUUAUACACAUCUCGCAUUCUUGUAUUUUCUGUAUAUUGGCCAAACCAGAAAAUAAGUUAACUUCCAAAAACAAAUCUAGAUUAGUAUUUUGGAACAUUUGUUCAGUUUUGAUUCAUUGCUUCUUACAACUUGUAUGUCCAAAACACUUUUUGAUUGUCGUCAAAAUAAUUAACUUUUGACUUAAAAGUAGUAGCUUUGAUGAACAUGUUGGAUGAAUACUAGCUAGGGCGAAACAGAUCUGUAAAGGCACAUGGCGUUUUGUCAAUAAAUGCAUAUCACUCAAUUACUCAUCUCACCUUCCCAUCUGUAAUUAAUUAACAUGUUAUGAUAUUCUUACUUUUUUACAUCAUUUUAAUAUUUUGUAAUUUAACUUUUUAAUUAUUCAAUUCUUAUACACUUACUUGUUUUAUCAUAGAUCUAAUAACUUCCAACUUUUCAAGAUAACAAAACCAUUAUUCAUCAUCAAAACAUUACUAAUGUUAAAACAAAAUACUGAAACUGUGCUUAACUUAAUACGUAAUUUUUGUUUCUAGUAACGCGCGAGUGGCGAUGUUAUGUAACAAAUCAUACAAUCCAAGUUGACGAAUCUACUAAUCUAAAUAGAAUUACAACAGAGCUAGCCCUAACCAAUUUUAUUAUAAUUUGUUGGUAACAAAACAGGACUACUACCAAACGGGGACUUCGAACUAGGUCCACGGCACUCGGACAUGAAAGGAACACAAGUGAUCAACAAAGCAGCAAUCCCAAACUGGGAACUCUCAGGCUUCGUCGAGUACAUUCCCUCAGGACAAAAACAAGGCGACAUGAUCCUCGUCGUGCCUAAAGGCGCUUUCGCAGUGCGUCUAGGCAACGAAGCCUCGAUCAAACAAAAAAUCAGCGUCAAAAAAGGGUCUUACUAUUCGAUCACGUUCAGCGCUGCUCGAACAUGCGCACAAGACGAGCGGCUAAACGUGUCUGUGGCUCCUCACCAUGCAGUAAUGCCGAUCCAAACCGUGUAUAGUAGCUCCGGUUGGGAUCGGAUUGGAGCUGGUGAUGCUCCACGCAACCAUAGCAGAUAUAGUGAUACAUAACCCAGGUGUCGAGGAAGAUCCUGCUUGUGGACCUCUCAUUGAUGGUGUUGCCAUGAGGGCCCUUUUCCCUCCUCGUCCCACCAAUAGUGAGUUUUUUCUUGGUGUCUUAUUUCGGUUAAAAUUAUACUUCUCGGUCAAAAACGGAAAUAUCUAAAACUUGUGGGGGUUUUGUUUGAUUACAGAGAACAUAUUAAAAAACGGAGGAUUCGAAGAAGGUCCAUGGGUUUUGCCAAACACAACCUCCGGUGUUCUCAUCCCACCAAACUCCAUCGACGACCACUCUCCUUUACCUGGUUGGAUGGUCGAGUCUCUUAAAGCCGUCAAAUACAUCGACUCCGAUCAUUUCUCCGUUCCUCAAGGCCGUCGCGCCGUCGAGCUCGUCGCCGGUAAAGAGAGCGCUGUCGCACAAGUUGUCCGCACUAUCCCGGGGAAAACGUACGUACUCUCAUUCGCCGUCGGAGACGCCAGCAACGCCUGUGCUGGAUCUAUGAUCGUAGAGGCUUUCGCCGGAAAAGACACGAUCAAAGUCCCUUACGAAUCUAAAGGGAAAGGAGGAUUCAAGAGAGCUUCGCUGAGAUUUGUUGCUGCCUCGGGUCGGACUAGAGUUAUGUUCUACAGUACGUUUUACGCUAUGAGAAACGACGAUUUCUCGAGCUUGUGUGGGCCGGUGAUCGACGACGUCAAACUUCUCAGUGCUCGAAGGCCGUGAGCUUGUUGCGGCGGCGAGUUAUACACGAGAAAAUGAGUGACGACACGACACUGUGUGUUUUCUUUUUAAGUUGUUGUUUGACAAAAAAAAACAAAAAAUGUGGUCACUCUGGUUGAGCAAGGAGGGUUCGGCGGAGCAGUGGCGUUCGUAUGCGAUUGUUUGGUCGGAAUAUAAAAUUUUAUGAUUUUAAUUUGGUUCAUUAACUUUAUAUAUUAAUGUUAAUCUCCAAUCCUAAAACAGUAUUUAACAUUUAUGAAGAAUUAUCCAUCGGAUAUCCGUAAUUAGAAAUUCCAAAACCCAAUCUUUGGGCAGCUGUGUCCAGAUUUCUCAACAGAGGAUCGAGACAUAUCAGAUAAUCGUAGAGCCGAGAAACGAGCCUCUCGUCAACGUGUUUAUCAUUGGCGGGGAGAGAGGCUGCUGGACUGUCGCCGGUGGACGAACGGGUUAACCGGAUGCAGAAUCGAUCCGGUUCGAGCAGAAAGGGACAAACUUUAUUAUCAAGUACUGUAUACAGUAUCGCAUUGUAUUACCAUCUUCAGUUUUGUUAUAUUGUGACCGGAACAGAGAGAUUUAGAAAAUUAGGUUUAUUUUUGUCCCAAAAGAAAAGAAGAAAAUAAGGUUUAUUUACGGUUUGGGAAUCAUACUUUCAAAUCACCUCCAACCUAAAUAUUCACAAAAUAAACAGUAACAACUGUUAACAGUAAUAUAAAUUUAUACAAAAUAUCUGAAUAAAAAGCUGGAUAUUAUAAGUUAGAUAUACAUUUUAAGCAUCAAGUGAGGAGGUUAUAUUUUUGUACAUUAAAAUGAAAUUGCAGGUUCAUGGCUUGUUUUCUGGUUUACUGCUCAGUUGUUACCAGGAUUGCUUCAGCUUUCAGUUUCAAAAUUUGAGGCUAAGAUGUCCUCUUGCAAGCAAGUAGCCAAAGAAGAAAAGACAGCUCAUGGCUUGUAAUAACAACAUUCAUCACAUAUACAAAGAUACAAAUCUUUGGAGCAACAACUGAAAUAUUGUCAGAUUGCUUUUGCAUGGGUAGUCUGCUUGAGGAUUAGGAAGAAAGUCUGCUUGAGGAUUAGGAACUCGUUUUUAUUAUAUACGCAAGCCACUACUCAGGAAAACAUGUUCAAUUUAUGGCGCCAUACCUUCGUGCCAGUUAAUGAAUUUGGCUUUGGAGUUUCAUACUGCCAUGUAAAAAAACUAGCUUUGCUGAAGGGAUCUGAAGAGUGAGCUUGGAGAGUUUCCACAAAGCACAUGCGACUAACUAAGCAAGAAAGCAGGCAUGUGUUCCCUUUCCUCUCGAUUAAUUCCAUGAAAGCAAGUCAUGAGAACAAAUCAGAACAAGGAAUCAUUCAACAUCACCAAUUCACGACAUAUUUUCUGGAUGAACACAGGCUGUGUUACACAGCAUAUACAAUUCUAUAUUCUUCUAGACGCACACACAUUACCCUAUUCACACUUACCUCUCCCCUGGCAUAACGUUUAUUUCCAGAAAGAAUGAGCGUCAUGAACUAUGCCUCUGGAAAAAACACCGAAAACAGAACCAAUGUAACUGGAAAACAGUGUGUUCUAAAUCUACAUAUAUCAGAAUCACGUACAAAGCUAGUAUAGUUAGACAUGGUAGGAUCUACACCAUGCAGUUCUAAUGAAGCACAAAGAUAACACAUUACCACAAAGAGAGCACUGCAUGAUAUAACGAGUGAACUGUAAAAUGUAAAGAGAAUUUACUCGAUCUCAACAUGUUAUCAGCAAAAUUACCAACCUGACUGUAAAAUUUAUCUAAGAAACCUGCUUAAAGCAUAGCUUUCAAGCCCUGUGGACGAAGGCGACUCCAGGACACCUGAAACAAGCCACAAUAUCAAGAUAGAAAACAAAAAACAGUAUCAAUGGUCAGUUAUGUUUUGAGGGAAAACAGGUAUGGUGUUGCACCAUUCAGACGACCAAGGCAGAAGUUGUAAACCCCAGCAUCAGAGUUAAACCUCUAGAAGCAAAAGGUCUGCAUGCCCCGAACAAGGCAACACUGUUCCUGAAAAAUGCAGGGGGAAAUCAAUAAUGUCCAGAGGGAUGACUAAGGAAACUCACACCGUUAUGCUAUACAUUUCAUAGAGCUAAAGGUAGGAGCACCCAACAUAUCAGACAUUCAGACUUCAUAUUGCACAGAAACAAAAUCCACAUAAUACUGUGUACUGACAAGGAAAAUACUAUUGACCCAUCUUGUUACUUACAAGAUGAUAUCAACACUAAAGUACAAAACUGAUAUUACAGAAAGAAAAGAAGACCCAUAUGAACAUCCCUUCAAAAUAUGAUAUCUCAGAGUAUGGAUACAUGAUUUUUUUUUUUUUUUUUCCCCUCCAGGAAUUACAAUAUAGGAAACUAAGCGAAAUCUGACAAAGCAAUAGAAAUGAACCUCAGAAAUUUUCAUUCUAAUCAGAGUUUUCAUACAAGCUUGUAUUCUAUACACUUAAUAUAAAAUCCGCUGGAAAAGAACAAUAUAUGACAGUUGAUUCCACAUUGCAGCAAAGUAUGUCCAGGACAAGUAGACCAUCAGACUUGACCAUAAGAAUCAAAAAGAAAAAAAAAUUGAAUUCUGAUUGAUACUAACAAAACUGACUGCGGGUACCAGUAGAUAUCAAAUUUCUUACCUCCAUCAAAUGUUCAUCAUCUGAUAUAUUAAGAGAAAGACGAAGAUCAGUUAAUGACGCUUCUUGCUCCCAACUUAGGGGACCAGAAGAAAAUAGUUCCCCCAAAGUACUGCGGUAAGUAUAUAGUUCAAACCUACAGGACCUUCUUUCUCCAUCACGAGCUGAUGAAUGUUUCCUCCUUGCUUCUUCCCCGAGGCCACAAGAAGAUUCAGCAUCGCUGCUAAAUGAGUCUGCCUGGUGACUAGAGUCAUCUAGCAUAAAAGGUGGCAUAUCACUCUCAUCAUAACUAGUAGCACUACAACUACCAACUGAGCAUGCAUCGCUAUCAGAACAAUCAUCAGCGACUAAGCUUCCUGCACGAACACUCUCACUAAACCCUUUUGAUCUUACCCUGACCAGUUGACAGCAACCAGUAUUGUGAUUGUUAAAGGAAGCUUGCACGUGAGAUUUACCACCCCUAUUUUCAGGUCGGCAAGCAACAGCAUCUACCUUUUGCAUUGAGGAGGCAGAAAAUCGGUGCUUCUGUCCCUCUUUUUCCAGUGAUCGUAUCUUCUUGGGGUUUCCUGUGCAUGAUUCAGCACAUCCAGACAAGUUGUAGGGUGACGGCCUCUUUAACAUUCUAGCAGAGACAACACUAGGCUCAUGGAGGAGUAUGUUGUUCGUUUGAGGCUGUAGCUUCUGAUGUACGUCUGAUCCAGUCAGUGUAGAUGACUUCAACGAACCAGAUAUCUGCGAAAAUGAUUACAAGCCAGUUAGUUAACGUGUAAGCUCAUUAGCACAUUAGUUAAAGAUUAUUUCAAACAAACAAUAUGUAACAAGACAACGCAGAUUGCCACCUCCAACCAGAUCCACAAAAUUCAUUGAAAUGGAAGAGGAAACAUAGCACACGUGUAAUCUUAAUGAAGAAAAGACACAAAGAACUUAAACAAGAGCAUAAUAGCUUUAAAAGUGAAAGCAUGACAUAAGGUUAAAACGAAAUUACCUUUCCAAUUGCAACCCAUUCCUCAUCUUGCCACGACUGUCGGACCCUGAGGUUGACUUGAUGGAAUGUAAAUUCCGCUGGAGUCCCAAGUAACCGAACCACAUAGUAGUUUCCAGAUAACUCCUCUCGAACAGUGGCAGCUUUCCAGGAAUGGUUAUCAAGAACUUCCACCAGUUCACCAGUCUCCCAUCUCUGGACAUCCACUUGGGGAGGACACGGCCUAAUUAUCUUCCUCGCAACUCUCUCAGUCACUGUCUCCUCGUGUUCAAGGUUGAAAGAGCAAUAUCUAACAUUGUAGGUAUGACCAUUACCCGAAACAAUCUCAGCGCAUCGCCACGCACCAUAAGGUGCUUCUUUGUUGCUAAACACCUCAACUCGACUUCCUUUUCUGAAUCUCAUGAUGGUUCACUCGGUCGACUUAAUACCUGCGAAAAAGAAACAAAAUCUCCAUAUAUGAGCACCUCUAUCAAAAGAAAAAGGCUAACUAGCAAACAACCAAAACAGAAGAUCAUACAUUUUUCUUUUUAUAAGAAUCUAAGAAAAAGAUACAAUCUUAAGCCGAAAGCUCAAUAAUACAAAUUUCAAAUAGACUCCGCUAAAAACAUAUUCCUUGUCAUAAAUUAUUGCAGGAACACAGAUCGUAAGAAGCUGCAUCAAAAUUAUUCGUAAGGAGAAAGAAGAAUAGACAUAAUCGCGAUCAAUCACAAAAUAAAGCAAUAUUAAUCCAAAUUCACUUCAAAAAGUUUUUAACAAGGAGCCGUAAAAUCAAUAAAACAAGCGAAGAAUCUCGAUCCAGUUUUGUUUUUUGUUUUCGUUUUUGUUUUGAAGGGGACAGAUCAAAGGAUGAACAGCAACAUUGAAACAAUCAACCAAGCCGAAAUAUAGAAUAAAAAAGAGAGAGAGAGAGAGAAAAUUGAACAAGAGAGAUACCUUCUGUAAUGCCUGAAUGAGAAUUUGAUCGCCGGAAGUGAUCGAAUUGCUCUCUUGAUCGAACAAAUUUUGGAAGAGAAAUUGGGGGAUUAGGGUUUCGGGUAAUGGAAAUAUGGAAACACAAAAUUGGGUGUUAAGAAAUUUAUAUAUUUCUUUGUUUUUUAUUUAUUAUUUGUUUAAAAAAAAAAAUUGAAUUUCGUGACGUGGGAUUUAAGUUAAAAUCUUUAAAACCAGAAAUAAGGAGAGUCAGACAACCCAUAAUAUUAAUGACGGUUCGAUUUGCAAAUGUUAAUGCUUUGUUUUUGUUUUUAACUCCCUUUCUUAGAGCGUGGACACGCGCGUUAAUUGUGUUUUUAAGUUCCCUUAAUUUUAUGAUGUACUGGUUUAACAAAAUCAACUAAUGUAGAUGUGUUUUUUUUUUUUUUUUUAGCCAAGAUUACACUUAAUGCUCUCUUGUAAUAAUACCUCAACUAUACAUUUCUAAUAAUACUUACAUUCUUAGCAAAAGGAUUAUUUAUUUUUGAUGUGUUCUUAUAUUAAAUUACCAUUUUAAUGAAAUAAAAACCACUUUUAAAUUGACAUUUUGCUGGAUAUGUAACUUAGAAAUUAGUUGUUCGGUUGAUGAUUAAAUUGUAGUAGUACACUAGCUAUUAUCUUCAAUAUAUUUAUAUAUAUAAAAAAAACUAGAAAGUAGGCGUGUGGUUUAGUUUGAAGUUUCAACCACCAUGGGAGUCUUCUAUUAUUCUAGAUUUUAGUUUGAAACUUGGUAAAAAGCUAGUACGUAAAUUUUCAUUCUGUUUCUUCUUGUAUUUGUUGUCGUCAAUUAUGACCAGCUUUUGUAUACGAGUCUUUCACUUGAUAGAGCUAAAAAGUCAAUACAUUUGUUGUUUGUUUUAACAACAUAGAAAACAAAAGUAAUAUUGUAUUCAGGAAAAUGUAAAUAGGAAAAGGAAAGUGUAAACUAGCUUCUCAAGUGGGGUACGUAACGUGUUGGGAAUAUCCGCUUUUAGGAGGUUAUCGACGACGUAAACAUUCUCCUCAUCUCUCUCUUUUUAAGUUGCUUAAGAUCAUCCUCAAUGGUAGGAUGUUAGGUGUAUCUUAGAUGAAUUAAUGAUUUAAUUUAAAUGAAAAUGUUAAUUAAAAUGUAAGAUAUGGUAUCUUAUAUAAGAUACAAAAACAAUGUUUAAGAGACGGUGACGUGGCAGUUUCUGAGUGGAUGUUGAAAUAAAUAUUUGGGAUAAAGAAAAAAUUAGAAAUAUUAUGCGAGCUUGUAUAAUAUUUUUACAAUUUGAUUAUAGAAGACGAACAAGAUACAUAUACAAAAUUUGAUGUCAAUUAAUUCGUAAUGGCAGAAUCUUCCGGAAGUACACGAAUGGAUUUCACAUAUUCUACAAAUAUGCAUUCAAAUCCCAUUAAUAUAAUAGCCAUUAGAACUCGAAUUUGUGAUCGAGUUAUGCAUGAACAAUUGAAGAACGAUUUGGUCGAGCAGAUAUGGACAAAAUAUUUCACAAAUUACGUUUAAAUUAAUUAUGGUUUAUGUUAUUUAUGCAAUAAAUUAUAUUUCAUAUAUGUUUUAAAAAUUUUAUUUUGCAAUAACUAUUAUGUUUUUAAUAAUUAAAAUUGUUAAGAUGCACAACUUAAUAACCUACCAAUAAUCCUGCAUAAAAAACAAAAAUACAAAUCUUAAAUUUUACACUUUUCAAAUUUAUUACUAAAUUAAUCGUAAGAUACACAUAUAAUAUCCUACCAUUGAGGAUGCUCUAAGAAUAAUUUCAAAGUUACUUACAAUUUUUGAUUCAUAUAUAUUAUAAUAUGUGUAAACAAUGAUAAAACAUGCAAAAGAGACGUGACUCAGAAGAGUACAACACCAAACUCAUACCUUAAAGCCAUCAUCAUAUUCUCUCUCUUUUUUUCUUUUCUUGAGUUCGUUAAAAAAGAAAAAAGGCUGAAUGGCUCGUCAUAUAUGUGAUAUUAAUUUGUAACUAAUUCGGUUUUGUUCUUUUUUUCUUCUUACUUACUUUUUUAGAGUUUUUCUUUUUUUUUUCUUUUAGCCUUUGGCUUUGGAAUAAUAUCAACCAAAUUCAAACCUAACAGAUAUAUCAAUGAUUUGAAGAUUUAUUAUAUUUUCGCCCUAGUGUUUCCUAUGUUUAUUUCGGCUAAACAUGAGUUGUCUACUUCUUAAAUCUAUUUUACGGUUGUCCUAGAACAAGUUUACGAAGAUGGUAUCUCUAUCAUAGAGAUGGCAAAAGUUAGACUCGUCUAUUUUGAGUAUAGAGUAGCAAUGGAUAAUAGAUAGCAUAUAAGAAAGUCAAAUGCAUGAAUGGCUAAUUACUACUACAACUCGUUUGGUCUAAAUAAUGACGACAACUGGUUUGGUAUGGAUUUAGAUAAGUCGGACUUGGGUAACCUGUUUUGAAUAAGUCCAAGUCUAGCGAAGGUAGCAUCUUAAAGAUCACUAAUUAAUUUUUUAUUUUCCCCUGGAAAGCCCAAACACACACAACUUAUAUGUUGUUCACAGCCAUCGAGUAUCAAACAUUACAGUACUCAAUUAAUCAAUCAAACCCGGUCAAUGCGGUCAAAAUCAGAGAACCAUGCUAAAGCGACCAUGGUCCUUACAAAACCAAUGUGCAAUGCAAAAAUAAAAUGGAAAACCACACUGUGAGCGAGUUCUUAUAAACCUGUAUAGCUAAAUAUCUCUAAUUUUGUUAUCUAUAACAACUACUUUUUAGAACUCCGAAUAAGAGACCUAAACUGCAACCUUCACCUCUAAAUUCAUCUCCAACCCAAUAAUUGCAACCAUACUAUAAAUCUCAUCAGAUUUUGGGUGAGACUUAUCACCUGAAGAGAAACCUUGCAUCGUUAAACAAGACCCUUCGGUUUCAUCAACAUCGAUCCAACUGAAUCCAGCUUCUUUACUUACAUUUUUCUUCCUCAUCGUUUUCCUAAUUUCUGCAGCUUUAUCCCACUCUUCUCUCUCUGCAUAGAUGUUAUACAUCUGAACGUAAGAACCCGACAAUUCCGGUUUCAUCUUUAUUGCAAGCUCAGCCACUUUUGCUCCCAAUUUCACAUUCCCAUGCAGCCUACAAGACCCCAGCAUGCUCUGCAGCAUCGACUCUCCUGGUCCUCCAGGAACCUCACUCAUAAGCUCCUCUGCUUCUUUUAAUCUCCCAGCUCGGCCAAGCAAAUCCACCAUACAUGAGUAAUGCUCAUGAGACGGCUCAAGAUUGUAGUCUUUCAUCAUCAUGUUGAAAACCUCAUACCCUUUGUCUACCAUACCUUUUCUAUUACAAGCUGUUAACACAGAGAGAAAAGUGACUAGGUCUGGUGCUAUAUUUUCUUUUUUCAUCCUGUGGAACAAUUGCAUCACUGAAUCAAAAUCACCGUGGCUUGAAUAAGCUGAUAUUAUCGAUGUCCAAACAAAUUGGUUCCUUAGAGACAUCUCGUUAAAGACUUUCUCAGAUUCAUUUAUGUUCCCACGCUUGGCAUACAUAUCAAGAAGCGCGCUUGAAACAACAGGACAACUAUUUAAACCCAAUUUCAGUAUCUGAGCAUGGCAACGCUGACCGUGCUUUACAGAUAUAUCCUCUGCAAAAGCAAUUGCAUUCAAGACACUUCCGAAAGUGUAUUCAUUUGGCAUUGUUUCCGCUGCUGCUAAUAAGAACAUCUUGAGAGCUUCAUGUGAGAAUCCAUUUUGGGCAAAUCCAGAUAUCAUAGCAUUCCAGGAAAUAAUCUCCCGAAAAGUUAUAUCAUCGAAAGCCUUCUUGGCAUCUUCCAGAGCACCAAACUUGGCAUACAUGGUGAUGAAACUGUUGCCUACAGAUGGUUCUGAAACAAAACCAGUCUUCAUGCAUAGCCCAUGAACUUUAAGCCCUUCUUUGAUUUGCUCAUUGCACUUCAAGGCAUUGAUUAAUCCAACAAAUGUGACCUCGUUUGGGUAAACUCCAUCUAAUCGCAUCUUAUGAAAGAUGGACACAGCAUCAUCUUUAUUCGCGGAAAUCAUCGUUGUCCAAGAGACAACAUUCCGCUCAGUCAUUUGGUAAAACACUGAUUUCACAGCUUCUAAAACCCCACACAUCGAGUACCUUGACAUCAAAAUAUUACCAACUUCCACAAGUGUUUCAUAACCUCUUUUUAUGCACAAACCAUGGAUUUGCCUAGCCAGCUUCAGAUCAGUUUCGUGACAACAAGUUGUAAUCACGCUAGUAAAAGACACAUGAUCAAGCUCCACACCUUCCCGCAUCAUGUCCCUAAAGACACUCACUGCUUCAACCCCGAAAUUGCCUCCUUGAGAAAGUCCUGACAAUAAAGAGUUCCAUGAAAUCAUAUCUUUAAGCGGCAUUUCAUCAAAAACUCUCCUAGCUCCUCUGAAACUUCCAGACCGCGAAUACAUUGUAAUAAACGAAUUUCCAACAACAAGAUCAGACUCCAGUCCGGAUUUCACCAUCGUAGAUUGCAACUGCAAGCCUAAACGAAAUCCUUUAGAGCCUACACAGAAGCUAAGAGCUGUGGAAUAAGUGAAUGCGUCGAAAACCACUCCAGUUGAUUUCAUCCUAACAACAAAAUUCAGAGCAACUUGAUUGUCAUCAAAGCCAGAGAGUAUAGUGUUCCAAGAAACAACGUCAGGGUCAACUAGGUUCUCAAAUAUGCACAAAGCAUUGUCAAAUCUACCGGCUUUACGGUACAUACCCAUUAAAGCGUUUUGAACACAGACAAAAGAAGUAAACCCAGAAGUUGUGGAGAACCCGUGGAUUUGGCAACCGCGUUUCAAGUCUCCACGACAUGCUUUAAUCGCAAGACAAAGAGUAACUUCGUCCAUAUUGCGACAACGAAAACCCAGCUGGAGAUUUUCCUUGAAGAUCGCGAGGGCUUGUGCCGGAGAGUUUCUCCGUAACGAUUCACUGAUUGUAUGGUUAAUGGAAGUUGUCGCGUUUCUUUGGGAACUUCCAUCGAACAGUUUGUGAGCAAUUCUAUAAGGAGAGUAAGAUCUGUGAAAAGGUAACGAUGUUGAGCGAUUACAGUGUAGAUAACUCAGAAGGGUCAUGAGAAGCAAGCAAACUAGUCGAAUUCUUGUUUACGUAGGAGGGAACUAAUAUCGGAAGAAGAGAGGUUAUGGCAAUGGUGGUGAACAGAGAGAGACUUUCAGCACAAAGUAGAGUUUUUGAGGGCAUAUUUGUAAAUAAUGAUAGAAUAAGAGGGCAAUACGGAGAAGCUGGAGUUUGUUCUUUUUAAGGCAUCGGCUAGGUUUUUUCUCCUGCUCUCAGUCAGUUUUUAAUCCUGUGGUUCUGCGUGCGUAUUCUCAGGUAAAACCCUAGCGAUUCACGCCCUGAAUCUUCUUCGUUGCUCUUCAUAUUUCUCCGAUUUUGCAGUCUCUAGCUGGAAUUUUGAUGUCGAAGCAUACGUUUCUCUAAUGUGUGUGUGCUAUGAAUUUUAUAGAAUUUGCACGUGUGAUCGUUUUAGUGUAUUCGAUGGCCUACGAGUUUCUUUGUCUUGAAAAGUUAAAGGUUUGUGUUAGCUUUGAGCAGUUGUGGGCAUGAGUUGUUGUAGAAGAAGAACUUGUAAUUUUAGACGGAUUGCGGGACGAAUUAUCUAUGUGCACAUUGUUGAGCUCAUGAAGAUCUCAUGUCUGCUACUACAUUGUCAUUAAUUGAUGAGCCUACAAGUUUUAUAUCUAUCCAGUUGUUAGGCACUGACUUUAGAGUUGAUUUGCUGAUUUGCGGCCAGUGUGAAGUAUCCUGUUUUGUGGGAUUUAGUUUUUCACUGCUAUAAUUUUCUGUCGCAGGUGAAAACUAUAUGCCAAAUGAUCUUUCUUCUGCGGUGUUUGUUAAGCAGUAUUUUGCAUGACUUUUUAUUAUUCUGAGUCUUUUUUGUGUGUGUGUUUUUUUUGUCAGGUCUUAACUUAAGCUUUAGUAAUUCCAAAACAUGGCAAAAAAGAAGAAUCCUCAAGUUUUUAUGGAUGUAUCCAUUGAUGGCGAUCCAGCUGAGACUAUGGUUUUUGAGGUACUAUAGCGUUAGGCUAUGUUAAUGUUCACUUUCUUGUAUUUUCCAUGAUCCAACAAAAGUGUUGACAGUGUAAACUUGUUUCUUUAGCUUUUCCCUGAAGUCGCUCCCAAAACAUCCGAGAAUUUCCGUGCACUAUGCACAGGUUUGUUUUCUGUCCUAUUAAGCUUGUUGCUUCCAUGCAGCAUAUAAAUUUGACUGUUGGCUUUCCUUCUCCUUGACACUUAUUUCCUUUUUAUAAAUUCUGUGUAGGGGAGAAAGGCAUUGGACCCAGAAGUGGAAAACCUUUGCAUUACAAAGGAUCCUUUUUUCAUAGAAUACUGAAGGGUUCCUCAGCACAGGUUUCUAUCUGCAUUUCUCAAUUAUUGAUAUGAUGUUUCAGUCUUAUACUCUUGGUUUCUUUUUCAACAUUGGUUGGAUGCUCGUCUUUUAGUCUGUUGCUAUUCUCUAUGCUGUAGGAUACAGGUCUGAUCGCCACUCCUGCUUUUCAUGUGAUAUAGUUUUAAGGUUGUACUACUAGUUGUUUAUGGUCAAAUGUUAGGCCUUCUCAUGCAAAGAGUACAGUUUAUGUACAAACGACUUCACGGUGUUACUAGUCUAACAACCUCUUUUGAUUAUUUUUUCAGGCUGGUGAUUUUGUGAACCGAGAUGGUAUGCACACUUACUGUUCAAUUUAGCUUCUAGCAUAUAUCAAAUACAGCCAUCAGUUAAUUUAUAUUGAUCUUCUAUCUAUGGAACACAGUUUGUGGCUUAUUAACUGUGAUUGCAAAACUAAAUUUCAUUCAUGUAUCAUAGUCAUCUGAAUAUACCAUUAAACUGUGUCAACCUAUUGGGUGUAUGGAACUGCAUUCAUUAGAAUCCUGUGAAGGUUCUCGAAUUCAUUAGAUAGUGCUCAGUCGGUUAUGCAGUGAACAUUAGAAGUUCAUUAUCCUCUGACAAAAUUUGUAUAUUUUAUCCACUUUCCAGGUACAGCUGGGGAAAGCAUAUAUGCCGGAAAAUUUCCAGGUUUGUUACCAUCGCGCUCUUUAUCUGUGAUCUCUUUUCAAUUACCCCAGCAAUACAUGAGAGGCUAGAAAGUCUGUUGUGUGUGUGAUAUCUCAUUUCUUAAAAUUGUAUUAUAAAGCAAUAUGUCAUUUUGGAGGCCUUCCUUUAUUGAUUAAGCACUCGUCUCUUGUUAAGAACUUAAGAUCUCAUCUUCUACAUUUUUCUUUUGAAAUAUGUUACUGAGUAGCACAAUCGACUUUUUAUGUUACCAGAUGAGUCACCAAAACUAAGGCACGAUGAGCCUGGUCUUUUAUCAAUGUCUGUUGCUGACCGUGACAAGUUUGGAUCACACUUUCAUAUAACCUUCAGGCCAAAUCAGCAGCUUGAUAGGUUUCCUUCUCAUUGUUACUUUCUUAUUUCAGAAAUUUUUAAAUUUUCCUUUUGUUGCGUUAUUUCUGACUGUUAUAUAUUUUCAUCAGAAAUAAUGUUGUUUUUGGAAAGCUAAUUCAAGGGAAAGAGAUAUUAAAAAAAAUUGAACGUGUGGGUGAUGAGGGAGGUAAACCUUCUGUCAGUGUGAAGAUAAUCCGUUGUGGAGAAAACUCUGGAGGUACGGUUAUUCUACUAUUGGUUAAUGCUACAUAUGUCAUGAUUUCACAAUCAUAACUAAUACACGUCAAUGCAUGAUAUGCCCAUACAGACAAGAAGAAAGAUAGUGAUGGUCGAAAAAAGGGAAAGCACAAGAAAUCUUCACGUGAGAGAACAAAGAAGAGGCGAAGACACUCUUUAUCUGAAUCUGAGAGCUCUUCAGAUUCUGAGACAGAUUCCUCAGAAUCUGAUAGCGAGUCAGAUUCAGAUUUGUCUUCAUCUUCCAACCAUAGUUCCUCGAGCCAUGAAAGGCAGAAGAAGAGAAGAAGAGGUUUAAAGAAAGAUAAACACAGGCGGUCUAAAAGAAGAGAUAAGCGCCAUGAGAAAAAGCGGAGGAUGCGUGAUAAGAGAUCAAAACGAAAAUCAAGAAGGUAAGUCUUGUACACUUCUCUUGUUUAUAGCCAUAGUUUCCCUGUCAGUGCUGGUUGCUGCUUAGGAGAAACCUAUGUGAUUACUUGUCAUGUCAACUUAUAUUUUUAAAAAUCCAUUAUUUUUAUGAAUUUGACUAGUCUUGUUCCUCGAGGAUGUUAUAUUUUGGUAGGCAUCCUAACAAUAGUUUGCUUAAUUGGUUGUGCUCCUGAGUUAUUAACUUUUGUUCUGCAACUUUGCAGGUCCCUAGACAGUCUUACAGAUGAAGACAGUGAUAGUGUAAGUGAAGCAAGUUUUAGCGAUGCCAAUGUUGAAACUGGAGCAAAAAAGAAGAAGCCCAGACUCUCUCAUAGAACAGGUAAUCUCUAAAACUCAGACUUUUGGCUUAUGUUUCUGCAAUUAUCGUUUUUUUCAUUGGUCUGUUCAAAAUCAAGAUAAUGGAUGGGAUAAAAUACUUUUUGUGCCAUUUGAUCAUUACAUAUUUCAGUAUCAAUUUGCCUUUCGUUUAAGCAUUGUGCUGAUCAUGCGGGUUCAUAUUGCUGCCAAUUUCUAUAGGCAGUUUAAUAAUGUUUCCGUACACUCUUAACAUUCUGUUUUUGACUGCAAUUUUCAAUCAGGCAAUUUUGAACUUCACCAUGAAAAAAGGAAGGGACCAGAUUUGCUUGACAAGGAUGAUGGUGAAGCACCCUCAGAAAACAGAGGUCCAACAAGUAAUGGAAUUUCACAUGCUGCAUCAGAACAGAUUUCUGAUAGGCAACCAGAUAUUGUCGAUGACCAUCCUAGCAAAUCUAGGUCUAGGUUCUAUUCUCUCUAUCACCUCAGUUAAUUGGUUAUCUUUCUUUUAAGUCAAUAUGGAAUCUUAUUAAAAGUUGAUGUGCAGGAGCCGGAGCUUGAGUACUAAGAGGACUGUGAGUAGGAGCAUGAGUAUUAGUCCCCGGAGGAGUCAGAGUAAGAGCCCAAGUUUAAGUCCUAGAAGGAAUGGGGGCAGAAGUCCUGCCAAAGGUACCCGCCAAAUGAAGAACUUGACAAACAGUAAAAGAGAAAGCCCAGUGAGUGAGGAGAAGGGCAGGCAUGGUAGAAAAAGCCCUACCAAAAGUGUUAGUAGAAGUCCGGCGCGAAUAAAAAGAGGAAGAGAUGUUAGUAGAAGUCCUUCAAGGAGUAUAAGUAGAAGUCCAUUGGGAAUCCCGAAAAGGGGAAGAGAUAUUAGUAGAAGUCCUUCAAGGAGUGUCAGCAGAAGUCCGUUGGGGAUCCCAAAAAGGGGAAGAGAUAUUAGUAGAAGUCCUUCAAGGAGUAUCAGUAGAAGUCCGUUGAGGAUCCCGAAAAGGGGGAUCAGCAGAAGUCCUUCACGGAGUAUAAGCAGAAGUCCACUGGGGAUCCCCAAAAGGGUGAUCAGCAGAAGUCCAGUGAGAGGUCGGAUUUCCAGAAGCCUUAGCAAGAGCCCGGUAAGAUCUGCAUCUCGUGGGAGCCUUAGGAGGGGCCCACUAAGAAGAUCAUCAAGAAGAUCACGUAGCAGAACUCCCGCUCGAGCUUCUAGAAGAAGCCUGAGCCGUAGUCCCAUUCGGUUAUCUAGAAGAAGCCUGAGCCGUAGUCCCAUUCGGUUAUCUAGAAGAAGCUUAAGCCGGAGUCCAAUUCGAUCACCUAGGAGAUCAGUGAGCAGGAGUCCAGUCCGAUUAUCUAGGAAGAGUGUGAGCAGGAGUCCAGUUUGUUCAUCCAGGAGAAGUAUCAGCAGGAGUCCAGUCCGACUAUCUAGGAAGAGUGUGAGCAGGAGUCCUGUUCGAUUGUCCAGGAGAGGUAUCAGCAGGAGUCCUGUUAGAGGAAGAAGAAGAAUUAGCAGAAGUCCAGUUCCUGCGAGGAGAAGGAGUGCACGGCCUAGAUCUCCUCUUGGUGAUCGUAGAAGAAGUUUGUCAAGAAGUGCUUCUCCUGAUGGGUGCAUCAGGAGAGGGAGAGGAUUUAGCCGGAGAUUCUCAUACGCCCGUAGAUACAGAACUAGUCCAUCUCCUGACCGAUCUCCUUAUCGCUUUAGUGAUAGGAGUGACCGUGACAGGUGGAUAGUCUGCAGCCAAUAUAACUCCCCUUUCUGUUACACACUUCCGUACUGAACAUUCUUUUUAUUACGUCUUCUCUGUAGAUAUCGAAGUCACAGAAGGUUCUCGCCAAGACGGUUUAGAAGAAGCCCAGUCAGAGGAAGAACACCUCCAAGGUACUUACUCAAAUCCUCUUUGGUACAUUUUCGUUUCAGUGUAUCCUAAACAUCUAAAAGUCUCAUGAAUAGAGAAGUAAAUUUGGUGCUCCAAACAAAAUUAGUUGUUGAUUACACAACUCAAAAGUAUUAUUAGGUAUAGAAGAAGAAGCCGGUCUGUAUCGGCUGGUCUCCGUUAUCGCAGGAGGCGGUACAGCCGCACUCCUAUCCGUAGCCGUUCACCACCUUACAGAAAGAGAAGGUCACAAUCUGCUAGCCGCAGCCCGAGUCCAUCCAGAUCAAGAUCAAAUUCAAAAUCUCCCAUUGGGACCGGGAGAGUAAGAUCAGUGUCAAGAUCACCAUCCAAGGCAAGGUCCCCAUCGAAGUCGGAUUCGUCAUCCUCGGAUGGUAGCUCAGGCGGGAAAAAGCGACUAGUAGCCUAUGAUUAAUGAAUAAGGACCCUCAAGUGUUUUGUUAUUUUAUACUAAGAAGAGAUGGUAAAAAGAAAGUAUGUAGUUUUAUUCUGUUACAUAUGCAUUGUCUUCUGGUUCUGAAUUUGAUGAUGCUCCAACAUUGUUAUAUCUAUGUUGAUGUUUGCCGACAUUUUUUUUUUUUUUGAUUGUUCCUAUUGCCGACAAAUGCUUUACUUCCAUUAUUCGUUGCGGAGUAUGUUUUGGUUCAAUAAUAACUAACACUGACAUAUUACCAUAAAAAUUAUUUAGUUGAAUGAUAUCUUAUUGAAAAUUCAGUGAUGAUGAUACAUGCAUAAUUGCAUAUUAAAAACCCGUGGUAACUUCUUAAGUAAAGAAUUAGAACCUAAUCUCACACUAGUGUAAUUGGUGACCACCGACAGGUGAUGGCAAAUAAAAAAAAGAACAGGCUGUUACCAGAGCCGACAACGUGGCUUCUUCUAUUUUUAUUUUAUUUUUACUUAAUCCAACAAUCAUAAUUUGUCCUGUCUUAUUCUUGCAAUGAGAUUUUGCCACGUCAUCUCACGAAGCUGGCGCGUCAAGUGGCUCACUUUAUAAAGCAGAGAUGGAGAAGAGAGAACAUGAAUCGAGUCAAGCCAAGCCGAGCCGAGCUAAACGGUGGGAGAGGAAGAGGCUACCGUCAUCUUCUACUUGUCAUUAAUAUAUUAAGAUAAAAAAAAAAGGAAAACACACACUCUUCUGCGAUAAAAUAGGCAAAUCAGAUUGUAGAAGAAGCUUGAGAUCAAAGAGAUAGGGAGAGAGAGAGAGAGAGAGUGACACAAGAGUGUUAUAACAUCUCUCUUUAGUAGAUUGGGUUUUUUUCGAGAUGCCGUAUUGAAUCGGCGACCGAGUUUUCCAGCUGAAUUUUGCAAAUCCUCUCUCUUUCUCUCUGUGUGUCGGUGGCUGCCAUGGAGGCCAGUGCCGGCUUGGUUGCUGGAUCCUACCGUAGAAACGAGCUCGUUCGGAUCCGACAUGAAUCUGACGGAGGGGUUCGUUCAUCCUUUUGCUUUCUCUUCAUUUGAUAUUUCUUACGAUUUCUCUGUUUUUCUAAAUCUUGUCUCUUUUGGAUCCCAUUUUUUAUUUUUUUUCUACUUAGAUUUCGCUUCCUUUGAGUGUUGAGUUAGUUAGUGUUGGUAGAUCCACUGUCUGAAAAUGGAAACUUUUCUGCUUCGAUACUUCAAUUGUUGUGUGAUCUAUCAUCAAUUAAUUCCGCUUCUGUUUUUUUUCCUUUUUUAAAAUCUCGUAUAUAAAGUGUCGGUGGAUUCAGUUUAGAUUCUUGAUCUAAGAAUUUGGUUUUUCAGCUGAGAUUAGCUAAAUCUCUGACUCUCAAAGUCUUCAACUUUACGCACUUUUUGAGAUUUAGCUCAACUGGAUCUCGUUAGUUCCCGUAUAGGCUAUUAUACUGCAAUGACUGUGAUUGCUCUUCGUUCAGAUCUGCAUUGAUUUGGAGAUGGUUCUUGUUAAUUGUUUUGAUUUAGAUUCAUGCUGAUCUGUUUUGGUAGUUUACAAUUCGUCAUGACUAACAAUGAUGCAAUGCUGGCCAAUAUGCAGACCAAACCUUUGAAGAAUAUGAAUGGCCAGAUAUGUCAGAUCUGUGGUGAUGAUGUUGGACUCGCUGAAACUGGGGAUGUAUUUGUCGCUUGUAAUGAAUGUGCCUUCCCUGUGUGCCGGCCUUGCUAUGAGUACGAGAGGAAGGAUGGAACUCAGUGCUGCCCGCAAUGCAAGACUAGAUACAGACGACACAGGGGUCAGUUUUCCUUCUAUUUGGCUAUUGCUAUGCAUGGAUUUUUUUUGUUUUGUUUCAUUGCUGAUUUCCUGAACCAACUUUUCAAAUGUUGCAGGGAGUACUCGUGUUGAAGGAGAUGAAGAUGAGGAUGACGUUGAUGAUAUCGAGAAUGAGUUCAGUUAUGCCCAGGGAGCUAACAAGGCCAGACACCAACGCCAUGGCGAAGAGUUCUCUUCGUCCUCUAGACAUGAAUCUCAACCAAUUCCUCUUCUCACCCAUGGCCAUACGGUAGGAACCUACAUUUUUGCUUUAGACUCUAGAGUGAUUUAUAUUACAAAAAUUUCUAGAUCGAACUUUUUUACUUUUCACAAUAAUGUUAGAUGUGAACAGAAAAGUUUCUGAUAUUGUUAAUUGAGUCUGUUUUCAAAUAGAGACUUGACCUUUUUCUAUACACAGGUUUCUGGGGAGAUUCGCACGCCUGAUACACAAUCCGUGCGAACUACUUCUGGUCCUCUGGGUCCUUCUGACAGGAAUGCUAUUUCAUCUCCAUAUAUUGACCCACGGCAACCAGGUAUUCAUAUAUUUUUUUCUUUGUGCACUUGGCCUUCAUUAGAUAUGAUUCCUAUUCAUUUUUACAACAGUAUAUUUUUUGUGUACCAUAACUGAUAGAAUCCGUUACAAAUUGCAGUCCCUGUAAGAAUUGUGGACCCGUCUAAAGACUUGAACUCGUAUGGGCUUGGAAAUGUUGACUGGAAAGAAAGAGUUGAAGGCUGGAAGCUGAAGCAGGAGAAGAGUAUGUUACAGAUGACUGGUAAAUACCAUGAAGGGAAAGGAGGAGAAAUUGAAGGGACUGGUUCCAAUGGCGAAGAACUCCAAAUGUAAGUUGAAGUACUAGACCACAAACUUUGCUGUCCAACUCAAAAAUCUCUUGUUGCGAUGCUAAUAACUAGUCUUAGUUUAUGAUUUUGUAUUGAUAGAAAUAAUUAAGCAUCUGCUUUGCUAUAUUCUUAAUCUUAUGGUUCUCGUACUUACAGGGCUGAUGAUACACGGCUUCCUAUGAGUCGUGUGGUGCCUAUCCCUCCUUCUCGCCUAACCCCUUAUCGGGUUGUGAUUAUUCUCCGACUAAUCAUCUUGUGUUUCUUCUUGCAAUACCGUACAACUCACCCUGUGAAAAAUGCAUAUCCUCUGUGGUUGACCUCGGUUAUCUGUGAGAUCUGGUUUGCAUUUUCUUGGCUUCUUGAUCAGUUUCCCAAAUGGUACCCCAUUAACAGGGAGACAUAUCUUGACCGUCUCACUAUAAGGUUAGUUUUUAAGUCUAUGAAUUCCCUACUCUUUAUCUUUUUUUGUUUUUCCGUGUAUGUUGACUUUUCCCCUGUAAAUUCAAUUUCAUUUUAGAAAAUGGUGCAUAUUUUACAUUUGAAUAUUGAUUAUUUACAUACAGUAUAUAUAUAUUUAAAAUGUGAAGUUUCGGACUAGAUUAUGAUAAAAGCAUGUCAAAUGAAGUGCCUACUGAGAAUAGAGCUUAGCUAGUAUGCUGAUUUUAUUUGAUGAUGAUUUUGGUUUUCUAACUGUAGAUAUGAUCGAGACGGUGAACCAUCACAGCUUGUUCCUGUUGAUGUGUUUGUUAGUACAGUGGACCCAUUGAAAGAGCCUCCCCUGGUUACAGCAAACACAGUUCUCUCGAUUCUUGCUGUGGACUACCCGGUAGAUAAAGUAGCUUGUUAUGUUUCAGAUGAUGGUUCUGCUAUGCUUACCUUCGAAUCUCUUUCUGAAACUGCUGAGUUCGCAAAGAAAUGGGUACCAUUUUGCAAGAAAUUUAACAUUGAACCUAGGGCCCCUGAAUUCUAUUUUGCCCAGAAGAUAGAUUACUUGAAGGACAAGAUCCAACCUUCUUUUGUUAAAGAGAGACGAGCUAUGAAGGUCUGUUGAAAGAUCCACCUGCUUCUCAUCCAUUCGACAAACUAGAGACUGACUGACUUUUUCCUUGGCUUGUAUUGACAGAGAGAGUAUGAAGAGUUUAAGGUGAGGAUAAAUGCCCUUGUUGCAAAAGCACAGAAAAUUCCUGAAGAAGGCUGGACAAUGCAGGAUGGUACCCCGUGGCCUGGUAACAACACUAGAGAUCAUCCUGGAAUGAUUCAGGUACAGUGAGGCAAUCCCUUGAUUAUUAUAGAGGGAUUAACGAAAAGGCAACAACUUUAUAUUGGUUCUUUUCAAUUUCAGGUGUUCUUAGGCCAUAGUGGGGGUCUGGAUACCGAUGGAAAUGAGCUGCCAAGACUCAUCUAUGUUUCUCGUGAAAAGCGGCCUGGAUUUCAACAUCACAAAAAGGCUGGAGCUAUGAAUGCUUUGGUUUGUCAACUUUCAGAAUCUUAGUGUGUCCUUGAUUUUAUUCUCUUGUUCGCUGCCUAGGAAAUUUUUGUUGUUGUAUAGCCGUUGCUUCGUAUUAUAUUUUUAUAGUAAAUGUGUCUCUAAUUUCGCAUCUCUUUACAUUGACAGAUUCGUGUUUCUGCUGUUCUUACCAAUGGCGCAUAUCUUUUAAAUGUGGAUUGUGAUCAUUACUUCAACAACAGCAAGGCUAUUAAAGAAGCCAUGUGUUUCAUGAUGGACCCUGCUAUUGGAAAGAAGUGCUGCUAUGUCCAGUUCCCACAACGUUUUGACGGUAUUGACUUGCACGAUCGAUAUGCCAACAGGAAUAUUGUCUUCUUUGAUGUGAGUUUCACUCCCCCAUUCCUGUCUUUUGUUUCUCUUUUGUUCAUAUUUUUGUAGGAUUUACUCGUUUCUGCUAUGGUCUGACUUGGAUAUUUGUUAUAUUGGGCAGAUUAACAUGAAGGGGUUGGAUGGUAUCCAAGGUCCAGUAUAUGUGGGUACUGGUACUUGUUUCAAUAGACAGGCUCUAUAUGGGUAUGAUCCUGUUUUGACGGAGGAAGAUCUAGAACCAAAUAUAAUUGUGAAGAGCUGUUGCGGCUCAAGGAAGAAAGGAAAGAAUAACAAGAAGUAUACCUAUGAAAAAAAGAGAGGCAUCAACAGAAGUGACUCCAAUGCUCCACUUUUCAAUAUGGAAGACAUCGAUGAGGGUUUUGAAGGUUUGAUUGAGUUUAUAGUGUAAUAACAUCACUUCUUCAUGUGAUGGUGAAAUCUUACAAUCCUUGUUUAUGCAGGCUAUGAUGAUGAGAGGUCUAUUCUAAUGUCCCAGAAGAGUGUAGAGAAGCGUUUUGGUCAGUCGCCGGUAUUUAUUGCGGCAACCUUCAUGGAACAAGGUGGCAUUCCACCAACAACCAAUCCUGCUACUCUUUUGAAGGAGGCUAUACAUGUUAUAAGCUGUGGUUACGAGGACAAGACUGAAUGGGGAAAAGAGGUCAGUUUUCAAAUGCAGCUACAGACUUCUUUUGUUCUCUUUCUUACAUGUGUGAUGACAUCUUAUUUGGCACUUUUGUUAGAUUGGUUGGAUCUACGGUUCCGUGACGGAAGAUAUUCUUACUGGGUUCAAGAUGCAUGCCCGUGGUUGGAUAUCAGUCUAUUGCAAUCCUCCACGCCCUGCUUUCAAGGGAUCUGCGCCAAUCAAUCUUUCUGAUCGUUUGAACCAAGUUCUUCGAUGGGCAUUGGGAUCUAUUGAGAUUCUUCUUAGCAGACAUUGUCCUAUCUGGUAUGGCUACCAUGGAAGGUUGAGACUUUUGGAGAGAAUUGCUUACAUCAACACCAUCGUCUACCCUAUUACAUCUAUCCCUCUUAUCGCGUAUUGUAUCCUUCCUGCUUUUUGCCUCAUCACCGACAGAUUUAUCAUACCCGAGGUUCGUAAAACUGACCACACUGCUAAUUAGUAUUGGAAUCCCAUUUUGUGAAUGCAUUUUUUUUAAUCUCCAUCAUCUUGUGUCUUAAAGUCCUAACACCAUUGUUGCAGAUAAGCAACUACGCGAGUAUUUGGUUUAUUCUACUCUUCAUCUCAAUUGCUGUGACUGGAAUCCUGGAGCUGAGAUGGAGCGGUGUGAGCAUUGAGGAUUGGUGGAGGAAUGAGCAGUUUUGGGUCAUUGGUGGCACAUCCGCCCAUCUUUUUGCUGUCUUCCAAGGUCUACUUAAGGUUCUUGCUGGUAUUGACACCAACUUCACUGUCACAUCCAAAGCCUCAGACGAAGAUGGGGACUUCGCAGAGCUCUACAUCUUCAAAUGGACAGCUCUUCUCAUUCCACCAACCACCGUCCUACUUGUGAACCUCAUAGGCAUUGUGGCUGGUGUCUCUUAUGCUGUAAACAGCGGGUACCAAUCAUGGGGUCCGCUCUUCGGGAAGCUCUUUUUUGCCUUAUGGGUUAUUGCCCAUCUCUACCCUUUCUUGAAAGGUCUGUUGGGAAGACAGAACCGAACACCAACCAUCGUCAUUGUCUGGUCUGUUCUUCUUGCCUCCAUUUUCUCGUUGCUUUGGGUCAGGAUCAAUCCCUUUGUCGAUGCCAAUCCCAAUGCCAACAACUUCAAUGGCAAAGGAGGUGUCUUUUAGACCCGUAUUUAUAUACUUGUGUGUGCAUAUAUUGAAAACUCGCAAUGGGACAUUCCAAACCCCAAAACACAGUGAACCGGGCAGUUAUGGUGAUUCCAUGUCUUAAGUUUAGCUUUAUCUGAAUAGCCAGAGAGUUGCGAAAUUGUUCGUACACUGUUGUGAUGAUUUUAUAACUUUCUCAGUGGGGAAAUAGAUGUGGAAGACCAAAUGAUACAUAGUCUACAAAAGGGAUUCGUUAUUUUUUGUUAUAUUUAUUUUAUUUAAAGCUUGAUAGACUUGCACUUCUGUAAUGUUGGAGUUUUGUUGUUGUCGUAAAUUUGGGGUUUAUAUGCUCUAAGCUUUUCACUUUAAUACAAAAGUUUCUUUUCAAGAGUUAUGUACGUUACUAACUUACUACAUUGAGAUUGUACCUGAGAUCUGCCAGAUGAACUGAUAGUUGCUUCGUAUGAACUAGAGGAAGUUGUUGGUGGCUCUGUUGGUCUAAAGGAUAAUCAAGUUUUUAUGUAAACUAUUGUUAGCUUAUUUGAAUCAGAAUCUGAUCAAUCAAAGAAUCCAAAAGUAAAUUGCAACGAAAACAAAGAAUGCAUCUUUAUAAUCCCCUCAAAAUUAAUUUUUGAAAUCAAGUGGUAUAAAUUUAGAACUACGAACCCAAUUAGUAUCCACAAUGUGUUUCUCUGAUCCACCCCUAAAGUUCGCCAUGAGAGUCCAUAUCAUUUCCCAAAUCAGGCUUCUUGGUUGUGCUCGACAAGUAUCUUCUUGCAAGCUUCAUAACACAUAAAAGAGAUUCCAGCAGCAGGAACCAACUUCAAGCAACUUGGUCCGAGCCCUUUGUACCAACCGAGAAUACCUUCAUGCUCGAGUAUGGUCACCAGAGCGUGCAACAUGUUCUUGUACACAACUCUCCCACUAACUGCUCCCACCUGCAUAUGCUUCCGUGCUACUUCAAGAGGAAAAGUCGCGGUGCUCGAUAGUGCACCCGCUAAAGAACCUAUCAAAAGAGUCUCAAUGUUUCCAAUCUUCUCCUGCUUUGAAAAGCUCCGGUAUGCUUUUCUUAAGGAAUCAUAUGCAAAGUAAUUUGUAGCUGCAUAUGGAACAACUCCAAUAAGGCUAGGAGCAAGACCUCUGUAGAGCUCUGUGGGUCCUUCUUCACGUAUAAUUUUAACAAAUGCAUCAAGAAUCCCCUUGUAAACACCUCUCUGCAAUAAGUUUUAAAGACCCAUUACUGAGCAAUAAUUGUAUAGACUGCUAUUUGAAUGAACCAGUUGAGUGAAUUCUUGUCAAAACGAACUUUACAUGCUCUAUGAUCUUCCAGCCACGUACCUAAUUAUCUCUCACAUAACAAGGUUUAGUGUAAUUAGUUCAUAUUCAGAGAGGAGCAAACCUGUAUAGUAAGGCGAGUCUUGACUAGUUCGAGAGGGUAUGUCAAGAGAGUUUGGCUAACUCCAGCACAAGCACCGGCGAGUAAUGAAGCUGGAAUUGGGAUUUUUGAUUCCUCGCCAUUUUCGGGUGACAAUUUCUUGUUUACUGUCUCGAAUACAAAAAGCUGCACAUACAAAGAAUUGCAGAAAAUAGUGAAGAUUCAGUAUUUCUUGUCAAAAGGACUACCAAAGUCUCAUCAUUUUGUGGCAUAAGACAGAUUCAGCCAACACAAGACUUCUUAUAGAUAAAAGUCAACCAGAUAUUAUUAGUAUGAAAAGUCAGAAACUGCAUUUCAAUUCCGAAUUAAAGAGACACAUUGGUUUUGAUUAUGAAUUUGGUACCUCGACGGCUCGAGCAGGUGCGACACGAAUGACAUUGACCAAAUUGCCUCUGAAGAGACCAGUCCAACCUUCAUGCUUCAUGAUAUCACCGAACACUUCAGUGCUUGAGUUUCCGCCACUUCCCACCAUCAGAUGCGUCCUGAUAGUCUCCAACGGCGCAACGACAGUUCUGGAGACCGCUCCAGCCACGGCUCCGCUCAACAGCCGCCGCAACGAAGGAUUAGCGAUCUUGAUCUUCAGUUUCAGCCCACCUUUCUUCUUGUUCCUCUUCUCACCAUUAACUUGUUCGACCUCCUCCUCUUUUCCGGGCACACAGAGAUCAUUGAGCUGGGCAGAGAAGCCGACGUUGCCUCUGUUGGAAGGAUCCGGAGACGAGAGGGAUGCGAAAGGAUUCGUUUGAUUAACGCUUGCGAAUAAGCCAGCAAUUGGGAGGCUCGAAUCGAAUCCUAAAUCGGAAACGGAGAAAAACCCAUUCCUCGAAUCGUCGAACAGCUGGAUUCCGGUUUUCCCCAUUCCAGACCCGAACAGAAGCUUUCUCUGAUAAAAGAGCUUGUUUUGUUUGCCGUUACAGCAAACAGAAUCUGUUAUGUCUCUGUUAUGUCUUUCGAGGAUGGGAGUGACGAGAGUGAGAGAGAGGAAGAGAGACUCGAAUCUGUUAUGUCUCUCUCUCAGACUAAGUCAAUGGGUCGUCUCUUUCGCUGAGAUUUUAGGGUUUAAACCAGUCCGCUACUCUUUUUUUUUUUUUUUUUUUUGCUGUAUUUGGGUGGGUAGGUGUAUCAGAUGAGUCAGUGGGUGGGACGGAGACUCCGCUUAGGUUUUUUCUUUCCAGAUAAUUCGGUCUUUCUUCUUUUUCUUUUCUUUUUUUGAACUAAAGUUUUUCUUAUUUUGUAGGGGUAACUAAUAAUUGUUUUAAGUAUAUAAAUAUUUCUUAGUAUUCUGUAUGCUUUUCUUGAGGAAUCAUAUGCAAAGUAAUGCUGUAGCUGCAUAUCGAACAACUCCAAUAAGGCUAGGAGCAAGAAUACCCCUGCUGGGUCCUUCUCACUAAAGUAUAAUUUUAACUAAUGCAUCAAGAAUCUCCUUGUCUCUACUAUAAAUUUGAAUCAUUCCAUUAUUUUUAGUUAAUUUUAAUUCAAGUUUUAUUUUAGUGAUAGUUGAGGUUAGUUGUAUUGGAUUUAUUUUCAUUAUUUAACUUAUAAAUUAUGUUAUUAGAUUCAUUAUAAUAUUUUUAAAAUACUAUUAUUAUUAUUAUAUUUAUUUGGUAUCUAGCUCAAUUAGCUCAUGAUCAAUAAUUCAAUAUGAUCUGAGUUCGAGUUUAUAUAUAGAAUUCUAACAAGAUUUUAUGAGUUAAUAAAAAUUUUGGAUUUCAUGAUCAAUGGGUGCUGGAGAUUGAGCAGGCAGUGCUGGAGGUUCAGCAUAAGGCAUCGGGGAUAUGGCAAACGGUGCGAGUGAUGGAUCUUGAGGAUUGACGUAGUAAGAGUUAGCACAGUUGAUGCGAAUGGAGACAAAGCGACUAAUUAGAUGCGCAAAUCUACAGUACGAGGCGAGAGGCGUUCUCCGCCAUGAGGAAGCGAUGUUGAUGUGUUCCAUGUAGAUGUUAUCACAUCCUGUGUUUCGGUCACAAUCUAAUUUUAUUGCAGCAACAUCGGGAAGACUUGUCCCUUUAAAGUAUUUAUAUGUCACGCCGUUCACUUUCACAGCAGUUCCCUGAAAAGAUUUCACAACACGUGUACGUAAUUCAUGUUAGGUACGUCAGAUAUUAUAUACUUCACGACUUAAUUGGUAUUUGAAUUUCAAUUACUCAAAAAUAUUGAAAAGAAAACCCCUGAAAUUUUACAUGUAAAUCAAAAUACUAAGGUUGGACCAUAUUUUGAGAAUUUAGUUACAUUCAUAUUCAUAUAUAUUUAUUAAAAUACCAUUGUAAAGUUAUAAGUAUCCCUAAGUAUUAUUACCACUCCAGGUUGUUUGCACUGACCACCGUUACAAUAAUGUUGAUCGAUGAUGAUUGGGGAUCUGACAUUUAUCAGAGUAAUAUCUUCGAACAAGAUAUUUUUGACCAAUCCUCGUCCUCCCUGAUGCAAGUAUGUUUAGCAUCCAAUAUAUGAUAUAUGGUAUAUAUAUUACGUAUAUUAUAAUGUUAAUUCUUCCAAAAAGAACUAGUAAAGUUAUGUAAAUUCUUACAGGCCAAGUCUUGAUUCGUGCGCCGUUUUGAGUUUUAGUGAAGGUGCAGUGUCUUACAUUCACAUUCUCUACAUUCUCAGUUGCCCCUCCUUUCCCCAGACUUCCAAUACUGUUUUUUUUCAAAGACAAAACACACAACUACUUUAGCCAUGCAUGCAAACACACACAAUUUUUUGAAGUAAAAAUUAUAUAUAAAAAUUUACAGGUGCGAACCUUAUGCCAUGACCCGGACCACAUGUCACAUAAGUUAUGUUGAUAUUGUACGAAUUACCUCCGAUUCCAAUACAAUCAUCACCUAAUAGAUACAAAACCACACACACACACACAAAAAAAAAUCGUAAUCUUUUGCGUAGCCAAUCUUUGUAUGGCGUAUUAAUUCUAAGAAAAUAUAUGGGAAUUAAUACGUACCGGUUUUGAUUGAUGAACUGAGAAUUUGGAUAUUGUAUGAAAGGGAGAUAUCAAUGCCAUCAGUAUUUGGACUGCCUGAAGGUGCGAUCAAAUGAAGAUUUGAUAGAGUCGAGUUGGCGCAAUUGCUAAUCGAUAUGUGAUUCUUUGGACUAUUGAUUUGAGUUAAUCCAUUGUAAAAAAUGUUUUGGCACCCAGAAAAUCUCACUGCCUGCACAAACAAAAGAUAAACCGCACGCAUACAUACAUUAUAGAUAUGUAUACUCUUAAAAUCCUCAAAAAGGAAAUUAAUUAAAUGUUAUAUAAUAAAUUAUGGAUAUCUUCAAAUCAACACGUUGAAUAAUAUUUAGAUCCAGCAUACCUCUGGUCGGGAGUAUAAUUCGACAGAAGACCACCAGGAUUCUCCAUGGGCAUUGAGGACACCAGAUCCGUUGAGAACGAGACCUGACACCCUUUCGAAACAUAACCAACACCCAUUUCUUUGGACUCCCCAGUCUUUUACCAAUCUCGGCGCUUCAAUUGUUCCAUCAAUCUUGUCCAUGAGAAAACAAAAGAAGAAGAGAUCGAUAAUAUUACGUGUGUAUAACUGAGUCAUGUUUAAUUAUGUAUGUUGGCAAAAAUAUAAAUGAGAUUUGUAUAAAUUAAUUAAAUAAGCAAAGAGGAGCUAUAGGUAGGUCAAAUUAAAUACCUGAAUAUGAAUAUAACGAGAAACGCAAGGACCUUCAAAAAACUGUGGAAGUAAGGUAUAUGUUUCCUUGGCAUGUAUUACUAAAGAGGCUGCCCCACGACCUCUCCCUCUGCCUCUACAUAGCGCUCUCCACGCAUCUUGAAAUGCCUAUUUUGAAUUAUAUUAUCAAUUUCAUUUUUUUAAUGUUUUAUAUAUUCAUUAAUAAUCAAGAUCAAAAUAAAUGAAUUUGUAUAAAAAAUUGUUACCCGAGAAUGAUCGAUAUUUGUAGUCUCAGAAUCAGAUAGAAAAUCUUUAAUGGAUAGAAUCUCCCGACUAUCUCCAUGUUGCAAAUGGUACGAUGCGAUUAGAAGCACUGAAAGGAGUAUCUCAAAGCCCUGCAGGUAACGAUCAAAAUAGUUAGUACUAUAUGCGAGCUUCAACAAAAGUACUGAAGCCAUGAUAAAACACGAUAAACUAAAAGGGGAAUCUUGUUGUCUCACCAUUUUAGCACUAAAUAAUAAGAAUCUAGCUAGCUAGGUAAUUUUUUUCUUUUCUAGUAAAUAUAAUACCAAGAUUGUGAAUCUGAAUGUGUGUUAAUUGUAAGUUGAAUGUAUACCAAGAGUUGAGAUCUCUUAGUAUUAAAAAUAUACUUUAACCACUUGCAAAUUUCAUAUAUUAAUUAUAUAUAUAUAAAUUGACUCUGUUUUGGUUUAAGAAUUUUAAAUGUUUGAAUAAAAGUGAAAAUGUUACUAUAAUGUUUAUGCCUUUAUAGUAAUAAGUUACACUGUACACUUGGCUAGUAUGCAUUCAACUCAUUAAUUAAUUGGAUAUAUCUACUAUAUUUGGACACUACCUUAAAAAACUAUCCACCAAGAUUUUCAAACUUCUGAAUAAUUUUUAUAAUAUAUAGUAAUUUAUUUACUUGGGGGGGAAAUAAAUAUGGAGAUAAUAAAAGUAUUCCGUAACAUCAAUGUAUAUAUACCUUCGGGGAAAAAAUCUAGAAGCUACGUUUGCAAAUUAUAAACGUAAACACCAAACAAAAAGGGAAGCAAAACAUCAUAUGUGAAACACAAUGAAUACAAAACGUAUAAGCAAACAAUGGGGAAAAAAUGGAGGAAAAAUUAAAUACCAGCUGUAUAAUUGUAUUGAAAUAGAGGUAAAUAUAAAAAAAAAUUAUUUGAAAUAAUUCUCUGUGUUACAGAUUUCUUCGUUAUUCUAUAGUAACUAUCUCUUCGUAUGCUUUGCUAUGGUAAAUGCGAAAGAAACUUCACAAGAAAGCUUUAAAAAAGUUAAUAGAGUAUGGAAGAGGAGACAAUGAUGGAGGUUGAGUCGGUGGUAGAGGUUUAGCAUAUGGUGCUGAAGCUGGUGCAAGAGGUUCUUCAUCGGAAGUACACUUGAUUUUAACGGAAACAAUUUGACUAACUACAUCAGCAAAUUGACAAUACGCCGUAAGGGUUUUGUUCGUAGAUGAAGAAGUGAUGUUGAUGUUUUCCAUCUUGAUAUCAUGACAACCCACUGCUUUGUCACAAUCUAGUUUUAUGGCAAUCUUAUUUCCACAUGUCCCUUGGAAGUUUUUAAAUGUCACAUUGCUCACUUUCACAGCAGUCGCCUCCAGGAUUCAAAACAUGUAGGUAUUAAUUACAUAUAUAUAGUUAAAGUUAAAGUUUAACAGAUUUAUAUUUCACACUUAUGUAUAUCUAUAUAUAUAAAGUUAGCUUUUUCUCUCUUCUCAUGAUGACACCUAAGCAUCCACUUAAGCCACAUUUUUUUUUUAUUAAAAUAAAUUUAAAACAUUCAUUUAGUGCAUAUUUAUGCUACUUAUUUAAUUAAUAGAAAAUUUAUAUAAAUAAAAAUAAAUUAUGUAAAUAAAUGAAAUGUUAAAUAAGAAAUACUUCCAUUUUUUAUUAGUUAGUGGUAAUAAUAUAAUUCAACUUUCAUUUUAAAUUGAUCAUAGUUUCAAAUUUUAAAUGUGUUACUGAGUUUAAAAAUGCAAGUAAAUUUUAAAUUUAUGGUAGAAUAAAAACAACAUUUAUGUAAUUGUAUAUAUAAAAUUUUAAAGGAGAAAAAUAAAAUUGAAAGUGGAAUAUUAGUUUAUAACAUUAUCAAAAAGAAAAUGCUUUUAAUCCAAAUUUAAAUAUUGAAAGAUAAUAAUUCAAGAGAAAAUAACUAUAAUAUGUCUCUGAAAGUCAAUUAAAAAAUAAAUAAAUUAUCACAAUAUAAAUAAAAAAUUAACAAAAAAUUAUAAACCUCAUGCGCGCAGCGCGAGUCAACUGCUAGUAUAUACAUAAUCCGCAUAUAUAAUUUAUAUAUCAUUUUUUUAAAACCAUUGUGGUGUAUUAAUAGGAACAAGUAUUUUAUAAAACACGAUUACAUAAAGAAAUUACCUCUUCCGUACAAUUGCGACCACCGUUACAGUAAUGUUGAUCGAUGAUGAUAGGGAAGUUGACAUUAAUUAAUGUUAUGUUUUCGUAUAAAAUAUUCUUGGCGUACCCAUUUCCUCCCUACGAAUGCAUGCAUGCAAUAAGAUAAAUAUAUCGAAAUUAUGUAUAAAUAAUGGACACAUAUACAUAUAUAUAUAUGUAAAUAUAUAAUAUAAGUCUUACGGCCCAAGUCUUGAUUCUUGCCCCGUUCUGAGUUCCAUUGAAGCUGCAAUGUCUUACUUUCACGUUCUCGACCGUCUCAUUUAACCCACCUUUCCCCAAACUUCCAACACUGCAUGCAGUUUUUUUAAAAGAAGAAAUACACAAUUUAAUACAAAUGUACAGUCCUAUCAAAAACCAGCCGAAACUAUUUAAUUAGAUAUCUCUACUGUCUAUUGUUAGAAUCAUUUCAUAGCCAUUAGAUAUUUUCCUGAGAAAAUUGACUUUAGGAUAAUCGCGUAAAAUGAAUCCGUGAAGAUGUAUAUGAUGUGCAAACCUGAUGCCAUGACCAGGACCACAGGCCACAUGAGUUAUGUCGAUAUCAUACGAACCACCAUUAAUGGCAACACAAUCAUCACCUAACAGGUACAAAAUCAUACCACAAAAAGAAAUUGAGCAAUUAUCCUCGUGUAUUGAUUUAGUAUUAACAUAAAAUAAAACAUAAAAUACCAGUUUGGAUAUUUGAGUUAAAAAUCUUAAUAUUGUUUGAAAGAGCGAUGUCGAUGCCAUCAGUGUUUGGACUAUCUUUGGGUGCGAUUAGCUGAAGGUUUGAUAGAGUUGCGUUGGUGCAAUUCCAUAUUGAAAUGUGGUUUUUUGGACUGUUCAUUUGAGUUAGUCCAUUAUAUAUAAUGUUACUGCUUCCAUUAAAUCCAACUGUCUGCAAAACCAAAAUCAAAAUUGUAAAUUAUAAAAUGAUUUUGUUUGGUAUUAACUAGGCCAUUAUUUAUAUAUUUCAACUCUCUCAAACAGGGAAAAUGCAUACCCUUGGUCGGUUUGAGUGCUCUACAGAGGACCACCAAGCUUCACCAUGGGGAUGGAGGACACCAGAUCCAUUGAGGACGAGACCUGUCACGUUGUCGAAACAUAACCAACAUCUAUUUCCCUUGUUAAUUUUCUUCCACUCCUUUACCAUCUUUGGAGCUUCAAGUUUUCCAUCAAUCUUGCAAAAACAAAUAUAAUCAUUUGCAUAUUGUUACACAAACGUAAACGUUGUUUUUCUUUUUUUUUUUGGCAAAUACCUGAAUAUGAAGAUUACGAGAUACACAAGGACCUCGAAAAGUUUGUGGUUGAAUGAAAUAUUUUUCGUAGGCAUGUAUUACAAGAGAUGUUGCCUGAUCUUUCCCAUUCGCUUCACAUAUUGCUUUCCAUGCAUCUUGAAACGCCUGUUAGGAGAAACUCAUUAUAUUCUUUAAUGAAGAUUAUUUUAUUUUGAAAACAUAUAUAAUUGGGAUAGAUAAUACUUCAAGCCAUUACCUGAGAAUGAUCGGCUGUAUUGUUAGCAUCAGAUAUAAAAUCCUUAAUGCUUAAACUCAGCCGACGACCAUCUCCGCAUUGCAAAUGGUACGAUGCAACUAGAAUCACCGAGAAGAGUAGUUCCAAUCCCUAGUAAUAGUUAAGAUGGUUAUCAUUGAAAAGUUGAAACGAUGAUUUUGCAGCCAUUAAAUUUCAAUACCCUAUAGCAAAAACAAAAGUUGAAUCAACGAUACAAAGAACGAGCACAACUAGAGAGAGAUUAUGUUCUCUCACCAUUUUAAUCUCAACAAUCAUAAAAUUAUAAAUCUAGCUGUUCUAAGAGAAACGUAAGAUUGUGUGAUGUGAUUAAGUUGUAUAGAUGUUGUGUUGAGAGAGUCCAAACAUACUUAUGAGUUUUGAUUUAUAUCUUGCCAAAAUUUUACAAUAUUCAACUCUUAAAUAUUUCUUUCCUCGUUUAGCAUUAAUUCAACUUAAUAAUAUAUUAUAUGCCUUCAACAUUCAAACACAAUUAAAUUUCUCUAUUUGUUAUCACAAUAUCAUAAGAUCCAUGCGCUAGUCAAAUUCCAGUCAAAGAAAAAAUUAAGGCUGCAAAUGGUUGACACAAAAUACCAAGUUGAAAGAGUUGAAUGUUCAUUCAAAUUUGAGAUGAAAGAGCUGAAAAAAAGAUUCAGCUCAUUCAACUUUAAAAACUGAAUAAUUGUACAAAUUACAAGCAAAAAGUGUUCAACUCAUUCAACUACAUUUUUAGAGAUGAAUAAGUUGAAUGAUAUUCAGCUCAAAUUUGUCCAUCUUGAAAUUUCAACCCAUUCAACUCAAAUAUAAAUAUAUAAAGUUUUAUAAUUUAAGCCUUGCUCUUGUAGCUCGUGUGGUCAGCGACGGUACUAAAGAUGCAACGCUUGACAUGUUCGAUGCUCGAGCAAGGCAGAGAGAGAAAAAAAAAAGUUUUAUGAUUUAAUAUUUUAAUAUCUUGUGACUUAAAUACAAACUAUUACUGUUAGAGCACCUCCGGUGGAGAUGCUUAACAUAUGUUUAACAUGUUGUUUAUUAUUGUAUGUAAUGAAUAUAAUAAAAGAAAAAAAAAUGUUGUAAGCACCAUAGCUUAUUGUGAUUAUAAGCAACACAUAAGCACCAUUUUUGAACAUUUAAUAUAAAAAAAUUGAUUAGCACCCUCCAAUGGUUGGUAUACUUAGUUCUUAUAUACUCCAUAAACAAGUCCGUGCAGAAUAGAUUAGGGAAGACGAGACAAUGCCGGAGGCUGAUCAGGAGACAAUGCCGGAGGCUGAUCCGGAGACAAUGCCGGAGGCUGUUCAGGAGACAAUGCUGGAGGCUGAUGAUAUUUGCAUGCAUUACAUUUGACAUCGAUGUUGACAAAUGAAGUACGCACAUCGGCGAAUCUACAGUAUGCCUUGAGUUUCGUAUCCGGGGAUGAAGAUGUGAUGUUGAUGUGUUCCAUCACGAUGUUAUGACAAUUUUCGCAGUUUAGCUUUAUCGCAAUUUUACUUGCGCUGGUCCCUUUAAAGUGUCUAAAUUUUACGUUGUCCACUCUCACUGCAUUUCCCUACAAGAUUCGAAAUAUAUCAUUUAAUUUGUUUGCAUUCAAUAAGCAAUAAACCUUUAAAAUAAAGAAUGUGAAUUUUGGUCAUUACGAUCCAAUAUGGUAAUAAUAUAUAUAUAUCUUGGUUAGUCCAUUUAAACAAUUCAUCAAAGCUAAUUUUUCAUCCAUUUAAGAUCUGAUUUACAGGCCGAGUUGCAAAUGAUUUGUUAGUUUUUUUGUAGGUUUAUAACAUCUAAUUUGAUAUGAUUUCUUUUUUUUGGUAGGAAGAUCUAAUUUGAUAUGAUGUAUAUAUGUUUUGUUAGUCACCUGAUAAAGAGUUAAAAGACUAGAGUUAAAAUUUGUAAGUUUUGAAUUUACCUUUAAACGACUGUCAGUGUAAUUUUGAUCGAUGAUGAUGGGGAAACUAGCAUUCACCAAUGUGAUAUGUUCAUACAAAAUAUUUCUGGCUGACCCUUGUCCUCCCUAUAAAAUUAUGGACGUAAGAUCCGUAUAUGUUUUUUUUUUCGUAAGGAAGUAAAAUAUUUUGCUUUUUUUUUUUUUUUUUUUUUUUUUUUUUUUUUUUGUUAAGCUGUAAUAUUUUGCUAGCAACACAAAACAAUGGAAAAAGUAAAAAACGUACAUGCCAAGUCUUGAUUCUUGCCCCGUUUUGAGUUCCACUAAAGCUGCAGCUUUUUACGUUCACGUUUUCGACUAUGUCGUCUGUCUCAUCUUUCCCCAAACUCCCAAUACUGCAUUUUUAAAAGGUUUAAGACACAAUAAACAAAUUUAAUUUUUAAUAGCAAGUCAAAAUAAUCUUAUUCAACAAAAAGUAGAAUAAUUUAGUUCGAUAUAUACAUUGAUUAAUUUCAAACGUGCUUUUUUAUAACUUACAAACCUGAUACCGUGACCCGGACCACAUGCCACACGAGUAAUGUUGAUAUCGGAAGAACCACCUUUCCCACCAGUAAUUGCAACACAGUCAUCACCUAACAUGUAAGAAACACAUCACACAAUGAAUUUAAUUAGCAUAUAUUUAAUUUUUAAAAUUAUAUCAAUGUAAAAACACAAUAACAAAAAUUCAAACUGAGGGAAUCAGAAUAAUAAUUACCAGUUUGGAUAGAGGAGUCUAAGACAUGGAUAUUGUGUGACUCACAAAUAUUGAUGCCAUCGGUGUUUGGACUGUCAUGGGGUGCGCUUAUAUUAAGAUUUGAUAAAGUUACAUUUUUGCACCCAACGACUGAUAUGUGAUUCUUUGGACUAUUCAUUUGAGUCAGUCCAUUAUAUACAAUGCCAUGGCAGGUGUCAAAACUAAUCGUCUGUAGAUAUAAAACGUAUCAUAAGUUAUCGAUAUAGAAAAAUCAUAUAUACUUAAGUUAAUAGGAAUGAUGACUCCUACAGUGGGUCGUUUAGAGUGACGAACAGAUGGCCACCAUGCUUCGCCAUGGGGAAGAAGGACACCGGAGCCGUUGAGGACGAGACCCACUAUAUCCUUGAAACAUAACCAACACUGUCUUUCUGAGUUUUCCCAAUCUCUCGGCUUCGCUGGCGCUUUGAUUUUCCCAUCAAUCUUGUUGAAAUGAAAAAAAAUAAAAAAAAAACUAAGCAAAAAAAUUAAAAAAAAUAAAUAAAAACUAAGCAAAAAAAGAAGAAAAAAGAAGCAAUUAUACAUGCAUGCAUGUACGUGCGUGGAUCAUUAUCUUAUGAAUGAAUAAUUCGAUAGCAUCUGCGGAAGAAAGUUGAAUUAUAACGAUUAACGACCAUAAUUAAAGUACCUGAAUAUGAACGUCGGAAGAUACACAUGGACCUUCAAAAAGUUGUGGUUGUAAAGUGUAUGUUUCCUUCUUCUCUAUCACCAACGCUGACCCGUUAGACGAAGCUUGGUCUUUGCAUAACUCUUUCCAUGCUUUUUGCAUCGCCUUCACAAGAAUGAUAGUAUAUUAGUUUAAUAACAUUGACUAAUUGUUUCGACAAUAUAUCUGACUUUGCAUAUUGUAUACACCAGCUUUAUAAUUAAGAAAACGAUUACUUGAGAAUAAUCAACGUUCGUGUGGUCGCUAGCUAUAAAAUCUUUCAUGCUAAGAAUCCUCCGGCCUUCUCCGUAUCCCAUAUAGUACAGUAAUACAAUUAUCAUCACAGAAAACAAGGUUUUCAUCAAAUCCUUCAUGGUAACCAAAUUACAAGCUUCUACUACAGAGGAAAUCAACUGAAGAGGUCACUAUUUUAAUCUCGAUUUGUUAUUUGAAGAUAUAUAUAUAAUGCUUGAGUUGAAAUUUGAGAGUCAUACAACAAUACUUAUAAUCCCAUUAUAUAUGUAUUUAGAUGAAGUCUAAGAGAUAGAUAUUAUAACACAAAAUCUCAUAUCAUAUAAUGACAGUGACUCAUAAAAUUCAAUUUCAUAUGGAUAUAAUAGACACGGAUAAAUGAUUAAAUUUGAAACAUUAAGUUAAAAUAUUAAUUUAGCUUUUAACAUAAAAUUUAUAGUUUUUUAAUUAAUUAAUAUGUAGAAGCUGGAAACAGAUUAUUGAAAUAAAUAUUUUUAAGUAUCUUUUAGUGUUUUCUAUUUUUACCUGCAACAGAGAUAUAUUUUCAUUCAAUGUUGAUAAUGACUCAUAAAAUUCAAUUUCAUAUGGAUAUAAUAGACACGGAUAAAUGAUUAAAUUUGAAACAUUAAGUUAAAAUAUUAAUUUAGCUUUUAACAUAAAAUUUAUAUAUAUUUUUUAAAUGAAUUAAUAUGUAGAAGCUGGAAACAGAUUAUUGAAAUAAAUAUUUCUAAGUAUCUUUUAGUGUUUUCUAUUUUUACCUGCAACAGAGAUAUAUUUUCAUUCAAUUUUGCCAUGUAAAUCCAAUUAAUUAUUUUUUGGCUUUAACUACCAAUAAAUUAGAAAACUAAGCUUUAACUUUACAUUAAAAAUAUAUUAAAAACCAUCUAAUUUGUAUAACAAAAAAAAAAUCUUAAACAUCUGAGUAAAAAAAAAACUAAGAUUUUUUUUUUUUUUAAUAUAAAAAAACUAAGAUUUUUGCAUUAGCCAAUGUGCUACAGAAGAGGAAUAAACUUCUAAAACUAAAGUAAACUUAAUAAUAAGACAUAUUAUUAAGUAAACAAUAUGGAAUUGUAAUUGAAAAAUGAAAAUAUAGUAACAUUGUUUUUUCGUUUACAAUAUAUCCUAGUUGGAAAAAAAUGGCCUAGUUGGCUGCUGCUGCUGCUAAAAGAUCCUUCCAUGUGACUAACUUUUCUCUGGGUUUGUUUCUCUCAUUCCCCAUUUGUUGUUCUUUGGCAUCAAUCUUCUCCCACCCACUAAAAUCUACCUUCUUCACCUCUCUCUUCUCCAGCAAUUGCAUCAGUCCUUUGCUUCCUGCUUUUGAGCUCUUGAAAACACCCUUUUCAAUGUCUUCACUUAUGCUACCAACCUGCAAUAAACACAUUUUAUCCUCCCAGUUAAAGAGCAUCAGUUUUCUGUUCAGGGUGAACAAGUUUGUUGCUUACCGUUUCCUCGGCACAGUACAGGUUUGUGGCAAUUAUGCCUACUGGUCCUCUUUUUAGCCAGCCACAUACGUAUAAACCCGGCUCAGUCUGUGAUAAGUUUUCUAACGUUUGACUAACCACUCGACCACUUACAUUCGGGACAGCACCUUGAAACAUGCAAUUGAGGCACACAAAAAGUUAGAAGAACUCAACCUUUUCUAAUAAACAUAUCAAUCACACCACACUUUCAUCUUAUACCACCUUUCUUGUGAUCAAAGGGUAAACCAUUGAUUGGAACCGACUUGUAACCAAUGGCCUUCAGCAUCAAACUGCAAAAUUGGACAUGCUUUCAUUUUCAUUUUUUAUGAUUGUUGAUAUAACUAUUACAACAGAAACACACUGAGGAACUCUCAAUUAAGAGUAUAAUACCUGCCAUUAAGAUCCUCAAACUCUCCAGUACCAACUGCAAUUUGUUUUCCACUUUCAGUACCUACAAGUUUAUGGAUGAAGUGGUUAGUAAAAUACACUAUUGUAUCCUAGGAAAUCACCAUUACAUUUUAGUGUUUCCAACAGCAGUUAGUAAAUCCACAGAAGAACCAGGAUACACCAAAAGGCUCACAUAGAGAAGCACUUACUAUCAAGAAUGGUUUUUUCCAGGUUUACACCGGAAACGUAGCCCUUUCUUUCAUUCGACUCUAAAAACCGGUCAGGUUGGCGGAAGAAAACAAAGUGCAGCUCUCGUUGAUCAGGGUCAGAUUUGGAUGUUCCUGCUGCUGCUGCAGCUUUGGACAGUAAUUCAUAGAUUCUCUUUCUGGCUCUACUAUUUUUCAUUUCUUCCUUCGAAGAAAAAGAAGAGUGUCAACAAAAAUUUUGGGAAGGUAUCAAGAAUUUCACUAGAAUGCAAAUAACCGAGUUCAGCCUUACUUUAAUUGAAAGUCAGUAGCACAAGUACCUCAUCAGCAGGAGUUACACUCAUGUCAGACUCCUUUAUUCGAAUGUGCACAUUCUUAAUCCCUGCAUUAUAAAAAUAUAUGUGUUUAUAUUCGUAUCAAUGGGAAAAUAACAAAGGUCAGUGGGUAGCCGGUAACAAAGAAGAUAUGGUAUGUUAUUAUCACAAAAAAAGCUAAGAAGGUCAAGACAAGCAAAUUAAGGCAAUGAGUAAAAAAAAAAGUUGCUAUUCAACAUCUUAUAUAGAAUCAAGUAUCAACUAAUGUCGCAAAAUAUUCACCGAAGCAGUCCCAUAUGCAACAGAACAACAUAGUAGACAGUGAAAUUAAAGUUAGAGGUGUCCAGCAAGUUUUUUAAGUCUUUAACUAAUUGUAAGAUAAACAAUAAAAACUCAAGGUCUGAUCCUAUCCAAAAAUAUAGUUUUGCUGCUACUUUUAGAGAUCAGUGAUUUACCUACCCAUUUAUUCAAGGAAUGCUAAACGCCAAUAUAAUUUUUUUAAGUCAUUCAACCACACUUCCCCUUUAGAUAAGGUACCAGCUGAAAAAUGGCAGCACACACCCAAACCCACCAGACCUAACCACAUUUUUAUAUUAUUUCUUCAUCAUUUUUGUGGUAUCUAUAAAAAACAAUCAAAAGCUCAGUCUAUGAUCUAAAGAUCAAUUAAUACCAAGAACUUCUCGAAGCUCUUUGGCAGUCAAUGCUGCUUGAACUGGCCCCCGUCUUCCGAUGAGAAACACCUUCCUGAACAUGUUACAACUUUGUAUCAGGGACUAUAGUUGGUUGUCAAUUAUAGGAAAGAUGGAACGGAACAAGAUUCAACUAGUUAAAUGGUCAAAUGGGACCUUAUAGAGCUUUCUUCCAGUGCAGAUAAAGCAUGCCUAGCAAUAUCAGUUGAUGCCAACUCUGUUGUCGGUCUUAAGAGAAUCCGGGCAACAUCUAGAGCUACAUUACCCUAAGAUUUGAAGGAUCAUAUGUCAGAGAGGUCUUGAGAAACAUAUACUGAGAAAAUUUUGGCAUCAAAAUGUUAUUCAUAUGUACAUCUUGUUACGGCGGUAAGGAUAGCUAACCAACAACAAAUAGUCUCCAGGCAAAGUAAACGAAUCUCACUAGAAUAAAACUACACAUGUCAACCCAUACAAAUUAAGCUUGCAUGCACAAGCAGGCGUACAGGUCAGAAUGCUAAGAGACUAGAGAGGAUAAAAUGUCAAAUGAAAAACAUAUUAUGGUUGCAAAGAAACUGCACCUAAAACUCUAUAAAUUGGGACCUCUAAAGACUAAUAUGCAAAUGCAUGAUUGCAAAGGGGCUUUAUUUUGUCCAGAAAGUAAAAUUAUCUGAUUCUUAAAAUUGAAGGUGUCUUUACCAAAAUGAGGAUCGCAAACCAAAAAUAGAGUACCUGGCCAAGGAUGACAGCUGUGUCGGUACUUUUCAAGUCAGGUUUCAAACCGCUGUAGUCAGGAUGUCCAUUAUACCACCAGACGAAUUCUCUUGCAGAGUAUAUACCACUCAAAGUCUACAAAAGUCACCUUUAUACAUCAGAAUAGAUACCCAGUACGUAUAGGCAACAAAAGUCCACUAACUUCCGUCAAAAUACAAUAAAACACCUAAUCCCGCCACAGGAAAUUUGUAAUGGGCAUACCUCACCUGGAAUGCCAAGAUCUUUGUCACUUUCAGCACCAUAUGCAAGUACAACCUGAACAAACCAUACUUAUCAUAAGAAGUUGAAGUUGAAGACAUGAUUAUAAAUUAAUGAGUAAUAAUUUCCUUUAAUUUGUAAACGUUUCUGUGUGCUAGUUCCUAGGAAUACGUUUGAGCUAAUUAGUUGCUUAUCUAAAUAAUAUAAGCGUAUAGUUAAGGAAGUCUAACCACGUGAUACAAAUCCCGCAGCUCAGAAAGUAACAAAUCCGAUCCAAGCUUUACAUUCCCGUAAAAAGAGCAACGUUCGUGUUGUGCCACUCGUGAGAACUGAUUAAUGGCAAUCUGUAGAAAGCAUUGUUGUUGACAUCAAGCUCAAUGGAAAACGUCCUAAUCUCUCUCUCUCUCGCUGAACAAGAUUAAGCUAAUCAGUGUUACCUUAGUUUCAGGAUGAUCAGGCGCAACACCGGAGCGAACAAGUCCGAAUGGUGUGGGCAACCGAUCGAUUAUAUCAACGCGUGCUCCUUCGUGUGCCUUCAAUAACUAAUUACAAGCCAUCAUCAAAAUCACGAGUUAAGAGUCGUUAAUUGCAGAAUAUGUUUGAACACAUAGAAGAACAUUAGGCAAACAAAAAAAAAUACAAAGGGAGAGAAGAAGCGAUUACCUUGUCAGCAGUAUAGAAACCAGCAGGUCCACUCCCAACGACGCAAACGUGCAGAGGACGAGAAGGGACAGAUGAGAAGUAUCUAGAUACCAUAUAUCGUGCCAGAUAUCUACUCAUUCUCGGAAACUUCCAAACUUUUUAAUGCUUAUCAAGCACAAAGGGUCUGUUCUGAAAGUGUCGCAAACUGUGAACAGUGCGUAGAGCCCUCGAAAUUUGGGUUCGUAUGAUAUAGUUGAAUACGAUUUAAUUUUGAGGAUUUGAAGAAGAUGGAGAUGAAGAUGAGAAAAUAACCCACAAUUUCGGGGGUGAAAAUCGAGAUAAGAAGAAUUUAGGGUUUCUGAACGAAUUUGGGGAUUUCUAGCGGAGCUCACAGAAUCACAGUGCAGCUCACGUUGACCUUUUUGUCUUUAAAAGGGUUCCGUUGACUUUUUCCUUUUAAUUGAGGUUUUUCCAUUUUUCCUAAUCAUAAACGUUAGAUAAGAUUAAAAACUCAAAACAGAGAGUCUCGUUUCUCCUAAUCUUUGAAAUUACAGAGAAUUAUAUAUAACAAGAUGGCAUUUAGCAUGUAUUCAAGUUUAAGAUCAACUGUUGUAUAUAAAUAGGCCAGGGACCUUAAACCUCAAUGAAAAAUCAUGUUAAUCAUCAGUACCUUUAAACUUUGUUAUUAAACUGAUGCAUAAAAUCCAAAAGCAAACAUUUGAUCAACAACAUUUGGGGUCCAUAACAAUGUGUCACUCUCCCAAUCCCAACUAGUAUAACAAACAGACCAUAAUACAUAUGCAAUAUGGGACAAAGCACUAUGAAGAAGUUAAUAACGAAUAUGUGAAUUGGGUAUUUAAUCUCCAUCUACGUUUCUAGGCAUCAACUGUAUAAUCUACAUUCCUUUAAGCUCUGCAAAUCUGGCAGCCAAAUCUUCAUAGUUUGGUAACUUGGGGUGAACGUGCUUAGCUUCACUCGAACGUUCUGGCUGAAACGAGGCUGCACGGGCAAACGUUUUUCUAGGUUCAGAUGGCUCAGCCCAUUGUUCAGGGGGUAAUGAACGUGACCUGACGGGUUGAGGAAUCAUCAUCUCUUCAUCAGAAUCACUUUUUUUAAGAUGUGUACGUCUGCUUUUGGAUCCUUGUUGUACAUUGUUCUUUUCAUAACUUGAAGGUUUCUUACUGUAAUGCAUGAGAAGUUUAUCCAUUAUCUUUUCCUCAUUGUCCUUCUCAUCCUCAUCAACUAAGACUUGAAGCCCUUUCCUUGAGUUUUCCCUUCUUCGGCUUCUUGUAUGAUCAUCAUCACCAACUGAUUGUACAAUGUGUUUUCUUCUACUAGUUCGCCGUUUCAGAGAUGCAUUAUCUAUUUCAUCUACUUGAAGAUGACCUCCUUCAAUUCCCUUCUCUACCCCAGAAACAUUCUUAUCAAUGUCUGCAUGAUUCCCUUCUUCGCCAUCAAAACGAGCCUUUGUGUUCUCCGAAGCUUCAGCUUUUUCAUUCCUUGCUUUACUACUAGAUUUAACAUACGGAGGUGGAAGGGAUUUGUAGAAAGGCGAUUUCAUUCUCUCUGUUUCUCGCUCCUCAACUUUCCAUGUUGGAUUUGAUUGACCAUAUUCAUUUUCACCACCCUUAACUUUACCAACAGAUGGAUCUUCUUCCGUGCUCUUUCCCACAAGAACUGCAUUUUCUUUACUCUCCCAACCAUUACGGUGUCUAGAUCCUGGAUCAGUAGAUUCCGCUCUCUUUAACUUGCUACUUGGCUUCGGAGGUCUUGAGGUAUUGUCUUCCACUUUCUGAUGUGCAUGCUCUUCGUUUUUCUCAUGUUUGUAUCCUUGAAAGAAACUCUCUUGUUUAAAUCCGAUAACUAACUUGUCAGCUCUUUUGGUGCUGCUAGGCUUAUGUUUCUCUGAAGCAUUAACCUCUGUUUCCUUAUACGCAUCAACUACACCAUUUUGAUUUCCAUUCCCUUGAAAAUGGUUCUCACGCUUGACCUUCAUUACUAUAGUGUCACCUUCGUUGAAAAUGGGUCGAUGUCUUUCUCUAUAAAACUCUUUUCUUUCUGGGGCAAUAACCUCGGGUUUCUUAUGUGCGUCAACUACACCAGGUCGAUGUCCAUUCCCUUGACCGAGAUUCUCAUGUUUGACCUUCAUCACAAUAGUGUCACCUUCGUUAAAAAUAGGCUGAUGUCUUUCUCUAGCAGAUGCUUGCUUAUGCGACAAAUGAAACUCUUUCCUUUCUGCCUUAUUGUCCUUGCUUUCCGAUCUGGAGGCAUGGCUAACAUUAUCUGACCUUUCUUUAGAUGUUAGGCUAUGCUGAUUUCCUCUAAGACCAUUCUGAUAACUUUCUUUAUCAGGUUGAAACAAAGGAUCUCUUCUUUCUGAUGCCUCAGCCUUUUUUCUGUUCAAGCUAAGACCAUUUUCAAAACCUGCAAACUCUUCUCUUUUUGGCAAGGCCAUGUUUCUGUCUACAGGCUUGUACUUGUCGUAAGUUCUUUUUGGGGUCUCCUGUUGAUGUCCAUGAGAGAAAUCAUAAUUCAAUACCUAUCCGAAUAUUUCAGUUUAUUGUCCCUUGAUAAAAAUUACUGAUGGUCAUACCUUUGCUGAAGUACUAUUCUGUCUCUCAAUCCUUUUCUCAAAAUCUCUGGAAUCCCAGCGAAUAGAGAACUCCAAUGCAACAUCUUCCAUUAACUUAAUUUUCUUCUCCAUAGAGAAUGGCUUUGAUGACAUGUUCUCAACAAGCUAUAAGAGAAACAAGUAAGUGCUUAGUUGUGAAUAAGUUUCCCACAUGGUCUAACUGAGAAUUGAAUGAAGUAGAAAAACUCUUACCUCUUGGUUAACAAACAAUCCAAGUGAAUCUGCGUAUUUUUCGUGAAACAUUUGCCUCAGUUCACGCAGCUCAGGCAACUCAGAAAAUCCAGAGGCUGCAAACAUUAACGACGACACAGCUUCACGACACUCUUCUGGACAUUCCCUGGAAAAAAAAAACAGAAAUCAACUAAUGAACCUACAAUACUUGAGUUAUCUUAGAGAAUGUUCCACUAAGCCACAGAAGACAAUUCUCAUCCCUAAGUAAACAGGAACAAUGUGAAUAAGAAAAUGCCAAAACAUGAGGUAAAUGACAUUAGUCCAACACUAUUCAAUUUUCAAAAAUAUGUUAAGGAACAUGAUCUUCAAUUUAACACCUAACACACUGAUAUAGUCAAGAGUAUGUUACAACUACCCGUGAAUAACACAAGCAAAAGCACAAAAAACAUAAAUUAAGAUACCCAAAAUCUAAAAAGAAUGGCAGAAACAUAAUAAAAGUUGGAAAAUUGGAAAUGCCAUAAAUAACAAAAGGCAUAGAGUUGAAAAAUACCCAAUCUUUUGCAUCGUAGAGAGCUGCUUGUAUACGAAAUCACAGGUCUGCUCAAGAAAGUCAAGAUUCCAGAGAUACCGUAAUUCAUCAAGAAGCCCUCCAACCUGAGGAUAUUAAAAUCCGAAUGUUAUUGAAUCUCAAGUAGAAGAAGAAUCUCUGAGAAGAACAACGAAAAAACUGAAAUACCCUGCUAUAAGCAUUGGCGUCGUGACCGUUAAUGACGAGAUCAGCCAAAUCCUUCUUGAGAAACUUGAUUGUAGCAGUCUUCUUCCUCCGAAGAACAUCGAUCCGAUUCUUAGUGAGUUUUAUCAGUGGUUUUCUGGUCCAAUUAAAAAACAAAAAAAAUCACACCAUUAAAAAUUCGAUUUACCCAAAAAUUGAAAACAAAGAGGAGAGAAGAUCGUAGCAGUAGAGAAAACAAACCCCUUAGGAGCAAAACCGCGGCCUAGGAGACCAUCAAACAUCUUUUUUUUUUGUUUUUUUUGUGAAUCUCUUGACGAUUCCGCAACAACGAUGAUCCAAAAAUGAAAACCAGAUUCCGAGAGUGAUCAGCUUGAGAAGAGAGAGAGAAGAAGGAGGAGGAGGAGGAGAAUAAUAAUAGCGUAGCGUAUGUAUAUCUCUCUUUUGUAUUCAAAAUUAAAAGCAAAGAAGCCGCAUCUCAAGCUUUGGGGAACAUGGUGGUGGUGGUGGUGAACUGACUAAUCAGUGCUUUCUCCAUCAAAAAAAAUUACGACGAAACGACUACGUUUAGACUUUUUCAAUGUUAAAUGUUAACGUUAUAAAGGGUACUAUGGGGAAAUGAAAGAAUAGCACGUCUUUAAGGAGAGGAGAGGAGUUGGGGAAUCAAAUCUAUACCAUCUAGUUGUUAGUGGAAUUGGGUGGAAAUGAUCUGGUACGGGUGGCUCCACCUUAGCUCAUUGCGUGGAUUCCGUAGACCUGCCUGCCUGCACCUAUUAAUUGUGUUGUGAGAUUUAUAUUAUUAACUCACCGACGACGACGGCGGGGUUCAAACUUUAUUUGUUCUUGUCAAUAUGUCAAAAGUGAAAACAAAAAAACUCAUGUGUGAUGCUGCAAGGGAAAUUACUACUUUACGCUUUGCUAGACGAUCAUACACAUUCAAAGAAUCUUCGAACCCAAAAUCAAAACUAAAUAAACCAAAAGGGAGAAAAAUAAUAUUAUAAAUCUUAAAGAUUACAAAUUCAUUCUCAUGAGAUUAUAUCUUAUAGGCUUAGAUCUGAAUUUUAUUGGUUACCAAAAGAGAUUUUAGAAACAUACCGGAUAUAUAUUAUAACGUUAUCCACUACUUACCUAUUUAUGUUAUAUCUUGUAUCAAUAGUUCACAUGUAUAUUAGUAAACUAUAUAAUAUAACUCCCACCUAGACACUAUUUAUUUUUAAUAACUACUGAUUCCUUAUUUUUUCUUUCAAGAUUCUGUUAAACCAUGUGAAUGUUAAGGGCUUGAGGCCAGAGACAUCUAAUCAACUUCAAACAAUGUAAUUAUGCCUUGCUUGCUUGUAAGUUCUAAUUUAUAGAAUCUUUCUGUGCGUUAAGUACUGUCUUUGCUUGUCAUACGAGACAUUACCUAUACUUCCAUGCUUAUCUUUUUUCGUUCGAGUUUCCUUAAUUCUCUCUCGAUUUUAUGUUCUCUUUCAUGUUCAUAGUUACGUUUGUCCUUUGUAUUAGCUAGCUAUGUGUUCUUGUUCUUCAUUCUUGAUCAAACACACAAACACAAUUCAGUAAGAAGCAUUGCUGCGUUUUCAUCUAAUUCCUGGCAGCUAAUAAUUACUUCCAAGCUCUCCCUUCCUUGGCUUAUGGAAUCUCUAAGAUCAAAAUGCAAAACUCUUGCUAAUGUGAGAGAACCAUAUAUAUAUAUACUGAUUUAAUUUCCGCUUAGAUUAAACACAUGCAUAUAUAGCAAAAGAUGAUUGACACGUUAAUAUUUUUUUUAAUGUAUAUUUAAUGAUCAGAGCAUAAACUGUUUCGGAUGCUGCAACAGACAAAGGCCUUUAGUCGUAGAAGUCGAUGAGCCAUCAAAGGGACUCAAAAUCCAAGGCAAAGUUGUGAAUAAAGGAAAUGGUGAUUCAUCAGACGGUCUAUGGAGCACAACUACAUGUGAUAUAGACCACAAUAGCACUGUUUGGUCCCAACCUUCAAACCCGCCAUUUGAUCCCCGGUGCAGCACAAGCAACUCUACCAAAUUUGUAAACCAUGGUAAGUCUUGGAUGUAUCUUUGUGGUUUUAAGGCCUCGGUUGUUUUAAAUGCCAAAAACUUCUGUGUUUUUGUGUUCUUGUUUACACGGAAAAAAAAAUCCGUAAAAAGUUUCAUAUACAGUAUUUCAUUUUUGUUUGUUUAGCAUUGACAUUUACAAUUAACAAAGGAAUUACAAUUGCAAGGUUUAGUUGAUUUGAGAGAAACAAAUUAUACUGAACCCAAACAAUCAAAAUUGGCUGCAUAUGCAUAAGACCAUAAAACAAUAUAGGAAACGCAUGUCUACGUUCAAUUUAUCCUUCAGAAUUAAGAUUUUAUACUUUGCUUUUAAGCUCUCUUAAUAGAAGCAAGACUUAUUCAAUACAUUCAAAAAAUUUUCCUUAUUCAUUUCCUUGCAUUGAAGGACUUAUUUUGUGGAACGAAACAAGACAACAAUGGCGUGAAUGCAGAACCAGACAACAACAAUGCCAAGUUCGAGAACCUGCAAUAAGGUGACAACUGGAACAAAUUGUUUCCAUGUGUAUACAGUAUAUGAUUUGGUUUGUUAAAAUUGUUCAAUUUGAGAUGAAACUUGUACUUCCAAUAUUUACUUUACGAUGAAUUUUUUCAGCUGGAACUCGACGUAUGAUAGCUUAUUGAGCACAAACAAGCUUUUUCCUCGACCAAUACCUCUCAAGGUGAUUUGGAUUUGGUUAUUUAGAUUUCUGCUCAUCACAUUUUUUUAAUGUUAAUUUGCAGUAGAAGAUUCUUUAUCCGCACGCAUAAUUAGGAUACAUUCUAACUAUGUAUGUGUCAUUAACUCAUUAUUGUUGCUAAGAAGUUUUUCUUUAGAAUUGAUGAUGAUGAUGAUAUAAUAUGCACACAGGACAUGGUGCAUUUCCUUGUUGAUCUUUGGGAGGAAGAAGGCUUGUACAUAAAAACGUAACGAUUCUAUAAUUUGCUUUAUAAGUUUUUGUGUACAGCAAAGAUUAUUCGAUAUAUACGUACGUGUUCUUUGGCUUGGUCAUGACCGUGGAAAAUUAGUAAAAAUAAAAUCCUUUUUGUAUAAGUAAAAUCAGUAAAAUAAAGGAAGAAGGCUUGUUGCACAUAUGUUACGAUAAAAAAAAGUAUAAACACAAGUGAAGGGGGUUUGAAUGUAAAAGUUGAAACUUUGGGGCUCAAUUUGAUAAUAGGAAACUAAUAGUGGGGGCGCAGACAAGAACGUCAACAACUCCAUGAUGAUAUUUUUGCAGUCUAAAUAUCUUUUCAUCCUCUCUUCUCUCCGCUCCACUGAAAUAUUAUUAUUCCCAAACUAAAUAACACAAUAUGAUAAUGAGAAGCGCUUCAUCACUCGACCUUAACAUACGCGCCGCCCAGAAACCGUCUGUUCCACCACGGGUGGUCAUUACGACGGCUCGAUCCGUCUCUGCUUCUCCUCUUGGUGCUAAAUCUAUUACCAGAGCUUCUUCGGAUGGAAAUCUCUACAAGAUUCAGUCGCCGCCGGAGACCAGAACUAAAACCGAAGAAACUGCAUCGUAUAAGGUUUUGGAAGGAUCUCGGUUCCCUCAGGGAGGUUCUAACGGUGGAUUUGGUGGUCGAGGCAGAGACGGUGCCGGAGGUGACAGCGGCGGAGGUGGGAGUGUAGAUGGUUAUUAUGAAGACAUGAUCCAACGUUAUCCCGGAGACACUCUUCUUCUCUCUAACUACGCUCGUUUCCUCAAAGAGGUCUGUCUUCUUUUUUAAAUCUCCUCUGUUAUUUCAAGAUUGUGUUUAUUAUAGGGUGUGUUGGCAAACUACUACGUUUUUGAAACAUAAUUAUAAAAAUAGUACAUUUACUAUUCACAAUUAGCAAAAUAGUACAAUUUUACUAUUUCAGAUAUCUGUACAGACAGACAACUGUACAGUAACAUAUUAUUGUACAUCAAAUAUUUGUAUAAAGAGAAACAACUACAUAUAAACAUAUUUACACAUAAAUAAAUAUACAUAUAUAGACCAUAAUAUAUAUGUACACAUACAAUUAUACGUAUAUAUAGACCGCUGUAUACAUCGACACACAACUGUACAUAAGGUUAGCUGGACGUAUCAAAAUUUGUUUGAAAAAUAUAUGAAAUUAUUUUUUUAAAAAUGCAUAUCAAAUUAUAGAGAAAAAAAUACAGAUUUUUGUGUAAUUGAAAUUUUAUAGAAAACAAAUAUAUUUUGAUGAAAAUUUUUAAUUAUUAGAUUUAAAGGGGUUUUUAAUAGUGUCUAAAUAGUGUCCAAAUAGUAAAAAUGUAUUAGUUUGCUAAUAAUAAAUAGUAAAUGUACUACUUCUACAAUUAUGUUUUAAAAAUGUACUAAAAACCCAAUUAAUCCUUUAUUAUACUUGCUAAUUUUGGAAACAUUUAUUUACUGUUAUUUGACCCAAACAAAAAUAUAUACACGUGAGGGCUUAUAUAUAGAGACAAGUUAAAAAAAAAAAAAAAACACAAAGUACGUUUAUAUUGCUAUGACUGAAGUCGACCCCUUUGUGUUUUGAUUUUUUGGGUUUUUGAUUGGUUGAAUCUACUAAUCCAUGUAUUACCAUUUAGGAAAUGUAAAUUUAUAGACUUCAUCCAUUAACAGUUUAAACAAAAAGGAAGUUAAAAAGUGUAUCAAUUGAGGGGAUAUUUAAUUAAAUUAAACUUAACAAAUGUUUUAAUUUGUGCAGGUGAAAGGUGAUGGGAGGAAAGCAGAGGAGUACUGUGAGAGAGCAAUGUUGUCCGAGAAUGGAAGAGAUGGAGAGUUGCUGUCUAUGUAUGGAGAUUUGAUAUGGCAAAAUCAUGGAGAUGGUGUUCGUGCUCAUUCUUACUUUGAUCAGGCUGUUCAAUCUUCUCCUAAUGACUGGUAUGUGUUUAACAUAGCUCUGGAUUUGGGCUUUUUUUAAAGUUUCUCUCCAUGAUAAGACUUCAAAUCAUGUUUUGGGCAUUGUUAGAUUAUAACAUGGGAAUAUCGGUUCAUUAAAUGUUUUUGUGGAUCAAAUAUGAUUUCCUCUAUAUCCAUCCUUUGAAGAAGUGAUUGGUCAAUUUGUUAUAGAGCAAUAGCUUCACACGUCAAAUAUGACAGAGACAUCAUUCAUGAUUAUUAUUUUUUUUUUUUUGCGCUCUGCGUCUGCAAUUUAUAUAAUUAUAUGUGAUGUAGCAAUAGAUGGUACGAUACAUCAUCAUUGAUAGAUAGUAUCAUAAUGAUAAUAAUUUUUAGGGUCCCGUAGAUUUGAUAAUAAUUUAAUGAGUGGUGUUUAUCGCAGUCAUGUUCUUGCAUCGUAUGCUCGGUUUCUAUGGGAUGCUGAAGAAGAAGACGAGGAAGAAGAGGCAGAGGAAGCAAGUAGUAAACAUGAGCUUGGUUUCUCUACCUAUAACCCAUCUGUAUCAGUUGUGUCUUGACUCUUUGUGCUGAUGCUAAACCGGUGUAAUACAAUUAAAAAAAAAAAAACUCAAAAGUCCGGUUUAAUCAUGAAAAUAUCUUCUGCAUUUUGAAGUAGAUUGAUGCUAAUGAAUAAGGAAUAGACGAACUAAAGUACCAAAAGUCCAAAGCUGAAUUAUUGUGGCAAAUUGUGAGAUUCCAAAGAUGAUAAAAGUGGUUUUGUAUCCUUAUGGUUAAAGCUAGCUAUAAAGGUGUGGAAAUGAGACUUCUGAGAGAAUCAAUUAUUGAUCUCUGGUUGCGAGAGAUGUCAUGCUCAACUGUCGCUAAUACCCUUUGUUUUUGUGUCUUUGACAGUUGCAAUUUGCAAAUCACAAGAUAGAAUGCUUUUAACAUUUUUUCCUAUCUGGCUUAGAUUUGACAAGCAGUUUCCAAAAAUAUAAUAUUAUUUUUGUGGAAUGUUACUAUUAAUUCAAUCUUUAUUUGCUUCAUUAUCAGUACGUUUAGAUUAUUGUCGAAACCCCAAAAUCCAUAUCCUACAAGAUCUUACUUACUAAUUACUCUCAUGGAUAGCCACAAUUUUUUUAAGAAUGAGCCAAAGGAGAAGAAUCAAUUAUAACAAAAGAAAUUGCACAUAAAGCCAUAAUAACAAAAAUGAGAAUAUAAAAAAAAGAAAGAAUACACAGACAGAAAGAAACGCAGAAUCUCCUGAAUAUUCACCUUUUAGGAAUCAAAGCAUCAAAAAAAGAAAAAAAGAAAAGAAGAUCUUGACAUCAAAAAGCAACUUAAAAGAUUAAAAACAUUACCAUCAAACAUAGGAAUAUAUAAAAGCAGCAACCUUUAGAACCAGACCUAUAUAAUUCUUUUCACUCUUUUUACCCAUCUCUCUUCUCAUAUAAGUUUAGGCUGAAGAUAUAUAUUUAAAUAUAAUACGGUUUCUUUUUCUCCUUUGUCCUCCUUAAUCAAUGCAAGAGAGAUAUGAUGAGUCUUGAGAGUAAUGAUCGUACCGCAGAGUUUUUAAUGCUCAACAGCAACCGCUUCAGAUACCUCCAUGGACUUGUCGGCUCUGUCUUCAUUCAUCCUCGGAGAUACAACCUCAUGUGAAUCUUCUGCAUCAGCAUUGGAUGAUACAGUCACUUGUGCUUCCUCUUCUACAGGAUGUGAAGACUGGUUUACGGUUUCUGCAUCUUUUUCAACUUUCUUUUUUUCAGGUUUCACCUUUGCUGAGGUUGUGGCAGCUUUUGCUGGGGCGGGUUUUCCAUCGGGGAGAGCUGUUUUCUGAGAUGGCAAUCUUGGAAGUGACUUGCGCACUGGUUGCUUCUUCAGCUCAACUGUUGGCAUAAUUCCCUUAGCAGCUGAGUUAUCUUUAGAAGCUCUCUCAUCUAGGCUUAGCCUACCAAGGCGAGGUGUUUGAGUUUCUUCACAAUCCACUCCAGAAGCAGUCUUCUUUCUCCCAAGUUUGGGAGACUUGGGUCUCGUUGGUGGUAUCUUCUUGGACAUAAACAACAAUUUCACAUGAAAUGUGCGUAUUAGUACUUCAAUAAAAAGUGAGAUCAUGGUUGAGCUUGAGCAGAGAGGAGAAAUACCUUCUUUAACUCUGUUUUAGGCGGCUGAGGUUCUUGAUAAAAGCUAGGCAUGGGUGUGGCUUUGAAGUUCAAGCUCUUCCUUAGCAUCCUAAGCUCAGCUUCUUGUGUUUCCUGCGAGGAAACCAAGGAUUUUAUUAGAGGAGACCGGGAAUCUAAACAUUGUGACAUAAAACAGGGUCUAUGAGACAACCUUGGACUUGGCUUGCAUGCUAUUAAUUUCCUCUUCUUUUGCAUGAGUCUUCUCUUCGAGCUUGACAUAGAACUGCAGCAUACAAAAGCAGAAAUAUGAUUUUCAAUAAUUACGUUGUAGAGAGUGUAUAAGAAUUGUGAACCAAAAGACAAAACCUCUCUUCUCUUUUCAGCCCGUUGGUCGCAUUUGAAACUGAACCCGUAAUUUGGAAGUGCACCAACUUUACGAGGUUUUCCAUCGUCUGCUUUCGGACUACUAAGAAACCAUCAAGUUAAAGAAUCAACACAACUGUUAAAAAUGAGAGGCAAAUGCAGGAAGGCCUCAGCUUUCAGCAAGAAACAAGAAAGAAGAGCUGGUAAAUAAAGGAAAAAGUAAUACUUAGAAGACUGAGUAUCAUCUUCAGAUGUCUCAUGUGCUUGUUUCUUUUGAGGCUUUGGUUUCACCUUGUCCCUGUAUUAAAAAAGGAAAGAAAUUUCCAGUUUCAACGUUUGAUUAGGGACUAAAAGAGAAACGAGAAGACUUAGCACCACGAUCUGCAUGCCAUUUAUUGGCAAAUAUUUUGACUUUUAGCAGUGUACCCAUGAGAAGACCAAUAAGGAAAGAAACUCCAAAUUCAAAAAUGAGGACUCAAUACCCGGCAGCGCUUUCAGCAGGUGCAGAGUCAUGCUUCCCUUGCUGAUAGGGAAAAUGAAGAAAAUCAGAAAUAAUCUUCAGCCAGAAAGAAGAUCACACAAACAUAUGCAUAAGCCAAAGCAACGAAACCUAGCAGCAAAUUGCGAGGGAUGAUUACCUUUGUAACUUGAGCCUCUCUACCAUUGAAUGAUUUGCUUUUAAGAGGCUCUGUAGUCUGUGCAUUAGGAGCAACAGAACCAUUUGAUGCAGCCACUUUAGCGCCUGCAGUCUUGACCUCCUUGUUCUUUUUGAUGUGAACCGAUGGAAUAUUCUUACCACCAGAUAGUUUGUCAUGCUUUAGCUUCCGUUGAGCCUUUUCGCUUUUCAUACACAUUGAAUCAUCUACAUUUUCAACUUGUGUGCCCUACCAGGAGAGAAAACACAGAUUUUAAUUACAAGUGUUGAUAUGACAAGCUAGUAGAUUGACAAUCCGAAGUCGCAAACCUCAGCUGCCUCUUUGAGGUGUUCAAUAGCAUCCAAAGUGGAAAUGUUUCCCGAAUUCUGAUCCUGACUUUGUGAUUCAAUAGUAUCAACGGUUUCGUCAGACGCAACCCCAUUUUCUUGAUGACAGACACUUUCCGUAAUCAAGCCACCAUUAGCAAGAGUAGAGUCAAUCCCAUCAGCAACCAUGACACCUUCGUGGUCCAUAGUAAACUACAAAAAAAAACACAAAUAUGGAAAAGACGAAAUAAGAAUGAUGAGCACACCACUAAUUCAAGUUCCUGAGCAGACAAGUUGAUAAACUGAAACAUUUUUAAUCUGUAUUGUCAAGUAUGCCUAAAAAAAGGGAUUCACUUUAACCACAGCAAUUCCCGAGGGGUUAAUGAAGUGAGUAACAUAUCAAUCAACAUUGUCAGUGACAAAGAUUCAAGCUACAUUUUUAAAAAGUGUUGAAAGCACUCGUUUGUCCAAUACAUACACUCAUAAGCUAUACAUAAUAAUGUAUGAAUCCAUAAAUAAUCCCUAAAAAUAAGGUUUUUCAAAUCAACAUUUUCUGCCUACACUAGAGGCCAGGGGAUCGACGAGAGCAAAAUAUCCACAGAAAAAAAAAAAAAACCUAAUUUGUGAUUGGUGAAUCGAUCUAAGAAAAGAAAUCCGAGAAACGCAAAUCUAAUAUGGAAAAAGAAGCGAAUCUGAAGCAGGAAAAAAAAAAAGAAAGAAAAGAAAACUAAAUCUCGUGGUAGUGAGCUCUCACUAGUAAUGGAAAUCAGUUACAGUUUCGAUCUACCGACACUCAAAACAACAAUGAAAAGAAAACAGACAAGUAAAGAAGUAAGUUCCUCAGAUUUGUAAGAACAUCCGCCAUUUUACACACAGCAACCAAACAAAGAAGACUAUAACUUAAAAAAGAAAAAAAAAAAAAAAAAGACGCAAAUCUUGCUCACCAAAGGCAGUCCAAGGGCAAAUCAAACAUCCAUUGAAGCAAAAAAAAAAAAAAUCGAAGGGGAUUGGGCAGUAGAAGAAAGAGGAGGUUCUUUCACACAAGAGUUUUUGAGAUUUCGAUUUGUUUCGUAAGACUGUCUUUUUUUUUUUUUUUGGUGUGUGUGUGUUGGUUUUGGGUUUGNNNNNNNNNNNNNNNNNNNNNNNNNNNNNNNNNNNNNNNNNNNNNNNNNNNNNNNNNNNNNNNNNNNNNNNNNNNNNNNNNNNNNNNNNNNNNNNNNNNNCAAAAGAGCUCUGGUGUAGCAGAACUUCCUUGUUGUCUCUCUCUCUCUCUCUCUCUCUCUCUCUCUCUCUUUGUUUAAUUUUUAAAAAAAAACUAGACAGAGAUUUUUUUUCUUUUUUUUUUGGUUUGGAAGAGAAAAGGAAAAUGACAAAACAAAACGUUUUAAUAUUUAUUACAGCGGCUAUUUAUUCUAAAUCUAAGUGCCAUCAUUUUUUAAUUACGGUUAUUCUGCUGAUUUUUUGGUUUUUUUUUUUAAUUUUAAUCGUGUGAUUGUUGUGGACCUGUGGUGUUGGGGAGUUUAAUCAAAAGUUCAAAACUCUGAUUACCUUAUUUUUAUUCGUCCUUCAACAAUGUAUAUAUAUAUAUUGUUAAUUCUUUCACUUAUUGUUGUAUCGAGAACUAUAUAAUGAAUGACAUAUUUUUGUGUAACAUCCACUAACUGAAAUUUAGAUGGGACAUUAACAUAUGAAAAAAACUUUAGGUUAAAAGAAAAAAGUAGUUGGCGAAAAAAAAGAAGAAACAUUAAGUGGGAGUCCAGAUUAAAUAUUAGUUAUAAAAAUGGAAACCCGGAAUUAGGGGAGGUUUUGGAUAUGGUUUAGAUUGCUUUUUUCAUGUUUUGAUAUCUUUUAAAAAUACACUACUAAUGACUACUGGAGAAAGAGAGAGAGACGUGACCUUCUCAUUUUCUUAAAUCAAACGGUAUAAACUUUCAGAUUCGUCAUUAGUUUAUGGCAUUAUGCUUAAUUAUCAGCUUUUAUCAUCCCCCACACUGUUAUAAUAUACUUUACAUGGGACCUUUUUAUAUAUAUGUCUACUUAAUUUAAACCACCUUUAAUCUCCAAGCCAGCUCAUGGAAUCUAUAUUAUUUGUUUUUUUUUCCUACUUAAUUAACUAACGACCUUAAUUAUUAUUUUAUUAUGAACAUGUUUUAUUAACUAAACAUAUACUCUAUGAUCACUUGAUAAGAUACUUCAAAAUUCUACCCAUGUUUGUAAUUUAGUGGUUUCUUUUAAUUAUUGCUUUGUAUCAUAACUCCAUAUGCUUAUAUUUGCAAAUGUGCGUGUGUGUUCUGUAUAUUCUUAGAAUUUUUAUUAUAAAAAAUCAAGAGUUUGAUUAUUUCUUCUUAGACGAAUGUGAUGGUGCAAUUAAUUAUAUAAAUAUGACGUACCUUUUUCACCAAAUAUUUCAAAAAGUUGGAAUAUAUCAUUUCCCAUUUUAUGAAUAAAAAAAGUAGCAAGUGUUACUUAUUUAAAUACAUGCACCCACAUGUACACCUAUACUUUAAUUUCGUUGACUACAAAGAAAGUAAAUAGUUUUAUUCUCUCCAGAGCUCAUCUCAAACACUAUUAACCUUCAUUGAUUUUUAGACUACAUUCGCAUAUAUAUAGUUUUGGAUUUGAGAAUACUUCAAAUGAACUUUUGAAUAGAGUAAAAGUGUUUACGUCUCGUCUAGAUGCGAUAUCAAGAACACGUACGGUUCUUAAUAUUUCAACUUGUAGGUUUUUGUUACCUUAAAUUGCAAAACAUGAGAUGACAAAAAAAAAAAAAUCAUGUUCGUUCGUUUAGGUUAGUGAAAAAUUGAAUGUGGUUCCAGUAUGCUAUCUCACGUUUUUUAGUUAUAUAUAGACUACUAGCUUCAUGAGUGGGUUAUAUAUUAUACAUGUGUCCAUAUUUAAAUAGACCGUGAAAUAUUAGUAAAUUACAAAGCCUUGAUUUAGAAAAACACAAGUAUCCUCAACUAGUUAAGUUAGGGAUGCGUUUUCUAUUGCAUUGAUAAAUUAUAUAAUUAACUGAAAUAAUUAUUCAUUUCUAUAGUAGAAAAGUGGUAACACCUACCUAAAAAGUAUGAUUAUCACGGAGAGAGUGAUUAAAGAGUAAGCAAAGUGAUUAGACACAAAAACCUAAGAGACAAGUUGGUCCAGUGAUUAGGGUAAGAUACAAGUACAACAGUGACACCUUUCCUUUCCUUCUUUCUUGCUGCUUCUCAACACUUUCUCACUCCAUCAUCUCUCUUAAUCUACAUAUAAUCCCUAUUUCAUUAUGCUAUCUUUGAUUAAACUGAUAUAUAUUCACAACUGACAACACCGUGAGACUUUGGAUGCUCUAAACUUUGUGAAGUAUGGUUGCGAUUGCAGAUUUUGAUUUUAUGUUGGUCGGUGUAUAUCCUUGUUGGAAGAUUCGCUUCACCAUCCAUGUAUCAGUUUUAUCUUAUCCAAAUGAAUGCGAUUGUACUACUCUUUAGAAAAACAUUAUAAAAAAAAAAAAAAAAAGAUAAUGACUAGUAGCCAAAAAUUAUUGGUUGUUAUACAAACACACAUGUUAAUAUCUCUUUUGACAUAGAAACGGGCAUAUUCCUAUAACACACUACAAUAUCUACCUAUGACGAUUCGUACAUGACCUUUUAUUCAUUGGUUUUGUUUGUGUUUUGUGUUUUUUUUUUUUGGGCAAAAUUUGUGUUUUGUGUUUAUGAACCAAACAUAAAUAGUAAAAUCUACAUAAAUUGCUUUAAACGACAUAACUCGAAACUUGAAACUGUUAAAUCGUGCUGACUGCUGAAUAGAUAUGCUAUGCUAUUAAGGGAAAGCUUGUAAACACACAAGACUAUUGAAAAAAACGUCAUUGUUUUUUCGUUUUGUAAAGUGGUUAAAAUUACAAUUCAACAUAUUUAGUCAAUGGAAGUCAAACCAAACACCGAUUAAGUUUCGAGUAUAUCUACUGUUUAGUUUUGUAGUCGUAGUAGUAAGCAGAGAAACUUUUACCUUACUAGCAAAUAAGCAUUAUUAUCACCCAAAUUAUUCAGGCAUGUUUGAAACACUUAUGAGCUAACAAAAGAUAUUACUACUACACAUCAUAACUUAUUCCAUUUAGCCCCAGAAUUCACUAGUUUUUUAUAAGCAUUGGUGAAGUCUUCGAAGAACUUGUCUUGGUCUUCCGCAUAUCGUUUCACCCAUCUGUGCAUCAUCAAACCACAAAUCUAUAUCAAUUAAUAGUUUUCCAGAUCGCUCAUAUGACAUGAACAAUGUGCAACAUAUUCCAGUUUUAUCUAUGAGCCUAUAGUCCAAGUGUUCAGCACAUUACUCCACUCUACUAAAAUUAGUACUAAAGAGAAAAUUAGAUAAAUAAAUGAUAAGGUAAGAACGUUCAGAAACUGAGAAACCUUAAACACUCAUCAUCGUCCACUAAGGCAUGAUCCGAAGGGAGGCCGACCAUGCUCGUCAUUUUGGCUGCAUCAUAAGAACUUAACUAUGUAAAUGUAUAAUCUCAGUUUUACAAACAAUCUUCAGAACAUAGGGAGGAAUGGGUGGAAACUUAAAUUGUACGAGUUAAGGAACUUAAGAACUUUGUCAUCAGACUUACAAGCUGAUGUCCAUGGUUUUUCAAGAAGGAUUUUGUAGUAUGCAUUGUCAAAAACUGUCGGAUCCCCAAAGCCUUUACUCCCUAUCGUAUGUGCCCCAGAUAAAGCAACAAGCUCCUGAGUCCUGCAAUGGUACACAAACCCAUUGAUGUCGAGUUACAAAAUGCUGAUACAAAAACAUGUUAAAACAAUUCAUAGCUAUCUUUGUGUAACGACUUACGAAAAUCCUUUUCUUUUGAAGCAUUCUUUUAAACCAGAGGCACUCAGGGUUUCUGGAGGUAGCUUGCCUUCUGGAUCAGGUUGCCUGUAAACAUGAGAAAAUCACCCUGCUGGAAAUAUAGAAACAGUAACCAGAAAUCAAUCGAAUGAGGACUACAACCAUAUAUUGCUUACGUUGAAUCAAGUCUUCCCAAAAGUACUGGAAUUAUUGGGCCGCCACAUAUUGAAACUGCUUCUGAUCCAGCGACAGAGAUCAUAUCUGCCCAAGACACUGAGAUCACGCAGAUUGAGAACAUUAGCAACAACGCUCAUGACAGGACACAUAGUUCAAAAAGUAAGUACCUGGUUGUAUCUCAUCAACCUUAAUCUUUGCUUUUGCUAGAACCUAGCAAAGAAUACAUCUACCAAGAAGAUUAGUAGAUGCAAUUUUCGAAUGUAACAUAUUUGAGAUACAAGAGCAAAUAUAUACAAAAAAGGCAGUUACGUAGAUGCGAAAAUUACAUCUUUAUAUGCUCACGCUAACAGAUUAAAGAGAGGGAUUUAGUGCCUUUAAGGAUUUCUUCAAACCAGUGUUUUCAGGUCUCUCAAGUUCAUAUGCAAUAGACCCGUUGAUGCCACCUGCAAUUAAAUUCAUAACCAAAAACACAAUUGAUCUUAGCUAGUGGAUUGCAGUAUCUUUUACUGAGAAAGCAAGAAAAGAUAACCAAUAGAAGUGAUCUAACAACCAAAUGUUUACACUUUAAAACUUAUCUGUUUACCUGAAUUAUCUUCCAGCUCAAAGGUUCCAGCAUCAUGAAACACUAGACGAAGCACACCAGCAGCCUUACCCUUUGUCACGACUUUCCUUAUUUCGUUUUGCAUCACUGGAUAAAUGCUGUAAUCCAACAGUGCGAUUUGCAAAAUUAGCACAAGACCUUGGAAUACAAUAGCUUGAAGAACACUGAUCCAAAUAACCAAACCAAAAUCCAGCUUCAAUUUUUAAGACUCACUCAGCUGCCUUGCCAUAUGGCGGAACCAAAUGAGACAGAAGCUGCACUGUGGACAACAUUACAACCAUUUUUCUUCUACUGGAAACCAAAUCAGGACGCCAACCUAGAAAUUAUGCAGAAACAGAACAACCUCAGCACGAAUCGGACUCCAAGCAUUUGAAGUUUUCCAAUCGGACCAAGCAUUUCAUUUCAAAUUAUAAAACGAAGCUAUUCUGUUCCGAGAUCGACGGAAAGAGGAACCUUAGAACAGAAAUGUUUAAGGAUACUAGAAUCCGGUCUUACCAGGAUCAUCGGAGACGCAACGAAUACGCCAAGCUCUUAACGUUCUCACAACAUGUUUCCCGGUCACCGGAGGGAGCAGUCGCGUUUUCGCUGGAAGUUUGAAUUUGAAAGAAGAAGAAGACGAGUCGCACCGGAAAAGAGAAGUCUCCAACAGUGACGCAGUCGUCGCCGUCGUCAUCUUUAACGGUGGGACGAGAAUCACCGAGCCUCAGCUCAGUUUUGUGUAAUACGUAGUUUCUAUCUUCUACCCUCAGGUGUACAGUAAGCAAAAGGUUAUAGCCAAUAGGAAUCGAUGCUGAGAGAGAGAGAGAAAAGUAAUAAGAACAUACGGCAUGCAGUCCGAAUGAGUGACGUAACAAAAUAAUUUAAAACGACAAGGAGUUCUAUAAUAGUUGAGGAAAACGACGUGUAAUCCAUUUAAUAAAUCUCGGAACAUUACAAAACUGAGAGAAGAUGACUAUUCUUUCAAGAUAUAACACACAAACAAUAUACAAUAAUAAUAUAUGGUGAGCCAAAAACCUAUUAUAAGAAUCUAAAAACUGGCUAAAAGAAUAAGAAAAGAUUGCUAUCUCGGACCGGAGAGUCUGACGGCGGAGAGAUAAUUCUCACUGUUACAAUCGGAUGGUCCAGAUGACGUAGUAGCACCACCAUCCUCACUGAUCGACUUAAAGAAGCUUGAGUAGAGCCUUGAUCCCAUAGUGGAAGAAGUAGGUGGCUGAACCACCGGGAAAACUCCUUCAAGCAUUUGAACAACUUUGCUCAUCGACGGUCUCGUUUGCAUAUCUUCUUGUAUACACCAAAGUGCAGUUUUCAUCGCCCUUUGAACCCUUUCGUCAUUCACAUCAACAUUCUUCAUCUUCCCAUCAACGAUCUCCAUAAGCUUCCCUUCUUCCAUCUUCUUGAAAGCAAAAGAAGGAAAGUGGCAUUUCUCCGAAGUUUCUGAUGGAUCAUAGUUCUUUCUUCCUCCUAUUAACUCUAGCAACACCAUUCCGUAGCUGUAAACAUCGCUCUUCUCUGAGAUUGCGUAGUUUGUGAUCCAUUCGGGAGCCAAGUAGCCUCUUGUCCCGCGCAUUGUUGUGAAGACAUGGCUUUGUUCACGGGUCAUGAGCUUCGCGAGUCCGAAAUCAGAUACCUUGGCAUUGAAGUUAUCGUCUAAUAGGAUGUUCUCAGGUUUUAUAUCGCAGUGGACAAUCCUUGCAUCACAGUCUUCGUGUAGAUACGCUAAACCUUUGGCUGUUCCGAGUGCGAUGUUAAAUCUUGUGUCCCAAUCUAACAGACAUUCUCCGUCUUUUUUCCUAAAUAUCCAUCUCUCCAACGAACCUUUGGAUAAGAACUCGUAAGCGAGAAGCCUAUGAGCCCCUUCUGCACAGAAUCCUCUGAGCCGCACCAAAUGCAGAUGAUGAAUGCUUCCAAUUAUACUAACCUCGGCUCUGAAUUCUUUCUUGCCUUGACCAAUUCCUUCAAGUUUCUUCACAGCCAAACGAGAACCAUCCGGUAAAGUCCCUUCAUAGACCGAUCCAAACCCUCCUUGACCUAACUUCACUGAGAAGUUAUUCGUGGCUGACUGAAGAUCUUUGUAAGCGAACCGGAUAGGCAUCCCGGAUAAAUUCUCCAAGAAAUUGUCCUCCUCUGAACUCUCUUGAGGAGCCUCCAAUAUCAUUUUCUUUCUCUUAUGAAUUCGGAAGGCCACAAAGAUCAAAACGGCGAUGAUGAAAAUCGUCACCACGACAAUGAUCACUAUAUAAGGAAAAUGUUUCCCAUCACCUUCUCCGUUAUCUCCACCUCCCGCACCAGUACCUGCGAUCUUGAUGUAAGACACAAACCCAGAGCCUCCAUUGCCAGAGUUUUUAAAGCUUCCAAUCCAAUCAAACAAGAAGCAGUUACCAGAACUGUUCUGGAAGAAAAGACCUAGGCAUGAGCAAUUGUUGUUGCAGAACUCUUUACAGCUAUCAAGAUCGGUUUUUUUGGAGAAGGGAGGAGCAAACCCGACAGCGAAAUAAUCUACACCAUCUCCAGCAUUUACUAGCUGCAACGGCAAUGUUGCAUUAUCCUUGGUUUUCUUACAGGGAGAAGUGAUACCGGUUUUGCAAUCAGACCGAGCCCGAGACAACCCGGGCACACAUCCACAUACUUUAGAACCCGAGCAGACGUAGUAAGACCCACAAGGCUCGGGUGUUGAGCACAGAUCACUCGGGAUUUUAGUAGAAGAAUCAGCAACAGAUGCUCCGCUUCCAAGACUUGAGAAAGAGAUGGCACCGUUGUUUCCCAAAACAGCGAUCCAAGUUGCGUUAUCAUCUUUGUUUUCUGCAAAAAGAAACUGCCAUAACAGAACCUGUUUCUCAUCAAAGAAGCGCCACGAAUUCCCAAGGAGAGACGAUGAAGUCACUACGCCGUCUUUGUUGAUGAUCCUCUCUCUGGCAUUUUUCAUUGACCAAUACGCUUGAGGGGUCAAGCUAUUCACAGAUAAAACCAUAUCUCCUGAUUUGAUCUCAAGAGCAUAAGUCAUGUUGCUCGAAGAAGGAUUGCUAGUGAGCUUCAUGCCUUGUUUAAAAGCUUGAUUCGUUAUCAGAGUAUCUGUGGGAUGAUCAAAACUCUCCCAGAUCGAAGUUCCGUCAGCCGAAACAACGACGAGAUUCCCCGAGUCACGGAGCUCCAUUCUUGAAGCUUUUUUGCCUGAAUUAUCUAAUGUCCAAACAUCAGUUCCUCCGUUUUCUUUACGCAGCACCACAUUCCCGUUGUCUUCGAACACAAGCUUGUCGGAAUUGGAAACAGGGGAAGCUCUGUUCGCCGACCAGAUCAGUUUCGUGGUGCUCUUGUGGAUGAUGCUGAGUGUGAACUCAGUGACAGAAGCUUCUGUAGUUAUGAAACCGAAACCAAAGUCAGAGUUGUUGGAUUCGAGGAAGAGACCGUUGUUGUUGAUGUAAUUCAUCUGAGAUCCUCCAAAACCUGGAGCGAUGCUCCCGAUGUACGCGACACCGGCAAGUAGAGGAUCCGGUAAGAAGACCAGACACGUUACGAAGACGAUGAAGACGCCUCUCAUGGUCUUCUUCGAAGAUGGUGAGAAUUCAGCUGAAAUUUUUACAGAAAUGGACAAGAAUAAACCCUUUUAAAAAGACCUAAACUUUUUUUGUAUCGUGGAUGAGGUCAAUGGAUCUGAGAAAAGGGAAAUUUCCAGAAAGAUGCAAAAAGACAAAUCUCAAAGCCCUGGCAGGUGAAUAGUAAGCUCUGUAAAUAGAAACUGAUUGUUCCUAGAUUUAUUACAGAACCCGAGAAGAAGAAGAAGAUGACGUGACUGAGACAAACCGAGUAGAAGAAGCAAACAGAGACACAAGAACUCGCCUUGGCGUUGUUGUUACAAAGCUUAAAACUUUCCGACGAUGUCAGACCGGAAUUCAGAUGGCAGAGAGAGAGAAGAAAGGAGAGAAAUUGAUAAAAACCCAGAAACUGAAACAAGGAAAAUAGAAGUGGAGAUUAAUUUAGGGAUUGGAAACAGUUUUGAUUUGUUUUUGCCUCUCUGUCUCACAUUCAAUGAUGUUUGAUUUUGGUCUUAUUUUGAUGGAGAAAGACGACAAGAGGGGGUUGAGAGAGAAGGAGGAGAGAGAGAGAAGGAGGAGAGAGAGAGAUGCAGCAGCAGCAGCGAGAGAGAGAGAGAGAGAGAGAGAGAGAGUCUUUAAAUCUCUCUGAGCCGUUUCCUUCAAAUCCGUAUCCUUUUUAUCUUUCCCUCUUGUGACCGUCACAAUUUGUUUUGGACAGAUCCGACCACUUGGAGGAGGAGAGGUUUCUUUCUCUUUUCAACCUAACAUGUUCUUUAAAUGUUUCCCUAAACCUCCCCCCUCCCCUUGUGACUUUUGACUUUUCAAAGAAGAAGACGAAGCCCACCGAUCUACUUAUACUGGAUUGAUGAUUAUCGCAGCUUGCAGAAAAGGUUUCGAUCAUACACCAAAUACAAAAGUAUAUCUACUAUUACUAUGUGCGUGAAAUAAAGUUGAAGAUUUGUUAAAGGCAAACACAUUAAAUUUUUAAAAAAUAAUAUAUCAUUGACGACAUUUUUAUUAAUGUAUCAUGGGUAAUGGUUGAAAAUGAAAACUAAUCAAGUUUUGUGACUGCUAACAAACGUGUUGUGUAUCUAACGAAAUCGGAAUUUUGAGUUUGUGUUGUAUGUUUUGCAUUCAAAAUGACCGAUUUUAGUUGAUCACCCAUAGUUUAAUUAGUCAUUUACUCAUUAGUUGAAUCUAACUAAUCUUUUGGGGGUAAAGGCUAGUGGAUUUAUUUUCCACCUGAAAAUAUAUUACUAAAUGAUAUAAUAAAUGAAACAUGUGGAAGAAAAUGAAAAAAAAAAAAACCAUUACUCUGCUAUCUAUAGUCUGCUUUAAAUGAAGGGUCCCGUAUCCAGCUAAUUUUUUUUUCUUAAUAUGUGUUUAUCUUAUCAUAAAAAUAAUUUAGAGAACACACUUGUUUAUUUCUGAUUAGAAUUCAAAGAUGGAUCAGCAAACUUGAAAAUAGUUUGGUUUGGUAUUAACAACAUUAAAACUGUGUCUACUUUGACGGAUGAUGAUGAUGGUGAUUCAACAACACACAGAACAUGACUAAUUCCUCUGUUUCAUUAGUUUCUCCACAGUAACUUUUACCGUAAGAAAAGGAAAAUAGUUCCUACCUUUAAAUUUUUGUCAACAAAUAAGUACCUAACCUUUUACUUUCCCUCAUUAAUUGGGAAAAAAAAGAGAGGAUAUCAGCUAGUAGUAAAAUAUAUAUAAAGAUUAGGGCACUUGAAAAUAGAUUAAGAACUAUGAUUUCAUUAUUUUUCCUUUUUUUUUAUGGGACCAUUUAUGGUUUAUACUUUAUAUAGGGUUUUUUAAAAAUAGUAAUUUAAACUGUUUUUUAUUUUUAACAGAAAAAAAAAAUAACGUGGCCGGAAGUGUGAAAUUUGUUAAGGUAUGGGGGGGGGGGGAAGACGGAGUACGGAUGCCAGCUGGCACACUUAGACGUAUCUCAUUGCUCUGUACUUGUUAUUAGUUACAGUACUUAAGUUGCCCAUGAUCUAAGUUCAAUGCUGAAAUGACUGAUAUACCCCUGACUGUUGAAAUAUGGGACCAAAUAACUACUUUUUUUCCACGACCGACGACGUGUGGGUUUGGUUUGACUAUAAUGGUUUGAUCUUUCUCUUCUUCUACGAGAUCAUCAAACCUUUUUCAACGGCCAACCUUAUUCAAUAAUGAAUACUACUACAAAGGUGAUAAAUCACUUUACGUUUUGUUUUUUUUUUGGUGUUUAUACAUUGAUAGAGAUACCGAUACUUGCUAGUAGUAGAAUAGAAUACGAAAGCAUGAUUAAUGGUUACGAUCUAUUCCGAAUCUUUAUUUGAAAUCAUAUGCCAAUUGCUUACUAUAAAGAUCUCAUCAGGUUUCGGAUAAAACCUUCAUGCAAUGCAUGCUCAUUAGUCCUCGUCCAGGUCUUUAAUUUUUUCCCAUUUCUUAAAGAUCAUUACUAAUCUAAAUUCAGCUAUAUAUAUUUUGGUUUAUAACUAAUCGUUAUAAAAAUUAACAAAACCUACAAUAUAUAACUAUUUAAUUCUUGAAGAAAUUGUUAUCUUAUUAAUUAUCGUGAUCCAAAUUUCAUCAUAGUUGACUGUUAGACGUACAUACGACAUAUAUAAAGGUUAUACCUAAUUAACCUCCCCGCCAUUUUAUUAACAUCUUUAUAUUGUGUUUUUGUUUUUCUCUCCUCGUGAACCAAGUCAAUCAUCUGGAAACUUUUACGUACAUGUCUUUAAUAUUUGUAGCGAUACGAGAGAGUAGAGAAAAUAUUCAACUCUUUGGAUCGACAGAUCCUCCAAGGGGGCUAUAUAUAUAGGGGUAUAUGAAGUAUAAUAUAUGCAUGCUUAUAUAGUUUUGAACUUAAAUAAUUGAUAUUGAUUGUUCAAAUGUAAAAUGUGGUUGGGGGUUAAACUUCGUUUUAAUGUCCCGCAAUCGUCUACGCCAAUAUUCAAAUCCCCCAGUUAUUAUAAAUUUCUUCAGCAAAUUAGUUGGCGAAUCGCCAAGUGUAUUCCAGUUUUUGUAAUAAUAUUAAAAAAACUAAGAAGCAUUAAGUUGUAAAAUACCAUUAUAAAAAUAAAAUAAUGCAGGACUAAUAGUAACGGAUUAUCAGAGUGAUUCGUCGUGGCCUAAACAGUGACAGCACAAGAGGCAUCUUUCUACGCCCCUAAACCUUAAAUGCAAGUUACUCAUAAACAUGCAUCUCCCACUAUUUUUCAUAUACGCACUCUCACACAUUUAUGUAUGUCCGUCCACUUGAUAUGCUAUAUUGUGUAUGAUUUCUAAAUAGAUAUAUAUAUAUAUAUUUAGAUAUAUACCAAUAUAUGUUAUAUGAUUACGCGUUCUCACUUUGUUCUACAAGUCUUUUUCUCAAUAAUAUUAUAAGUCAUUUUACUUAUAACUUGAUUUUAUAUGUUUUUGUCUCAGUGAAUUCCGUGUGAGUUAUUUCGUAUUUUCGUCCAUUACAUAUUGUUGAUAUAUCUAUGUAUAUUUAUUUGUUAUUUGAUUCAUAAAACACUCGUUAUCUUAUCUAUUAUAUAGACGGAUUCGGGUAUUGAUUAUACCGUAUGGCUAGGCUACCAAAAUACCUCACCAUGUAAAUCUAUUACAAAAAAUGUGAACUCUGGCUACGUAGCUUUAUCAAGAAAGUUUCGUUCGUUUUCUUCUUCUCCAUUACAAUUCAUUAAAAAGAGUAUUAAAAAAGUUUCAGUUCACACAUCGUCUAUUCCUUUCUAGCUACAGCUUUUAAAAAGGAAUAAAAAGAGGAGCUGGUCUAAAGAUCUGCAAAGCAGUUAAUUAUGGACAUUGAAGAAUAACUAAGACUUUCUUACUUUUUAAAAAUACAAAAAAUUUGGACAUGAUUCCUAGCUAAUACUUUAACUACUAUCUGCUAAUCACAAGCAUUUAUAAGGUUUGUUGACAGCUAUUACUUGUAAAUGUGACAUAUCGCUUUACUCGUUUUGUUACCAUCGUUAAUUUUUUUUUUCUUUUUUUUUUUGUGUGGUAAGUUCAUCAAAUAUUUAAAUUUGUUACUGUUGGUCUUACAUAUAUUUCUCUUCUUAUCAUGCAUAGAGAAAAACUCGUAUUUGUAUAACUAUAAAACACCCGCAUGUCGAGAAAGAAACUAUAACAAAUUGUUAAAUAUUAUAUUCAUAGCGUAGGAAUAAAACAUAUGCUUUUUGUUUAAUUUUCUUUGGCAGAGGUAUAUAAAUAAAACACGUUAAAAACUAGGGGAAAUUUGAAAAUUUUGUAGUUAACAAAAAACAAAACAUAGGUUGAAACAUGUUUGUUUCAACAUAUUAUUUUCAAAAUACUUUAAAAUUCCCUUUUUCUUAUUCCUCUUGUCGUUUUUAGAUAACUGUUAUAUAAUUAACAUCUGCUAUUUAUGUUGGAGAACUCGAUCUAUAAUUACGUAGAACAAUAUACUCAAAACCAAAAAAAAAAAAUCUGUUGCCAUAUAAAAAAUAACAACGUAAAUUAGUUAUUUCAUGUUACAUAGAUAUACAUAUGUAGAAGUGCAUACAUUAUUACGUGUGUAGGCAUGUGUGUUAACAAGAAUCAGCAAAUCUUAUCUUAGCAUAUCACUUGUAACAAAAUAAAAUAUUAUCUUGUACAUAUAGGCAAAGUUCGUCAUGUCUCUUCCACUACAAUCAUACGAAUGAUCUCAUUAGAUAUCAUCAUGAACGUGGAAGCCGUCAACGUAUGACUAAGAUUUCUCAAUGCGUUUUUAUAUUAGUUGUUACCUAAUUCAUCAAUAAUGGUUCGUUUAAGUCCAAGAAAUAUAUAUAAUUACUAUAAAUUCAUGAGAACGGUCCUUUCGUGUCAAACCAAUACGUAGAGAGUCAAUUGGUUCACGAUUUAAUAAAAUUGGAACUACUUGGAUCAACUUUUAGGUAAGACAUAAAUUUUGUUUCUUGUACUUAUGCAUAUAAUAAUGGACAAGGUUGGAGGAAAUGAUAAAGAAAAGCUUUACUCGUAAUCCAAUGAGAAAUUACUUUUGUGACAAGAAUUAGUAAACUACAAAAAGCUUAAUAUAGCCCUUUUAAAAAAUCUUACUUUGCCAAUGUUUUCAACAAUGGGCUGCUUGGAAAAAUGCUGAGAAAGGUUUCGUUUCCCACAGCCACGGGUUGAUAAGAUUCGUAUUAGGUGAAAUUUAAAAAUUGACGAGGUCUUUCAGGUUGUCACAUGGAAUGAGUAAAGUUAUGCUUCUGGAUUAAUCGUAUUCGGUUCAAUGGUUUUUAACGUUAAUAUAAAGCGAGAAAUAUCUUCCCUUCUCUUAAGUUAUAAUAUGUGCAAUUGCAUUACUUUAGCUCAGCUUAUACAAAAGAUUUGGUUGGUGAGAUAGCUUUUGCAUCUGAGAUUUUUCUUCUUUGAUUCAAAUAGGAAGUCUAAAUAUGUAGUACAGCUGGAUGAUGGUUUUAAAAUCAUAGAACAAAUCUACAAUUAUAUACCUAAAUUAAUGUGUACUUUGAAUCUCAUGUGAAUUGCAACUCCACUGGGAUUUUUUGUCGAACAAACAAUUUAACAAAAUCUCUCUCAAAAUUUGUAACAUGUGAGUCAGAAUGCCAACGGAUCUUUACGCUCGAUUACUUACCAUGAACAUUAUUAAAUACAUAACAGUGUAUUUAGCUACGGUAUGAAAUAGUUUUCUACAUAUAUGCAUGGGAAGCUAUAGAAUGAUUUUUUAACGUUUCCAUUAGAACCAUCAGCAUAUAAGACCAUAUAUAUGUAGAUAGAUAUAGUUUGUCCAACUUUGUCAUUUGAGACACGAAAGGCAUCAACCAUAUGACAAAGAUGUUCUUCAGCCCACUAGCAACUAAAUAGGCCUAUAAAACAAUGUUCUUCAGCUCAGAAAAGCCCAUUGCAGAAGAGCCUGCUAGUGUCAUCAAUUGGUUUCCCAGAGAAAAGGAUCAGACAGAGUAUUCUAUCUAACGUUCUUCGGUGGAGAAUCCAAUGUAUGUCAUUUACUAUGCUUGUUGUCAUUUGUGAAAACAGAGAUGCAGAAUGGGCAUUUCUCGAACUGUGCAAUGUAAAAUUAAGUCUGGUGACUCGAGACUGAUGCAAGAGAAGGAGAAGAAGAAGACUUCAUUGAAUGUUUUAGUUUUACUUCAUCUCUCUAUUUACAUGUUCACAAACACCUAAACCUAGAGAGGAGACUAAAGACUCGCUCAUUCCUUCUAACACAAGACUCGCCAAACAAAACUCAAUCUUGCCCUCUUUUUUUCAGCUGCUGAUGUUGCUGCUGCUUAUCUUACUUCGUUUUUGCGUAGGCUUACUAGGACCUAAGCGCAGAGAUAGAUCACAUUCACAUCCACCAAAGGUAAUGCCAUUUGUUGCAUCUUUGACACUCGCCGGUCUGCUGUUCUUGGACUUGCACGAGUCAGUGAUUGGUCGGAACGUAUAGAAUAAAGGGUAGGCUGAGUACUUGGAAACAGUGCAUUUCUCGACCCGCUUCUCUUGUGCUACUGCAAGAUUCUUUGGAACAAAGUUGUUCGGUUUCAUGAAAACUUGGGACAAAAUGUUGUCCAAGUUAGUUGAGCCUUGGCUAAGAUAACAUCUGGGGUUUAUGUUACGUUGGCUCCUUGAAGUUUUCCUUGGCGUGCACCCCAAAUGCAAUGCAGCUACAAAAUAAACAAGACUUGCUCAUUGACCUUAGCCAGUGAUCCCCAAGAACUCGAGUAUAGAGAAUAUUGUAUUUGUAUACCUUCUAUACAAGGCUGAAGAAAUUCACCACUUUCGGUGGUCUCAUCAAGUCGUAUGAUGGUGUUGAUGGCUUCGUUUGUACGGUCUAAAAGGGUCGUCAUGUCCAUAUACUCAGCCUAACAUAAAAGCCACUAUAUAUAUAUCAAAAGGUUUCUCAAAAUGAACACAUCCAAAAUUCUCUAAAUCAACUCCAUAAAUAAUGACAUUAAAUAAAUCUCACUGUUCAAAGAGGGCAAUAAAAAAGCAAUACAUAAAAAUUGGAAUACCAAUGAGAAACAAUCUUUUCAUUGAGAAUUCAAACAAAACCCAAAUGGAGAAAUUAAGAAAAAAUGUAAAGAAGGAAAACCUCAGAAUUGGCUUUGGAAUACAUGAUUUCUUCAGCUCUCAAGACAACAACAGGGAGCUUCUCUUGCCAUUCUGUGUUCUUCUUGGUGGAUUGGCUGUGAAUCUCACAUACAAUCCUAUAAACAAAACGUUGAAAGAAGAAUUGAGCUGAAGAAACACACAAAGAAAGACAUGCACACACCUAUACAUACAUACAUAUAUAGAUACAAAGGGAGUGAGGGAGAGAGAGAGAAGAUGAUGACCUGAAAAUCUCUUGGAUGAGCAAACCCCUCAUGGGUUGGUGUCUGUCACUAUGCCAAGCUCUUCUGAUGCAGUCGUACGGUCUUGGCCCUGGCCUCGGCAUCUUCCACCACUUUCUUUUUUCUUUCUUUUUUUUUCAAUGAGAGAGAGAGAAAAAGACACAAAGUAAGAUUGUUUGUCUUCCCCUCAGUUCCACUUCUUCUCUCAAUAAUUUGAGUGUGGUGUGGGGGAGAGAGAUUAGUCCUGUCAAAUUGGUCCGGUCUAGUCCGGUUUAGUCCGCCUAUAACUUUAUUUUAAUUUUAUGGUCCGGCCUAGUCUGUAUAGGGUUGCAGUCCGCUCAAUAAUUUACUAGCAGCAACAAGAAAAUAAAACUAUAGCAUUUACCAAAUUAUCUUACUAUGUAACUGUUUGAGAAUAAUUUUGGACUGUGACUGGUCUAUUUAAAAACGACAACUUGCGUCAAAGCAACCCAUAAAAAAAAGUUGCGGAAAUCUUCGGUCUCUCGGUCUAACUUGAGAGGAUAGAAGAUGUUGCAAUCAUGUACUAUUAAAGAUGAUUGAUCCGGCUUUCACAUUUUCAUUGGUCUCAACUCUCAACCCUUCUUCUUUAAGCAUCUCUAAAUGAAAAGUAAAAAAGCUAACGACUUAAUGCCUAAAGUUUCGUUUUUACACAUCAAGCUAUUAAAUCGUUUCGUUGAAGUAAGAAUCUUGAGAUUUGCUUUCGUACCACUUCUCUAACCUUUUACCAUAAUCUUCUGAUCUCUGACAUUGAAACAUUCACGAUGAUGUCCACACAAAAAAAAUAACAAAAAAGAAUUAUAUGAAUUGACAAAAACAAGUACAACAAAUAAAGUAAAGAAGGUCUGAAAACAUCAUAGAAGACCCAUCAUCCUAAAACCCCCCUUAACUAAAUGUGCCUCGUCGUUAGUGAAAGGCCCAAAAAGUCAGAUUUUAAGGCCCAAGUAUAAUGCAUGUCGGCCACGUGGACCACCGUACAGAGAAACUCGUAUCCAACAAACAAAAGCUGUGUGAGACAAAAUCGUUUCCUAAAACGGAUACGAUUACGAAAAUUCACGCAGCAGCCACGUGAUGUCAUUUACAAGCAGCUACCCCGUCAUCCAACGGUUUCAAUCUUUCCACGUGUACAUAACUAAAGACCUGUCCAUUAAUUAAAUCGAAUUACUUAUUAUGACUCUCUCUUUAAUGUAACUUUAACACUAAUCAACGAAUCAAAUUCGUAUUUACAAAUCAAAGAUUAUUAUGUGUGGGCUAUGAUCUCUCGUCGAUUCAUUUAUAACGAACUAAUCAAAGUACAAGAAAUGACAACCAAGAAAAAGAAUUCAAUUCAUACUUUAGAUAAAAUAUACUAUAUAGUACACGGAUCAAAUUAGGCGAAUUAGUGGCCAAACAAAAUUUAAGAUCGUUUAAUUAAAUGAGAAACUCACAAGAAGAGUAGGAGAGAAAAAAGAAAUACUAUAUGUUUCUGUAUAAAAAAGAUGUAAUGUCCAAAUAUGAAAUGCCAUUGAAAUUGAAUAUUUAUCUAUAAUUAGUAGUCCAAAAUUUUAAAUAUAAUUUUGCCUAAUGUAAGAUACAAGUUGCACCAAAUCCCACUCUCUCUCACUCUAGAAAUCCCAACAAAUGUCGUUGUUUCUCUCUCUAAAAAGCAAAAGCAGUCACUGAGUUAAUAGUAUUAUUUUCCUAAUCGUCCGGUGAGUAAGAGAUGCUAUCUCCGACGUUGUUUCCUCUCUUCUGCGCUUUGCUUCUUUGUCUUCCCGUUGCUGUCAUCUUCACGGUUCAGCGAGAACUUACCGGCUUUGUUUCGCCGCAGUUUGGUUUCCGCUCUCUCUCCGUCUUCUCUCUCUACUCUCGAAAUGUCCCAGAGUCUUCUUCUCCGGCGGUUCGGAUUCGACAGCCGAUACCUAAAGACGACGAGGCACUUCUCCGGCUAGCAUCUCGGGUUAACCCGAAUCUGCCUCCCGGUUCGACCAGGAAAGUGGCUUUUAUGUAUUUAACGACGUCGCCUCUUCCGUUCGCGCCACUUUGGGAGAUGUACUUCAGUGGGAGCUCUAAAGAUCUUUACAAUGUCUACGUUCACGCGGAUCCGACCGGAGAUUACGACCCGCCUUUCUCCGGCGUGUUCAAGAACCGGGUCAUUCACUCUAAACCCUCGAGUAGACUCUCACCCACUCUAGCCGCGGCGGCGCGUCGGUUGAUAGCACACGCGCUUCUCGACGAUCCGUUGAACUACAUGUUUGCCCUUAUCUCGCCUUCGUGCGUACCGAUUCGCUCCUUUGGCUUCGCCUACAAGACACUGGUCUCGUCUCGUAAGAGCUUCAUCGAGAUACUCAAGGACGAGCCGUGGAAGUUCGACAGAUGGGCGGCGCGUGGGGAAGAAGCGAUGCUCCCGGAAGUGGCGCUCGAGGAGUUCCGUAUCGGGUCUCAGUUCUGGGUUCUGAAGCGGAGACAUGCGCGUGUGGUGGCGCGUGAUCGGCGUAUAUGGGCGAAGUUUAACCAGACGUGCGUGCGGGAAGACACGUGCUAUCCUGAAGAAAAUUACUUUCCUACCCUUCUAAAUAUGCGGGAUCCACGUGGAUGUGUCCCGGCCACGCUGACUCACGUGGAUUGGACCAUUAACGUCGAUGGUCACCCGCGGUUGUACGAGGCCGAUGAGGUCGUGCCUGAGCUGAUCGUGCGGCUCAGAGAGACUCGACCAAGAUACGGCGAGGAUGGAAUCAACGGUUCAGAAUGGUCUGCGGUUGAGCGGAUGGAUCCGUUUCUGUUUGCUAGGAAGUUUUCUUCGGAUGCACUAGAGCCAUUGUUGGAUAUGGCUCGAACCGUCUUGUUCAAUGACUCAGCUGGAGCUGUGUUGUGAGUGAGAGUCGAAUGGUUUUUUUUUGUUUCUAAUGGCAUUGUUGUAAAUUCAGUUUUAGUUAUAAUUGUAAUUUAAAAUACUUAGGUAGCUGGGAAAUAACAAAAAAAAAAACCCAAGUCUACGUUCCAUUAUCGUGAGUAAAAGCAUACUCGUACAACUCGAAUCUCAUCCUAUCGGACGACGAUAUUGAAUGGAACAGUUGACAAAGAAAAGAGAGAUAGUUAAUGGGACUUGAAAAUGAUGUGUGUUUUGACUUUACACUGGAUUUUAUGCAAGAGAGAAACUAGGAAAAUGAAAUUGGAUAAAUGUGCAGAGUUUAAAGAUAUAUCACUUACAAAAUGUAUUUAUCUUAAAAGAUUUAGUUGAGAUGGGGGGGAAUAAGUUAGCGAAGAUGGGGCUUAGAUUCGUCAACACUUGAGUUUGGCUGUCGCUUAAAGACCACACACCCAUAAUCAUCGUCUUUGCCUCGUGCUCUUUUUCUCCUUUUUUUUUACCUUUUUAAUUUUCAAAGAACUUACAACUACAAGUCUACAACUACAAGCCCUGAAUCGCGUGAUAGACAGUUAAAGAGUGACUUGUUUAAUGACAAAAUUAUAUAUAUAGGUGUCUUUCUCUUUCGUCAAUUAAUAUUGAUGAUUUUAAUCUCAUGAUUUUGUGUUUAGGUUACGAUUCUGCUGAGAACACACGUAAACGUGCCGAGUUCCUCAAAAUCUUGUGUUCAGAAAACCGUAGAUUCGACAAUUCACUAAUAUAAUCGAUCUCUAUUUCAAGAGAAAGGAUCAAAUAUAUAGGAGAGAUACUUGGAAAGAAUGGAUCAUGUUCUUCAUUGCCUUCCUCAGUUUUUGUAUGGAGCAAGCUGUAAUGAAGUUAUUGCAUUGUUGCAUAUAAGAAAACGCUACCAGAUCUUUUGCAAUAGGGGCCGGAUUCCCUUUUGUUUUUUUUUUUUUUUUUUCUUUCUUUCUUCUGAGCUUUCUUUGAUAGUUAAAUGCAUGUAAAAUUUCAUUGUUACAAAAUGCUACCAGAUCCUUUGGUUACAUUUCCAAAACUUUUAAUGCAUACAACAACAUCGAUAAGGAAGGUCCAUUUCAAACUUUAUACUUUGCAAGUUAAAAUCCAGUUGAUGAGAUCUAAUAUCAACGACAGUUCAUAAAAACACUAGCUCAAAAGUCCAAGUCAAUUUAUUUGUUUUCUUGUGAAUAGAAUAUAUAGAUUAGUAAUUUAUCGUGCUAUAUCUAUGCAUGUUGUUAUCAAAUACUAUUGGAGUUUUCAAAAAAAAGGUUUUUGGGGACCAAGUGUGAUAUUAACGAGUCAAUUAACUCCAUUAUAUAUCUUCACUAAAAACAAUAUCUAUUCUAAAUUGAGAAUAUGCUUUAAUUAUUUUGACGAUAUGGGGACUAUCUAAAUUGUCAAAUGUCGAUAACUCAUUACAACUUUUAAUUAGGUAGUCCAAUUACCUCCACUAUGGCUUUCCUUUGUUGAGUUUUGCUCGUCCAACUGUAAUAUAAAACUCGUAAACUGUAUUCUGAGGGAACUGAACAGAACAGAUUCUGUUUUGCCACUUCAAUGCCAUGGAGUUGUAACUUGUAAAGGUACCUAGUGGUAAGAGAACCAAAGAUUGAGGAUAAUUAAAUGUGCCCAUUAUACAUGAUUGCUCUGGUUCUAACCAAAAUUAGUAGAUUCGUACGUGCAACAUUAUAAGGAUCAGUCAGAGACUCAGAGUUGAGACCUUUAAUUUCCUGUUACUCUUUAUCUUAAUUUUUUUUUUUUUCCUUUUUGUUGCAAACCAAAUAAGAAAAGGAAACAAUCGAAACUUUCCUUUUUUGUCUUAUUUGAGCAAACGUUAUAAAAUCAUUUAUUCUCUCUUCCUUCUGCUUUGAGAAAUCAGAAACAAACUCUGCAGCCACUUUUUCCAAUAGUUUGAUCGGAGCGGAGAAUAGCAUUUCUUUUCGUGAUUGAUCUGUUGUUAAUUGUGUGACUACAUCUUCAUCUGAUCGUGUGUUUGAUCUCCGGUCUAGUCUUCUCUAAUGGCACACGAUCAACCGAAACGUUGCGGCUGUGGGAAAGAUGAUAUAACGAAGAGAGAGGACAGUGAAAACGACGAGCUGAUGAGUAGAGACUAGAGAACCAAUCAUUGAUUGAUCUUGUGUUUAAUGUUUCCAUAGUUCCGAGUUCCGACAAUUCACCUGACGAUGAUGCAACGAUAUGAUCUUCUGUUUGGUGUUAUUUUUACCUAUCAUUAGCUUUUCACCCAACUAAAACCAAACCUAACCAAGCUAAGUUGUAGAAAUAACUUCAAAGAAACAACAAAUGUAUAAAUGCAUUAUUAAUCAAUACUCAAAAGAGGCAAAGUCUCACAAGUUCAAUAACAGGAGGCAAGAUCAUGAAAAAUACAAGAAGAAACCGGAUUAUAACACAUCUACAUUGGUCGAAAAAUAUAUGUAAUACAAAAAAAAAAAAAACAAACAAAAUGAAUGAAAUCAGUAAGGAUUGUUGUAGUAAUACCCCAUAGGAGGCUGUCCCGUCCCAUUAACCGGCGGCAUCCCAUAAGGCAUUGCGGUUGGGGCUGGACUCAUCUUAGCCAAACUAGCUUGACCUCUCAUUCCUUCUUGCUGAUAUUGCUGCCAUAACUGCUGCUCCUGAGUCAAUAGGUAUUGCUUUUUAUCCAUCUCAGCCAUUUGCACGUACGAAGGAGGCGGAAUGGUCAGGGAUGCAGCGAAUGGGUCUUGGUUCACUUUCUGAACGGUUCCAUCAGGUGCCGGGAGUGCUAGUAUAUGGCUGUUGAUUUUACUCGGUAAUGGGAGCGCUACACUGCUUGAACUUCCACCGGUUAACUCUGAGGUGCUCACGUGUUGUCUAACUGCUCCUUGAUCGUACAUCCCAUUGAGUAAUAACGGAUCUAAACCACCACCCAUUGCGGCUUUCUGAUUUUCGAGAUUACUAGCUGUCUCGACCAACGCCAGUUCCCAAUCAGCCUUACCAAGCUCAGCGGCUGGAUUCUGCCAAGCCGAUGUCACACCGUUAUCAGAAGGGAAAGCUUCCCAUUUACCGUUAUUACCUGGAGGCCCCGCAAAAAGUGCUAGAGCAAACUUGUUCCCUUGGUCAUCACCAGUGACACCAUCUUCUCUCAAGUUGACUAGAUCAUCGGUUACUUGUGGUUGCUGCGGUUUAGGUUCUGGUGCAGGCGGAGGUGGAGGGGUGUGAUUCUCUGGAGGAGGAAGCGCUUUGAUCUCAUUCAUAUCAACCUCAGGCUCUUCCACCGGAGGAGCAGGAGGAGGAGCUUCUAUUUCUUUCCGCUCGGGACUUUUGGCCCUCUUGGCUCUGUCUCUCACAAACUCUUCUAGAGUCUCCAACAGCUUGCUCGUGAUCCUCUGAACCUCAGGGUACUCAGAAGAUCUCGCCACGCCCGUGUCCUUACACCAAUGAUAAAAUGCAAUGAGCUCAUCGAUCUGUUUGGCGGCACUAGCAUAAGCAUCAAAGGCCUUGACGCAGUCAGUAUACUCCAUAUCAAAAAACUUGUCAAGCAGAACAGCCAAGACCUCACAGAUGUCAGCGUAAAGCCUAAAGCUUUCUUUCACAACUGGGUACAUAGCAAUCAAGAUCAUCCGGCUGUUUUUGGCUAAACCAGUAGGCCGGCAGGAUAAAAAGCGAUCAAGCAGCCUCUGCAAAUGACCCAUCUUUCCAAAAAUCCUCUCAGGUGUCAUCUCUCUCAAAGGAGUAACCGAUUUCUUAUCGUCUCUGCCUCCUCCAAUCUCAUUCAUAUCUCCAAAAGACCGAGACCUCUUAGGCAUACCAAAACCAUUACCAGUCUCAUAAUCAUAAGCUCUAGGAGGCGGAGACCUAAAAUCAUCCCUAGACCGACCAUAUCCAUCAUCCCCAUUGCUCUGGUGACUACUACUACUACCACCACCACCAUUUUUGCCCUUUCUCUCAAAAAGAGCUAAUUCAAGCCUCUGAUCCAAGUAGCUAGCAUAUGUCCUAACGAAAGCAGAGUGAUCCCAAGAGCUAGAAUGAGCCUCGUCUCGAAAAUCAGACAUAUUAAGAAUCCUCGUACCUCGUCUGGUGGCGUAAAGGAUCUCUUCCUGAAACAAUGGAUCCCCUUCAUUAAGAAGACGGUGGACAAGCAUAAGAGCCUUGAGAGCAACGAUCCAGUCACGUGUCUUCUUAAGACGGCGAGAGACAGAGGUGACACAGGCAUGGACGUAACCACGAGAGAGUGAAGUUAGGCUGAGGAUCUCGCGGAUAUACUUCUCACUAGAUUGAUCGUCGUCGUGGCUCGUAGCUUUAACGAUCGCAACUUCCAGAUCUGGAGCCAAGUUGCUAGCUACCUUCGCUAUGCCGAUGCUAGUCUGAUCCUUAACAACUCCGAUCGCUUUACGCAUGCUCAGCGCCAUGAUUCACUACUUCGGGAUUCGGAUUCUUCAAAAAAAACUCCACACAUACAAAUUAAUCAAAAAAAAAAGGGAGCCAAUUUGGUUGAGAAAUAAAUGGAGAGUCCAACGAGAAAAAAAAAUGAAUUGAAAUGUUCAAUUUUUUUGUUUUAAUGAAUAAUAUACCGAUUCGCUAGAUCUGCGGUGGGGAGAGAGAGAUUGAUAGGGUAGGGGGUGGAAUGAAGUAGUCGCCGGCGUCGGAUAUGGUGGUAUUGAGGCGGAAGAGACGGAGUCGGGAUCUGAGAUCUAUGGAGAUCUUUUCAAAGGCGGGCGAAGGUGUCAGAUUCGCCGAACCAGUCAAAAUGAAGUGUCUAAAGACAGAGCGACAAUUUAAGAGGAGUCCAAGGUGACGUGGACUGAUUAGAACCGUCGAUCUGAAUAGGAAGGAGAUGCGAAGGUUUGGUUUGUGACCGGGAUUGACGGGAACCCCUUUUGUCCGAGACACUCGACUCGACUCUCUCAACUCUCAAGUCUGAACACUGUUCCUGAUCGUAUCGGUGAGAAUCUGUCUUUCUUUUUUGUUUUUUUCGUGGUCAUUAAAACCAUUUUUCAAUUUUUAGUGGAAGUUAUUAUUGGAUCUUCUUUAUAGAUGAUGUGUUUUUAUAAAUUUCAGUAUUAAAUCUCUUUAGAAAAAAAUACCACAUUUAUCAUAAAUUUUUUUUUGUUCAUUUAAUGAUAUCUUAACUAUAAAAAGUUGAAUAUUUCAAUUUGUUAUUAAUCUAGCUUAAGCUAAGAUCAAAAUUAUGUAUAUAUUUUUUUAAAAAACUUAAGGCUUCUUAAAUUAAAAUUUAAGACUUUGAAAAUUUAGAAUAUCAUGGUUUCUGCAUACCUCUUAUGUAAGACCCGGAAAUCAGUGAUCAUAUUCAUGGUUUAUGCCUAAACCAUGACAUUCUUAUGUUUUUUUUUUGUUUUCUCAAUCAAACAAGUCUCAAAAAAAUCUUCAAUUCCGGUACAUCGGUGUUUAGUCACUGACACCUCAUGAAUUCUUAUCAGGCUUUUGACAUACUUCUUUAGGUUUUUUUCGUCCAUGUUUAGGCAUGAUCAUUGAUAGCCAAUAUAGCUUAUAAACCAUUGGCACUGGAUACUACAUCUAUAAGAAUAGGUAAUAUAGAGGAUUCAUAAAACUGAUAAACAAUUUAAUUACAAAGUAACUAAUGAUUGUCCGCUUCCAACUUCUCUAUCUUUAGAACAAAAGUCUUGUAUAUGCACACGGACGAUCCCUAAUUAUUGAUAUUCGAUUUACCGAUUCCGCAAAUAUCCUACAAAUACCAACAAUAAAAGUUUUUAGUUACAUUAGAUUUAUAUAUCUUAAGAAAACUGAAGCAAUAAAAUUAAAGAAGUAGACGUACGUACCUCCAUGGAACAUCCCCUGGUAGUAGCCAGUCACCAUCUUUCCCUUGGAAGGUGAAUGCAUAGUUUGUAUCUUCUCUAUCACAAUCUUCAUCUGAUAAAUUAUAUUCAAUUGUACGAAAGAUUAAUCUUUACAAGUUAUGAUCUUUUUUUUUUUUUUCAAAACAGUUAUAGUUUAUUUUAACAUUUUCUUACAAACUUAAAUAGUAGUAAGUACUCACAUUGGGUAAACAUGGCGAUCAAGGAGUCAGUGAGGGACUCGUAAGAGUUGAAAAGCUUGAUAUCCACCUUUCUUGUUAUUGCCACACCAUCCAUCUUAACCUUUACAUACAUUGAUGAUCUCGAUGUUAUUGUCGAUGAUGAUCCAACGCUUUCUAUUGCGGCCAUUCUAUUGUUCAUCACCGUGUUCCUCCUACCAUGAUGAUGAUAUGGGUAAUGAUGGUGAUUACGAUGACUAUGACGUUGAUGAUAACUACGAUACUUUAUCAUACAUGUUUUUACUGGUGGCCAUCCCACGACUUCGCUAUUUUCCUCCUCUCUAUAUUAUCAAAAUUAUUUAAAAUGUUACAAAAUUUUACAAAUCAUGCCUCCCCCAUUAAGUUAACUUAACAUCUUUUAGUUUUUUUUUUUUUUUUUUUUUUUUUUUUUUUUUUUUUUUUUUUUGUUUUCUGUUUCUUUUGAUAACAGCAUCUUAAGAUUUUUUGAGAAACUUUUAAUUAAGUGAAUUUGUCAUACAUAGUAUUGGUAGAUGUAAGUGUGUAACUACCAAC
rnacentral:lncRNA from 1 species